rnacentral:lncRNA from 1 species
UUAUUCCGCCAACCUUGAAUAAUUAGACGAGAUUCUGGUCUUCUGUUAGCGCCCCGAAAGCUCACAUUAUUAGAUGGCGAUGUAGCACUUUGGCUUCUGUACUGAAGGUGGAGUUCCUGUUCGAAAGUUGUCUACGAGUUAUGUUACUUGUGUUUGUCUGCGAGAGAGGUGAUUGUGUCGGUGAACAAGUAAGCUGUUCAGAAAGUAGAUUUCCAGUUCCGAGAUGUAGGCAUUCUUUCUGUCUAUGAAGGCGGAAGGCCUAAUUGAUUUAAUUGAAAGAUACAGAUAGAGCAGGUGAGGAAGCAGAAGCACUAACAACAGCAAAAGAAAGAUCUUUAUCUAAAGCCGAAGCCGACGAACAAAGGACUUGAAGUUGACUGUUACUAGAAGUUGCUGACGCCACGGAUUUGGGCUAUUUUAUCCAGGCUUCUGUAUCAAAGCCAGUCGACAACAUCAUAUGGCUAACUAACCUACAUCUAUAAGCCCUAGCUCAUUACCUCUUCUCCCGCUGAGAAAUCCCUAUUUUUCUCCAGACACUCACUCCUUUGUUCAAGCGUCAGGCGCGAAACUGUGUUCGGGUGCUGAAAGCCUUGAAGAAAAAGGGUUCUCUCACUUUAUCGGUACAUUACCUCUGUAACCCACGGUUCUUGCGAAAGCCCUGACAUGCCAUUGGUAGUGAGUUGGCCACACGCGAUGCUCUUAUGCUUUAGCCUAGUGUUACGCCCCCCCGAAACUCAAAUGGGCGAACCUUCCAUGUGGUCCCGGUACUCGGUAAAGAAUAUUAUGGAAUAGAAGCGAGUAAAGCCGCCUCGGAGACGAAAGACUAUCCGACACACAUAAUCAUUGUAUGUAGUAAUAGCCUUGGUAUGAGACGAGCAGAUGAUCCUUUAAACUGUCUUAUUAACGCAAUGAUAAUGACUAUCAGCUACGACACUGCCCCCUCUGAAUUCAAUGCUUACCCAAGCUCCUCCCCCAAUGAACUCCUGUUUCUAGAAAUAAGGGCGACAAUAAGACAAAUGGAAUCAACCACACCUUCGCAGUACACUUAGACCUCUUUCAUUGAAAAGGAGAAUCCGCUUAUACACUAAAAGUAGGGGCCCCCUACCGAAAGCAAGUGGGAUAAAGUGUUUCAAAGGUGGAAAAAGUCACUCAUUUCUCUGACUUACACUAAAAGCUAUACUUCUAACUAAUAGCUCAAAGGCACAUGGCGAUAGAUGCUUCUUGUCCUAUCUUUUUCAGUAAGGAAGAAAACACUUUGCAUGCCUUUCUGGACUGUGAGGUCGCUUUGGUAAUGUGAGCUGGCCUACUCCUUUAGUAUGGAGCCACGAGUAAUCAAUUGGAUUUUUAUUGGAAGUCUCUUUUUCUCAUUUGGAUGGUGGGCCUUAUAUAUGUGCUCGUUGUAUGUCUGUCUCAUCUGUUACGUUUCCUCAUUUUCUAUAAGAUCGUUGCUUUUUUAGGUGUGACGACAACUUUCUCUUCUUUUAUGAAAUAUGUCUCUUCGGGGGGCCGCAUGAAAAUGGAAAUACUGAGUCCUUUUGAAAUAGGCUGUAGUAUUGAGUCGGAUAGGAAGUAUUGAGUCGGAUAGGAAGUAUUGAGUCGGAAUCCAGCUCAGAGUCAAUUAAUACUUUUCGUAAUGUUAUUAUGGCAGAUAACGAGGCGGAGUUAUAUAGAAUAAGAAGGAUCAGAAGAUAUCUAGAAGAAUAGAAGGAUCAGAUAUCUAGAGCGGCAGGACUACUAGAACGUGUCCCCCCAGAAGAAUAAUGGUUCUUAUUCCAGACUUUUGAUAGAGCACUUCGAUCAAGCUCUGAAUGUCGACCAUUAUCGCUUUUCUAUGGGAUAUCUAAGUCGACCAUUAUCGCUUUUCUAUGGGAUAUCUAAUAUAUGGAAUUCCCCUUUUUAGAGAAGAAGGCAAUGUAGCAGGACCGGCUCCAAAAUCUCAUGAUCAAUUCCAAUCAUAUUCAUCGAAUUAUGAAACUGGGCCCUUAUACCGAUGUCAGAAAGGAAGCUACCAACUAGAUGAAGUCGAAGAAAGGAAGCUACCAACUAGAUGAAGUCGAAGGUAGAGCCAGUGAGCAGCCUAAGCCAUGCUUUUCAGCGACAUAUCAUAGAGGGCAGUCUCAAUUCCUUUAUUAACCAACUGCCUGAAGACGAGACACAAGCGAUACAAUCUAUAUUCUAUCGUUCAUUCUACCGAGAUUUUGAACUACGAGGAUUUCCGCCGCUCCUUGGGCUUGCCGCUCCCCUAUUUUCGGUGGAACUACGUCUGACCUGAUCCCUAUAAAAAGCGGGGGGGAAAUACAGACACUUUUGAAAACCUCAUUCCAUUCAUUUCUAGGCGGGGCCGGAUGGUUGUUUGAUUCUACAAAUAGUUAGUUUAAGUGAGUUGGAUGACAUAAAUAGAUAGUUUAAGUGAGUUGGAUGACAUAAUGGAUUACCUUCUACGGGAAUCUUCCUCUUUUUCCCUAGUCCCAAUCUAUUAGUGGUUAUUAAUCUCAUUCUUUUGUGGCAGUUUGACUUUCUUUUGCUGUCGUGCCAGGCGCUUUUCUGGGUUCUACUUUCUUUCUCUGGGAUUUGGAUUCUAUCUAGCCAGAGUCCGUUUCCGUUGUUGACUAUACAAUCAAUAUCAGUAGAACACUUUUGACCAGUAUUUGUUUGCUCUUCAAUGUACAAAAAAGGAUAGGAGAUCAUUUCGAAUAAAUAAAGUCAAGGUUCGAAAGCUAGUAGGGAAAAGCCAGUUGUUUUUUCCUUGCUAAAAAGAAAAGAGUGGUGCUUCUAUUCUAAUGGAGCUAAUAAGCGCUCUGACUAUAUAAUUGACAACCUAUACUAUACACGUGCAGGGGUUUCUCACAUCUACCAGACUAGAUAAAGAUCCCUUAUUCUAUCGAGCUAGCCUACAAAAUAUGGCAUACUCCUAGAAUUCAGAAAGACUACUAGAAAUAUUCGAAUUCAUAAAUACCACUAGAAAUCUUAUUAAUACAUUCAUUAUAUAUAGAUGUAUAGGACACCUAUCCACAUUAGACCACUGGAAAUCAGAUUAAUACAUUAUAUAUAGAAAUAUAGGACACCUAUCCGGGAUUUGCUUUCAAGUAUUUGACUAACAUUCUAAUCGUGGGGGUUGGAAGUGCAGAAUACCAUUGGAUUGUGUUUUUUGCUUUGGCAGAAUACUCUCAUAGGCUUGCUUGCCCAUCUGGAACUCCUUUCUUGUAGUUUCUUUUUACCUCGUCCCAUCCCGGGGUACUAACUCUGUAGAAUUGAAUCCCUCUUCGAGCCUGUUCCAUUGGGGUACAAAGUUCGCCUACACAUUUCGAUUGAGAAAAUGGGUAAGCGCAUCCUCCUCCUUUUGCCUGCCGCCCGGCGCCCCAAAGAGGAUAGGAUACAACUAAGCGCUCAGGACGAAGACUUAUUCCAACAAUACCGCGACACAACAGCAGUUCCAGCAGUCCAAUAGUAUGAUGUUUACUCCCGAAAAGGGGAUAGUUUCAAUAGUCGUUAGUUUUCCACGUGAUUCGAAAUAGUAGGGUGAGCGAAUCCAACUCCUAUCUCGUUACGCUGAGAGCUCCAGCUGGGUUAUAGAAAGGCCGGGAUAAGACCUUUCAAUGGAAGGCCAUUUUCCGCCAGGCAGCACUAUAGAGAGACCUUUACAGAUCUUCUCAAGCAAGCAAAGCAGUAGAAUGAUUAUGAGAUAACUCUCCCUUAGGCAGGAAUGGAAUUGAUAUGCUAUUGAGAAAGAAAUCAGACUCCUCCCACCAUGCAGCGUGUAGGCGCAUUCUAUGAUGUUAGAAGGCUAUCGGCCCGGGCACUUGGAGUACGGCACUGGGUAAAUAGCUAUGUAAACGGAGCUCUGUCACAGAUAGAGCGGGGACUUCCUUAGUGAGUGGUACAUGAAGCCCAUGUCAAGAAAAGCUUCAAAGUACUGAUUGCAAUGUAAUAGCUUCAAAGUACUGAUUGCAAUGUAAUAUAGUAUAGCCCAGCCCCUUCGGUUGUAGGAAAGGAAUCCGGGUCCAUUCCGGAAUGAUGAAGACCGAUAGAAUAGAAUACCCCAAGCCACUUUAGGAUUUACCCUACAUAUACUCGGGACCAACAUAUCAAACUAUAUUUACCUUUCCUCUUUCUAUUUUACAGGUCAGGCAAUAAGAGAAAGUAUAGAUCGGCUCAUUCAUUACAGUAAGGGUUCCGGGAAGUCAAUAAUUGAUUAGUAUUGGUGAGUCAGGGUUCCGGGAAGUCAAUAAUUGAUUAGUAUUAUCAACAAUGGGUGACCUUUUACCCCAAAUUACUUCUAUGGGCGCAGGGGUUGUCAAUUCUCUUGUGGAUAACGGAUCAUUAAUGUCAUUAAGGGGUCAAGGGACAGAAAGAAUGUCUACGACGAACAAAAGACUUGAGGAACAGCUCACUCCUAACUUGACUCACUGAAUGGAAUAUCUCUAUAAUGACCCUAUUAUAUACAUACUACUCCCUUCUUCUGUAUCUGUAUAAGAUUAUACAAGUACUAUUUCAUCUGAUCCAACAGAUCUUGCUUCAGCAGAUUCUCUGGAUUGUAAUCCUUAUUCCGCUCUUUCUUCUUUUCUUCCUCUAACUGUGCUCGCCUUUCCUUUAGUACCCUUCGAGUGAGCGCUCUCUUAUACGUUGCUAGUUGGGUUCCCCGAGAAACUCCCUUCUUUCUACGUGACGAGCUUCUUUCUUCCCCUAAGCUUCCAGACAAAUCUUUGCUUGUUCCUUGGUUGUUGAAUGAAAUAAUCAAUCAAUAAAUACAGUAGCGCACAUAGUAUAGAGGUAAAGUCAACUCACUGCUUCCCUUCCGCCAUGACUUCAUUAAGCGAUUGUCACCGCGAGUUUCUUCUUUCAAAUUAUAUAGCUUGUUGCAAUUGAUAUAAUGAAAAUAGGAUAGCGGACUCCUUAUCGUAUAGCUUACUCCUUAUAUAGUAAUCGGACUCAAUAAUAUCAUUUUGGCGGCAGGAAUCCUAAUUAUAGGACAGAGACAGCUUAGUUCUAUUAUAGGACAGAGUCUAAAGCGGGAGAAUAUGCGGGUCAAUAAUCUGGAUAAGAAUAUGGAUCAGGUACAGGAUUUGCAGCGAUAUAAGUUCUUGGCUAACCGAGUGGAGUUGUGGCUUUAUUAAUUAAUACAGACCUUCUCUUUGGUUGGUAACGUCAACAUCUUGUUCCGAGAAACUCCGUAAGCGCUUUCACUCGCAAACGUUUAGCUCAUCUCCUAACGCUCCCAAUUCAGAGUUGCUUGUUUCUCUUUCAACAAAUUAAGGAACUGCCAAGCUACUACUAAACCACAGGUAUUCUCACUUUACCGGCAACAAAGCAGCUUCUCGCAACAGCUUCUUACAUGGAUUUACUUACCGCUUCAGAAGGCCAUAAUCAAAGGCAAGGCAAUCAGGCUUCAUUCUCGUUCAACAACCCAACCUUGAGUUGAAUACUUUCAUUGCAUAAUUUAGAGCCCAGAGCCCUUACAGUAUUUUUUCUAAAUCUCUAUCAUACCCGGGCGGGUAACAAGAAUGAAUCAGUUUCUUCCUCUCCAGCUUCUGGUAAAUAGGAAUAUGCUUCCCUGUCUUUUGAGUCUAAUACUCCACUUCACUUGUUCUUGCUCUAGUACUGUGACUGAUGUAUCUGCUCUAACUGCUUCCUUUGGCACUACUUACUGACUUUCUACAACAGAACUACUCCCUCCUUACUUUAUCCUGAAUAUCUCUGCUAAGGACAGCACAGCUUCUAGACGAGAGUAAAGGACAGCACAGCUUCUAGAUACGAUGACACUCGAACAGACAGAUAAUCCGGACACAGCGCUGAAGAAUCCCCUAAUCAAAACACAGUACAAUAAACAAGUGAGUAGUUACCAACGAGAGGAAGAGGUCAAGAGAAGAAAAGUCAUUUCGUAUGAAUACCUAUAGAUGCAUUAAUUUACCUCUAGGGUAGAAAGGUAAACCGCCCACAGCUCCUACAGCUACCUAACCUCUGAAGCCCCCCCGAACGUGGUGGUCGAAGACAUAUUCUUUUUGGAAGAAAAGUUCUAUUCUCAAAGGAUUGUAAGGUGAUUCAAACAACCCUCUUCCGCUUUGACUUUCGCCCUUUCUUUUGUCCAUCAAGGUAGGAAGCCCCUGAAAUGCUUCUGAUUCUCAAAUGUAGUUCCUAGGUUUCUUCUUUUUCGUAGCAUCAGAACCUAACCUAAGGAGCUCUGGGCGCAGUCAGUCUGCGACGCUUCUUCUUUAUUUGAUAGGCUUCCCUCUAAGGCCCCUCUCUUUUCCCCUUUUCGAAUGUGGAGGCUCAGGCCCCGUGCCCUACACAAUACCGACAUCAGCCGUCUCAAAGCGCUUACCAGCAAUCAACGAUUAGUUUCAGUGAAAAAGGCUUUGUCUCCCUCUUUACCGAAAGAACCUGUUCGAAAAGAGCUUACCCCAACCUAACAUUCUUCCCUAGUUUGCAGGGAGCUAGGACAAACUAUGGAAUCGGCCAUAGUGGAGCGCUUCUUCAGUCUGAUAUUGCCGAUAUUCAAGGGAAUACUAUAUAUAGUGGUGUAUCUGGUGAAUUCUAUAGAAUUGAGAAUAGCUCCAAUAAGAUUUAAAGAACCCUUACCCACCUGCUAUGUUAAGACAUUGAAGUCAUAGCAUUGGCAGUAAUGCAACUGUUAAUGAUGUAGUUUACACUACUUGGUUUGAGUCUUGUAAGUUGACUAUAGGUUAUGUCAUGAAAAUAGCUACAGGAGGGGUUUCCUAUACAAUUGGUAAUGCCAUUUCUGUAAAUGAUGAUUGCGGUAAUGCUUUCCUAACACGGGUGUGUAAAGCAGGCUCAAGCUGCCCUGAUCUGAUUCGCAAACAAGCCCUUCGAAGUGUGUUGGAGGGGAAGUGCUCUUGUAGGGUCAUUACUAAACCAAAGCAUUAUAUGAGGAAGUCGUUUUGUCUACCUUAAGACACAUUGAAGCAUCACUUAUGCGAAAGGAUUAUAUGCUCAGGGUCUUGCUUUGAGUGAAAAGUAUACAUUAUUACGUAAAUGCCCUUAUUAUGGAACAGCGAUUCGAAAUGUUCGGAAUGUGAAUCAUAAACCCCAAAACAUUCCAAGGAAUCUCCUAAAGAAAGGCCCUAUGAGAAAGAAAGGAAAAAGAAGUUCAAAACUAGUGUUAUAUGACAAAACCCAGAGAAAAGGAAAAGCUCCCCUUUAUGAAGGAAUCCCCAAGCCGAGUCUGGUCACCCAAAAGUAUGUCCGGCAGAUUAAAGGGAAAGGAGUUGGUUGCCUACUCUGUACCUCCAAUCCAAAUAAAGCUGACUCUAUAUCAGCCUAAGUCGAGAAUGACGAUGCGACGGCUUUCAAAAGGAUAAUGCAAAACGCAUAUUUUCCCAUGCCUUAAGGGCUGGACUAGAACUGCCCAAUCACCGUCCCUGAACAGGCAGACAUGACGGACAAUCUCAAUUCUUACCAAAUACGUCUGGGUCACACUCUCGAGAUCUGCUCAACUUGGAAGUCGUGGAUCCAGAACUCAAUCAAUCAGGGAAAGAUUGUCUUUGCUCAAAAUUGAUACAAGGAUCCUUCACGAACAGGACCCAGCACCUGUAACAUAGUAGGCUUAGGGAGCAACUCAGAUUCUGAGCUUACCUUACAACAAUAAGAAUCAGAGCAUAAGGUGGUACCGCGGGAGUGAAGGUGAGGAAUACUGAUCAGAAUAAUCCGCUUUUAGGUAUCCAAAGUACCCAGUUGCCAGUCCGACAAGUAACUACUUAGCUACUAGGCAAGUCAACUACUAACCAAGUCCCGUUUUUGGGAGCCUGUUGAAAGAAAAAGGGCCCAAUUGUUUUGGACCGAAGGAAGCGGUGGCAGAUUACCAUAUGAGAGAGAGGGGGCAUUUCCUUGGGUUCUAAUUCCGGAGUGAUGUGGACUGGGCCUCGCAUCAUUGACAUGCCUGACAAAAGACAAAAUGAUUUCUUACAUUGUAGCUCUUUCUUGUUGUAUUGGCUCAGAAAGACAGACCAGAUUGAAUAUUCUCUUUGCGUACAGAAACAGUCAUUCCAGUCCCGACGCCUACUCAUGGAUCGUAAAAGAUCGCUUCAGUUAGAAAGUCCCUUCUUUCUAUGCGCCAGAAUCGGAUUGGAGGCAAUUCAAAGGCUAUGGAGAACAAGAUCCAGAGAUUAGAUGUCAUGAGCUUGUUCGGAUGAGCAAGAUAUGCAGAAGAUGUGAAAGCGAACAAAAUGGCCGAGACUCCUUAUUAUACUUAUCUCCUUAAAGAUAGGGAGAGAAUUUGCUUGCUAAGUAGAGUGACUUCAGGGAGAACUACUGGAUCUUAACGCUCUUAGCACCCGAACACAGGACUUGCUCAUAACAGGAGCAGCCCUGCCGCGCUUUAACUCACUUUAGCUCUUUUAGCUCGCUACCUCUUUAACUCGCUGCCGUUUAGCUCACUUCCUACCGCCCAAAAAACAUCUAUUGUAAGAAAAAGAGUGGAGCGGCCCCAAAAGCAUCUAUUGUAAUAACUUGUCAUAUCUAUUACCUUGGCUACCGCACUUAGUCUUGCGCCUAAGCUUGGUCGUUAGUAGUUGCUUGGCCUAUUACUGUUGCUGCCGCUGAAAACAUAGAUUGUAAUAACUUUGUUAUGACUAUUACUGGCUACCGCGUCACAUUAGCAGUGCCUUGGUGGCUUUCGCCGUUGCCCAAAAGCUCCUGCCGCGGCACAUUAGUAGUGCCUUGGCCCGUGGCUUGGUCAUUAGUAGUUGCUUGGCGGUCGGCUUGGUCGUUAGUAGUUACUUGCCUAGUUGCUUGGCGGUUUAGUAUACUGUAGCUACUAAGUUAGGUUGGGUUGGUGGAAAGGUUCAGUAGGCUGUUGCUACUCUCCUAGUCUCCGAGAUAGGUUAUUGGCUGAGCGGUCAGUUCAGUUGUCUUAGAGGGAAAUAAUGUCAGCUCCAUUCCACAAGCGAGUUCCUUGACCCGAAGGUAGUAGCAGUAGCCUUCGUAAGACAGAAUAGAGUUUUUAGUGUGAGAAGAUCUUAUUGCAGGAAAAGAUUUGUGUCUGGAAGAUUGCCCCAACUCACUACUGCAGUUACUAGUUCUUGUUCCAUUGCUUAGUCUCUCUAUCUCUAGUCAUUUAGCUUUCAUGCACACAUUAUAGAAGUCAGUCACCGGUUACCAAACCCAUUACUGUUACUGCUUGUUGGAACGCAGCUGCUUGUUUCUUUCACUAUACCACUUAUUUGCUUUAACCGAGAAAUAAGCUCAGUAUUAGCAAGAGCCGAGUCAAGUGAGUAAGUUGCAAGAUCCGUUCUUUGCUACGAGGUUCUUUAUGGAGCGGGAACGAAAGAAUACUUUCUAUCAGUAGGUGCGCAAAGUACCAUAUGAUUUAUUGGAUUUCCUGGUAGUUUAGUUCCUGUUCUUUAUCGCUCAGUAGGUAGAGUGGAAUCGUACUAUUACAAAGAAUCAUAGGCUACACAGCAUAAUAAGGAUCAAUAUCCGGAUCAGAGGCUGGGCGGGUAAAGUCUUGUUCAGAGAAAGAAUCAAAUACGGGUGCGCGAACGAGUGUAGUUUCUGUUCUCAAGUCAUCCGUGUUUCAGAGCAACCUCCGCCUCCAUUCGAACUUGAUAGUUGAACGCGCUAGAUUCAAUUCCGUCUUAUUGGCAAGGGUAUAAGUGGUAUAUCGAAUGCAAGGUAAGAAUUUUCUAGGUAUGAUAGAUAUUGGCAAGUAGAGGAGAUAAGUAUCGAGUUUACAGUGAAGUCGACAAGUUCCCGAGUUUACAGUGAAGUCGACAAGUUCCCUUCGAUUCUUGUAUAGGGCGGGGCAGAGUCCUUUCGUGUUGCGCGCGGGAGGGAAGUGUAGUUCAAUGGAGUUCUCGUUGUUCUAUUCAAUACAAAAUAGGAGUUCUGGAGGAAGAGAGUUCAUCUGUCUUUAGUGAAGUAGGUCUUCCAAGCGAAUGAGGAAGAGAGUUCAUCUGUCUUUAGUGAAGUAGGUCUUCCAAGCUCAAGGAGUCGCAAUUCUAUCUAUAUGGUGUAUAGCUCAAUUCCAUUCUAUUCUGUUUUGUCACUCCACCCUUGAUUCUUAUUAAUUUCAUCUGAAGGACAUAUGAGAGAUACCCACAGAGCUGUAUUAGUUAGUAGAGUAUGGUAUGAGUGCUCUCUCUUUAUGUGAAGCUAUUCUUCCUCAAUAUCUUUCUCAGGCUCUGUUAUACCUGAUUCUAUUUUCAUAUAGGAGAGAAGACAGACGCUAUCUCUUUCUUCUCUUCUAUUCUCUAGGUAAUUCCUCACAGCCAACAGCAAACCAAUAGGGGUCGAUUAGCUUGUUUUUUUGUGAUCACAAGCGAUCGAGCAUUUACUGGAUCUUGCUGCAGCAGGAGCAAGGGAACUCCCCUGGUUAUGGAAACCAAUGACUCCCGGCGUAUUAAAGCUAUACGAGAACCACGCUAUUGAAAGAAGAAUCUCAUGCCCUUCUUUGGCUGUUAGCAAGUCAAUUCCUUCCCGAAGCUGAUUGAAGGCAAGACAAUGCUUUAGGUAUUCAAUGACCUUUACUGGCAUUACACACCAUCCCCAGUUUUGGGCCCUUAUCGGUGGUCUGGUCGAAACCCCCAUGCCAUAGACCUUUCUCCCCUUUUCGUAGGGACAAUCGGGUACUAUUCGUUCUUCCGGGCCACCCUUUGCACUUACCCAACAUUUCAUGAUUUGCUAUUGUGUAGAGAAGGGGGUAUAUCCUGGAGUCAACUUUGAUCGUUACGCCGUCCUAGGUAACGACGUGGUCAUCGCUGAUAGCCAAUUCGCCCUGGCCUAUCUGGACAUAGUGGAAGAGUUGGAGGUUCUUCUUUCCAAGCAUAAAUCCAUUAUCUCCGAAAAGAGAAGUACCCUGCAACCCUUAGAGAGGACUGUUCUGCGAUGAUGUGUCGGUCAGUGAUAGGACUGUUCUGUGAUCAUGUGUCGGUCAGUGGCUUCACUUGGUGCAGUAGUAGCAUGUCCGGUCUAAUGAUCCCAGAGUCAAUAAUCAAAGAAAGCCUUCUUGAGGCUCAGAACGAAAGAUGGAGGGCUAAGUCGACCGAUCAUAACUGCCUUCCCAUGGCUUUGAAUACUAUGGUACCUAUAAGAUGGGGGGCUCCAGGAGUAGAGUAACCCAGAUCCUACUGAAACUUCUGGGUGCCUAAAACCUAGGCUAACUUAUUGGAAGACAGACUACUUCUUGAAUGCGAAAAUGGAAUGAAUGCACUAACUAAACUUAAGAGAUUCUGGUAAUAGCUUUCAUUAGCGCUUUUCAAUAAUAUUGGAAAUUGCCCGUCCUUCGUGACUAAAACUUUACCUCCGUAACAAGGCACCGUCCCCCGGUCCAAGCAAGCGCUGUGAUUUUACCAGCCAAAUGGAGUUUAGCCAAAUAAGAAAGAAAGAGAAGUGGAUUUUCUUCCUCGAACCCUUUUAGCUUUCUGCGGCCCUUCACUGCAGGACAAACAAGAGAUGAGAAUAGAAAGAUGAUAGAGAAACUAUUCUAGGCUAGUCCGGGAAAGAAGAUAAUAAACUCCUUAUCAAACACACUUGGGUAAGGCUCCAUUUAGCAGGACGCUUGUUAUAAGAUAAGGCCCACUGGGGGAAUACUCGCUCCAAGAGAGGCAGAUAGGUUCUCGCCAUAUUUAUCCACCAGCAGAUAGGUUCUCGCCAUAUAUUUAUCCACCAUAGGUAAAGACAAGAAAGAAGGAUUGUAGGAAUUCCAACACAGCCUUGGACCUCACCAAAGGUGCCAACUGCUGUAAUAUAGAGGAGCUCGCUUUAUCGUUGUAAACUUGUUGGCUAAGGCCACUCAAUUAUUCAUUAAUUAAAGAAUCCAUGUAUGCACUUCGCCUCGUCUAACGGACAUUAUCAUCAAAAGAAAGCCUUUCCAUAGCCGAAGGAUUGAUCUACAUAAUGGAUGUCUUAAAAGAGCUCGCUAACGCUUGAAACUCUCCUAACCGUUAGCGCUACAUUCCAUUUCAAUAUAACUUAUGCACAUAUAAGAGAGGAAUAUCUGAUAUUGAAUCUCACUGGCAUAGUAUAGAUUGGAGUAACCUAAACCACCUUCAUUUCUUUCUCAAAAUGGAAUAAAGUGCACAUAGCAUAUAAAAGAUAGUAAAGUAACCUCCCGAAAUCUAAGAAAGGAAUUUAGGCAUGGGAACCCAUAUUUUCUCACUUAUAUUUAGUAUUUUGAACUCUUUUGCUUGCUUGUCCAGCUCUAUCUUCUGUCCCCUUACUUUUCUUUAGGGUAAAGGAUAAGAUAAGAUCUAUUCUUACUAGAGCUAACAAAGAACGACUCUAAAGCAUACACUAUUUGGGAGCUGCUUCACCUUUAUGGCCUUACCCCUAUACUUUCAGGCAGAACCUAGGGAAAGCGGGAGUCAAUCACUAGAAUCCAAGGCAGAAUCUUUGGAUAUCGGGAAUCAAUCACUAGAAUCCAAGGCAGAACCCAGGGAGAGAGUCAAUCACUAUAAGCCUGAGCUAUAAGAGACUAUAGUAAGACGGUUAUAACAUACAAUAGCUCCUGCCGCCGACGAAAGAAGAAAUUGUAAUAGGAAAGGGCCAAGCGUAUACUACAGACCGCCAAGUAACUACUAAUGUGUAGCGGCAGGGCUGCUCUUCUCCCUCUUACCCCUCGCCCAGUUGCCGUGGCCUGGAUGAAUAAUUGGUUCCAGAGCUAAGUAAGAGAAUUGAAACUAAGAAAGAAGAGAAGUGACACGAAACUCACUCUCUCUCUUAUAAGAAUCUCAUUGGCACUGUCGAAAGAUAGUAGGUAGGGUUCUUUUUCUAUUUCUAUUAAUACAAGCAAGCAAUAUAGUGGGGAGAGUCGUUCUGUUCUUCUCAAUAUAGUAGAGAGAGUCGUUCUUCUUCUGAUAUUCUUACAAGAGAGUUUCCUCAGCGCCACUACCAUAUAGAACUUUUGAAUUGAGGUAGCGGGAUGCCCAGCCUGACUUAUGAUAAUGACCUAGACCAUACUACCAUAACAUAAGUAUAUGAACUAGAUGCACUGGAUCAAUACCGUCCCAUAUGCGCCUAAUUCUCUCAUUCAUAAUAGCAGUACCAUCCUGGUUUCAACUACAUUUCUUCUUCGGGCGACAGGUCUUUCGUUUUGGUCGAAAGAACGGUCUGGUCGGUCGUCCACACACUCGUUCUUAGAACUACGGGAGUUAGUCUCCGGGAUCAUAUCUCACAUUCAUUCCUUUAGUUACAUAACAACCAAAAGUCUGUGGAUGGCUUCUUCUUCUAGGGGCUAAGCGCAUUCAUCGGUCAAGUCAACAUCGUUCAUUCAUAGUGAGGUGGGCGAUGAAGAAUAACAAAGGCGUCUCUCCGAACUGAGUCUUCACUUCUUGUAAAAUAGGCUCAGUCUGGAAUAGCACUCAAUUAGUCUGUGGGCGGACUCUAGGGCCAACUCGGUCAGUCAACGCACGGUCGUUCGUGCAUCAAGGUCCCGUCCCUUGCACCACACUCUUUAGGCCCUCAGGUACUCCAGUCUCAUUUCGUACCGUCUGCAUCUUAUUGCCCUGUGAGUUUUCUCUGCAUCUUAUUGCCCUGUUUUCAUAGUAGUUUGCUUUUCUUAUCUAUAUUUUCAUAGCAGGUUUGGUUUGCUUCGAUUAUCUAAUAUAGAUUAGACUUGGUUAAAAUAAAAGCGUACCGUACUGUCCAGCAGAAUCGUCAACUUUCUUUCCCGAGUUGGCUUCUUCGUAUGAGCCCUAGCAGCAUCUAUUCCUUACUCCGUUUUCUUUUCUGCUUUCAAGCCAUCGUAGUGAGCGGUGACUACAUAGGUUGGCUCUGGUUUCGUUUGAUUUCUUCCGUGUUCUAUGAGCCGACAGCAAGCAGGACUGCGAAAGAUUAGUGAAGUUGUUGAAUGUCACCAGCACAGAUCCUCCCAAGCAUGAAAAAUGAGGAAAUAAGCAAGCUACUCGUUCCUCGGAUCAGGAGUUUUGCCUUUACCCUAUGGUUAUUCCUCGAUCGUUCAUGGGAAACUAUCGUCUGGUGGCGACUAAACCUCUGUCAUUGACAUGACCUUUGCUUUAUCAUAUACUACCUGGUCCCUUCGAAAACUAUCUGUCUCGUCUCUUAUCCCCUUUACUAAUGUUCAAUCUAAAUCCCGUGACUUGCUUUCUUUCAUUGGACUGGGCAUCCCGGAUCUCCUUUCUUUCUUCGGUGCUGACAAACAACUAUACGGUCAAUCAAUCUCCCCACUCAAUUAAUAUCCAUCAGCAUAUAGGUCUUGUUUUCUUUUCUUUCUCUCAUGAGUCUUUCUUACUGUCUAAAGGAAUGUUACGUACGCUUUCUCGAAGGCUCAUCUUGUAUACCAGUGCCAAUUCGGUUAGAGAUGUUUGUCCCGAUUGCCCAUACUGGAAUCUACUAAUGAGACAAUUGUCAUUGCCUUUGGAUUUGGCACCUACUAGCAUUGGUCCAGCAGUGCCUUUGUUCUUGCCAUGAGUGAUCUUCAUUCGAUCAAAUAGCUCGAGUCAUCUGUUAGGUGGGCCAACCGACCGAGUUGGGCGGGGCAGCGUCCAUGUAACAGAACCGUUAUUCUAGCCAAGAAGACCAUUAUUGAUCGAUCAUUGGCAAAUCACAAAAUCAAUCUCAAAACUCAGAAAAAACCCUCGCUAAGAGGAAGAGUCACUCAGACAAGAGCUAGGUAAGCAAGCAAGAAAAUCCGUAUAGGCUCGCUAAUUGGGAGGCAAGGAGCACUAUUAUCCAGGAUCUGUUAAGAUCAGCCUUGGUUCUUCUGGUCGGCUCGUAUUAGCCUGUGCUUUAUGACAGCCCCGUUGUUCCAUUCCUUUAGUCUAGUCUUUUCAACGGCUGAAGUCGCGGUCAUGUCUCGCCCCUAGUGACUGGUUCCAUGUUUUCCCCAAAUUCCAUCAGUUCCAGUCGUCUCGACACGAAAGCAAAGGAUCUGAGGGCAGCCACUAUUUCGACUUCUUUAUCAAGCAAGCAAUACCAUUUAUACUUCUUUUCAAGUGAGCAAUAGAGGAGGAUGUAGCCUGUUUAGUUUCAUUUAAUAAAGAGAGUUUCAUUUAAUAAGUCAUUUCUGGUUUCAUAUUUAUCCGCUGAAGCAAGGUGUGGUACAAGUCGAGUUGGGGUGCGACAGAAAGUUUCAUAUAGAUCCAAAUCAGAUGCUGUGCCAAGAAAGGAGACAUCGACAACAUAAGAUACUGGGGGUCAGGACCAGACAGACUGACUCAGUUGAAAUAGAAGAAUAGAAGAAGCUGCGGUGUCAAAGUAAGCAACUUGCAGGUCUGUUCGAGUGGAACUUACAUUAGAUAGAUAUUGGUAACCAAGGAUAGGAUAGGACACUCCUUCGCCCGAAAAGUAAGUCAAAGGAGAGUGUCGGGUGCACGGAUUUAUACUCUGCUAAGACAAGUUUACCGCUAACAGAGUUUCUGCUCAAUCCCAAUCGGGCAUACAGUUCUGAUUGAAUUAAUACUAGCUAGCUCUUAUUCUUUAUACUCCCAGUUGGGUCUUCAACUUUGGAUUAUUAUUAGUGAGGGGGUGGGGUCUCGUUUCAUUCCUCUACAGGCUGCCGCAUUCCUAUUCUUAUUGGUAGAUGUUUCAUUCUAAUAAGUAUUGGUAAGGUCUAUAGUUUGAAGAUAAUAAACAGAAUCAUAGGAUGGAGCUAGAGCUAGCUCAUGACCUAUCCUUUCAGACCCGCUUAUUCUUAUUUGACUCAUUUAUGUGACUCAUUUCGGGAGAUUGGAAUCGGUAAAGCAUUGCCUCUGAUACUUAUCUAUGGAAUUGGGCAAUACUCUUAAUAAGGGAGCGGGGGGGAUCUAAACUAUUCUGAUUAUUAGGAAUACCAGAGUUUCAGACCAGAGAAGUAGAUAGUUCUGAAUUCCACUCUUUCUUGCCAACCCAGUACAGUACGAGUAGGAAAUAGAGAGAAAAGCACCUGCUGCCCGGGGUAGUCAAUAGGCCAAGUCUCCAGUGUUUUAGAGUUAUGAGGUAGAUUAGAUUAUUGGCUAAAAUGCACCAGAGGGAUCGUUUCUUAGUUUCAAUGUACUAUUAGCCAUUAGCAGAGUUGACCUUAUGUUAAACGUAUAGAAAGAAGCCUUCUUGCCCAUUUGUAGUUACUUGUCUGGUAGUAGCUUGGCGGGUAUAGUAGCUUGAGUUAGAUGAGAUGGAGGCAAGAACAGAACAGAUAGAGGCGGACUGCUUUCCUGGCACCUACCUACUAGUGUCAAAAUACAGGUGACGAAUACAGCACUUGCUUAUCUUAAUAACUACUUCACUUGAGCAACUAGGAGCUGAGCUGAAUCUACUGUUCCAUAUUAUUAAUAUACGAGAACAUAUAGACUCGAACAGGCAAUAAGAGUUGACGAACACAGGACUCGGUAAGAACUUGUACAGACCCCCUGAGCUCCAAAAAACAGGACUUGCAGUAGUCGCCCUUACUUAUAUGAAAGCUGCUUGUCUGGCAUUGAAAGAGACUAUCCCAUACCGCAACACCUAUACCUAUUGCCAGAAUUCUUAAUUGAACUUAGUGAAUACCCGAUAGCCCUGCUUCAUCUCUUACAGCGGAUUCUGGAGCCUCUUCUCCGUGGGCAUUAGAAAUAGAUGCCUCACACACCGCUACGUGGGCAGUUUCUAUCUUUUUCUUGACUUUCAUAAUAGAAGUUAGUUAAUAAUAACAGAGAAUAUAGAAAUAAUAGAAUAUAAUGGAGAAUAGUUGAACAGAACCACUUUACGAUGAAACUAGAACAUCACUCAAAAGAGCGGGUAGGGCUUUAUACGCAGCACCCAUAAUAGGCACCCACAUCUAUUGCCUAGCCUAGCAUAUACAAGGAAUCCGUUCUUGUCUUAUUCUUAUUCAUAGACUUACUUGUUCCAUUCUGACAGUUUGAGUCUUCUAAGCUUGCCCUCUCAAGAUUCCUGUCCUGUUUGAGCCCCGGCAAAUGAUUCUUCCCAGGCUAAAAAGAGUCCUCCCUGACUAAAAGGAUUCUCUCUUUACUAAAAGGAGUCCUCCCUGUCUAAGUGCUGUGUGCAAUCCCUUUAUUUCAGUUAUGCGCUAAUAAAUCCUUCUUGUUGAAAUUCUGUUACUACGCAGUUUUGCUUGCGUUAGGUAAGUUUGAAGUGAGAAAUUCCAUUGAUGUUUGACUUGGCACAGUCGCAACAGUGUUUCAUGCUCUAACAGUCCUGUAGAAAGCUUGCAGUCCAGUGACAAAGUAGAAAGUGGCUUCCACCCUUAAACAAGACUGACUCUUAACACGUUAUAUAACAUAUUGAUGUUGCUACUGACGCCGAAAACAGAAGUGGGCUUGGCUCUUUGCCUUUGCCUAAUUCUUUGCACUUUCUUUGCCUUUGUAGUAGUUGGUAGUUGUGGCUGGGCUGUUGACUACUAGAGUUUCACUAGAGCUGCUCUUAUAGUAAGUUGUUUGUAUACUUAAGGGAGUUGCUAAGGUUAACUUGGCAGAUCAGAAGCUGUUUAAAGUAAGUCAUCAGCAAACGUUCAACGAGCCCAGAAUAAGCUUUAUCCUGAUUCAAAAGAAAAAAGGGAGACUAAGGGUGGAAAUGGAUUAAGGCAGGCCAGAUUCAUAAGAUAGAAAUUCUUAUAUGCUUGACUUGACAGUGAUGCGCAAGACUCAGUUAAGCGCUAAGUUGAGUUGUUGACUUUACUGGCGAAAAGGAGUAAGAUUGGUUGUCAACGAGAGAAUCCGCUGUUCGAAAGGAAGCUGCAAGACGCUCCUAAAGUAUAGAGUCAAGAAAAAGUCCUGUUUUCUGGUGUCAAAUUAAUGAGUUGGACUGUAGGAGAGUGGACAUAGUAGAUUCCACAAAAGAGGAGUUGACCCGCGAUGCUCAAAGGUAGACUUUCUUUGUUGACCGGGCAGUAACUAAAAUGAAGGGUGGGCUAUGUAUUGACUAUUUCUAUACCAACCGAUGUGCUCUUUACUUCAACUCAGACUUUCUAACUGAAACUAGCAAGUCAACACUUCAUUUAUGGAGAGCGCCAAUCCAAUAUCUCCCGUAAGCGCCGAGUACACUAAUACUUAUUCCCUUUCGAGCGCAUGUCUAUAUGUUAGUAAUCUGGCCUCCUUCUUGACCUCUAUGCGAUCAAAGCAACAAAGAAUUCAUUGAACUCUUUCACUUCCCUUGUUUUAAUAAGAUAGAUAAGAUUUAGAGGCUGUAGAGGCAGUAUCAGAGGCUAAAGAGCGAUAUCCAGCUUCUACUAUUUCCAUUCAUUAUUCUCUUUAUAAAGGAGAGUCAGCUGAUGGAGUCAAAACUACCACUGAACCACCCAUACAAGUAUGUAACCAAGCCCGACCCAACCCCCACUUCAAGUUCAGAAGAAGCCUACGAUGGGGCUGGAUCAGAUGAUGCAAUCGGUACCUAUUUCUUUGAUACCGGAAUUAGGCCUUGAUUCUUUAUAUCUUAUUGAUUAGUUAGUUCUUUAAAAACUGGGCUACGUUGCUUGGUUAGUAGUUACUGGGCCUGGUCUCUGUUUCUGUCCGGAAGGUAUUAGUAACUGACCUCAUUCUGUAAGGAAAGAGAACUGGGCUAGGGCAAGGUAGUGAACUCGUUAUCCGUGGCCAUUCGUACUCAUAAUAUUCUAAUGAGAAAAUCAAUGUCGAAACAACAUGUGCAGGGCAGGGCGAUCGGACGUGCAUGGUUCGUUCGUUCAUCUAUGGUUCCCGGGCAAACUACCUUGGACUUACUAGCUCGGUUCUUUAAGUACAAUAACUCAUUCAUUGAUUCUUCGGUCGACAUCCAUCCCCACAUGCAACAAUGGUCCCCGGGCAUAUAAAGUACCUCGGGAAUUCCUUCGUUCGUUCGUGCACCAAUGAAGGAUUGAAUGACAGCGGUGGUCGCUCGUGGGCUGAUGAUUGAACCUCCCGUGCGUUAUUGAAGACUUAGUUCCUGGCCGCUCGUGGACUGAUUGGUUCUACCUUUCAGAAUGAGGUUUCCUACUAGCAUUUAUUGUUGACCUACCUGUGAAUUAAUUACCUAGGGGCCGGACCACCAUGAACGAAGGUCCUACCAUGAUGCACGUACACGAUGGUGAUGGUGAUGGUGAACGAUCGCUCACUUAUUAAAGGUGGUCGCUCGUGGACUGAUGUGCUCCUCAAGGACUAUGUGUUUUUACCUUUCAUUUCAUAAUUAGUCCCUCGCCUAGGAGGUGUGAGCAAGCUUAUAUCCAAGGUCGGGCAAGUUUACGGACGAGGUCGUUCAAGCUUAUGGACUUCAAUCAAUCCCUGUUCGUUGUUGGUUGUUCGAUCAAUAUGUUCUCGUAUAGUAAAUAAAGUAAUAAGAAAAGAAAGAAAAGAAACACUCUAUGAGCGAGCAAAGGCUGCUUUGAUAUCUGUAGUGAAAGCCCUAUUCCGAUUAGUAAUCUCUAUGCCAAUUAGUCUAUUUGGGCAUGUUCCAAUCUAGUGGCGCAGUGCUCUAUCCGCCAAGUAAUGUAUAAUGUGUAGCGGCGUUAGUGACUUUCUUAUUGGAAGUAGCGAUAGUCCAUAUUUUCCACUUCGAUGUCUUAGAGCUAUGCCCGAUAUCCGGUAUUCUGUCUUUCAUUCCGGCUUUCCCUUAUUAGCAUCAGUAGGUAUUAGUAUUUGUAGGCUCCCCAGCCCGAUCAGUAUUAGGUAACUUAUGAGUUUGAUGCCCCAGUUCAAUUCUGUGACUUACUUGCUCGAUUCUUGUCAGCACUAGUCUCAUAUAUGGGUUGAAAAUGCACUAGAACAUCACUUUUGUAGUUUGAUGGCGGAUCCUUCAUUGAAACAUAUAAAUAUGAGAAAGAUAGAAUACCUAGCUCAUGAUUCUUUACCUAAGGUAACCUCCAAUGCCUUUCUCUUGCGCCUCUGAAACUCUCCCUAUCGGUAUGAAACAAGAACCAGAACUUUACUACCGGGAUUCCACUUCACGGGGCUCCUGCCGCAUCACCGAACACAUAGGGAGUCAGUAUAUGAAUAGGGUCAGAAUGGAACAAGCCAGGCUGGGUACUAAUGAGAAGGGCAAUAAUAAAUAAUUGCUAGCGCAUGAAGUAAUAGAAUGAAUAUUGUUAUAGAAUAGUUUGUAUAUGAAUUAGAAUAAGACAAGAUAGCAUUAGUUACUAAGAGGGAUAGAUCUAGCGCAUCUAGUAUAGGAGUCAAGAGUUCCGGUAUGAAAUACUAACUACAUAGGAGUCAAGAGUUCCGGUAUGAAAUACUAAAUACCAAGAGGAGAAUUCUGUACCGCCAAUUCCGUUUUAGGGGGCUCCGUUUCACAUGGGUCUGUAGAGGCUUGAAGCACCUUGCUUGUUCGAAAGCGCUUGCUAGUUCCCUUGCAUGGGGAGAUAUUCUUUAGUUGCAUCAUUUCCGUUACUUGGGGAGUUCCACUAUCUGCUCUCGGGGCGCUAACGGGCGAAGCCCUGCCCUUGUGCUUGUUGAAUGGAAUCUAGUGAACCAAACCAAAUAUAAUAGAAGAUAGUAACAACACCUUACUACUGACUCUUUCCUGACUCACUUACGGCUUUGCUUCUAAAACUCACGAUCGAACUCCACUCUACCACUUAUUGCCUUAUUGCCCGGUGCACCACGAAAGUAAUUUAUGACUUGUGAAUCUAGCAUAUCGAGAAGAACCCCGCUUUUCAAGGACAGAGGCAGAGGUCUCCUUUCGAAGUUUCUACUUGCUAAGUUGUGCAUGCAUUAGCUAGUUCCAUUUCCAGCCCCGAGUAGUGGUAAAAGUAGCAUAUGACAGAAUCUAGUAAACAAGCAGCUUCCCGUUCUUUAUUAUUCUAUUUCCUACUUUACUAGGUGUUCGAUAGACUCAAUGAAAAUCCAUUCCAAUAUCAGUUGAGUAAGCUGUUAGCUUUGGAGUAAAGGAAUACAGUACCAGUAGUGAGUAAGCUGCAGAAUGGACGGAUUUGAGGGCCCUUAGCACAAGGUGUCUUAGAGAGAGAGAAUCGUAAGUGACAAGAUCAUAUCUGCGGGAUCCUGAGUUGGCGCAAGGCAGGCAGCAGCAAAGCAAUAUAUAAGUCUCUUUUUGUUCCUUGAAAAAGGGAAUAGACAGACACUUGACAAACUCAAUAUUCUAUACCAGGUUAGCCGGAGGUAUUGAGAUAGAAUAGCGACCCUAUUGCUCUUAACCAACCCAUCCCUACUAAACAGGGCUUACUCAUAAGUUGACUACUGACUCCCUUCUUAUGGGCUUACUCAUAACUAGUAACUGACUUCAUAGCCUAGUAACAGAGGAAUUCCACAAGCCUACCCCUUAACUAGACACAUGGCAAAACAGGACCUGAACAAAACACAUGAUAGGCAAAACUAACCCAUAAUAGGCGCAACCACAUCUAUUCUAGCGACACCCCCACUAUUCAUUCCAAACACACUCUCGACUAAGAAUUCCACUGAAGCGACUACCUUCUUGCCCUCACUGGGUUGAUUCUUUAACUACUUAGGUCAGAGUUCACUUUCAUUCUCACUUUCCAACUAGCUCCUACUAGCUCCUACUAGCUCACCUCUGAGUACAAUUAUAUAACUUAGUUAACAAGGCUUAUACCCACUAGUUCCAUUCCGAUACUGAGAUUGACUGGUUUCACUCUUAGCCACGCCCCCGCUGGUUCAUUCUUAGUCAUAGGAGUUUCAUUCUGACCUUUGAGUUCACCCCGACCCGAGUGGAAUCAUAUAUAAAGAGAAGAUCUAAUUUAGUAUGAUUUCCUCUACUGUGUCGGUACUAGUGUCUUGGCCACCUGUUUUUCGGUUAAUUUAGCUCUUUCUACAGUGUUAAGUCCACUACCCUAGCCUCGUAUAGGAAUUCCAUAACUACCCUAACAAGCAAGUAAGUAAACGACACUACCCAAGUAAGUAAACCAGCCGACCCUACCCUCGUAUAGGAAUGCAACUCUUAAGUAGAAGCCUUAAAGCCAGGGCAGUGAGACUGAAAGCAAAAGGAUAGUGAUACUGAGAUGAAGUAGCGUAGCGGCAGGCUCGGAGAAGGGGGGCGAUAGACUGUAUUCCUAGUUGAGGGCUAUAAGUCCUGUUAGUCAAGGUUUCGUUCUUGUACUUCUUAUAGUAGUUUGAUCACUUUGGUAGUUAGUUAGGUCUAUUAGCGAACUAGUGGAUCCUUGCUCCUAUUAUUAGUUGUAAGGUUGGAAAGAGAAGAAGGGGAGGCACACAGGCUAGGAUAAAUCAAGGGAAGUCUAAAUAUGUUCCCCCGGGUUGCAAAUAUUGUUCAUAGUGGUUCGAUUCGUAUAGUUAUUAGUUGGAUUCUGAUUAUAAGUCAGUUAAGUCUAUUCCAGUAUGUGCUACAUCGUACCUAUGAGUUGUGGGAAUACCUAUUUGUGGUGUGUGUCGUCAGGUAGUAAGCCCUAGAUAAGGGAGAUAAAGAAAUGAAUAAGGGAGUUUCUGUUUUCAAGUAAGCAGUAGAAACCUAAGGCAUUAUAAUCAGAAUAAGUGAUGUGUUCGUACCUGGGUAAAGGAAUAGACACCACACUCUGGAUCAGAGGGAAUCCAAAUAAUAAGUCAAUAAUAAGUAAGGAUGCAUCACCAGAGGAACUCGAAUGGAAAGUGAGAAAGUAAGCCCGAGAGGCAGUAAUGCAAAGGUGUGAUAUCGGGUAGUGAAAGCCCAGUUUCAAGUUCCAGUAUUGCUAGCAGUGUUUUGAUUCUGUAUUAUUGGUUGGAUUCCCUGAGAGGGAGGUGUCCUAUAGUGAUAUAAAGUCAAGUACUACUGAUAGCUAGUGCAGUUUCGUAGGCAGUAAGCAAGGUUUGAGUUAAGUAGUUGCAGAGCCAAAAGAUAGAUCUAGGUUUAAAGCAAGUAAGGAGCCCUGCCCGAAGCAAGUAAGUAUCCAAAGCAGUAUUUAAGGAAUCCGAGUAAGGGAAGUCAUCCUAAAAGGCGAGUACAGUAAGUCAAGUCGUUAGGAAAAUCAGAAUCAAAGAAAGGGCCAAGCAAGUACUAUACUUAUGACUUGUCUCGGCCGAGCACUCCCUUAUAUCAAAUCGGUACUCUUGCCUCUUAGCCUAACACCCUAUACUUAAAUUCUCUUACUUAUUAUCGCCAUUCUGACUUGCAAACAAACCCCCGCUCCUGUCUACUACUACGGAUGAUAGGCUGUUACCACUCACUAUGGCUUUAGCCUACCCUUUCUUCAUCUAAGGCUCGCUCCCCUUGCUUUGAAACUAUUUCUCCCCACCUUAACUCUUUAACUCAUGCCUAAUAACCUGUCUUUACAACUUCUUUUCAUUCCAUUCCUUAACUAAUAACAAGGGCUCUCGCUACAGCUUCUAAGACUAAUGGCUAUUGCUGUCAGGACUUCAGUUACUGCCUAACAGGCUUACCUUUCUGACUUUAUAUAAAAUCGUAGUUGGCUUAUCGGUCUAUGAAUGAUACUGGAAAUAAGUAAUAAGUAAUCAAACUGCACCUAUAGACUCGAACAGUUACUCAUGCUUUUCACUCUCUAGCUCCUGAUCUCAUAUCUUGACUUUCUAUAGAAGCACGAGAUUCAUAGCUGGCUCUCUCGCUUCUAAUUCUGAGUAUGUCUCUCCCGUCUUUAAGGCUGCCUUUCCUUUCUUCUAUUCUUUUCUUUCACCGUUGAUCCGGACCUUUGCUUUAUUGUAUUGUAUCUUAGCCUACAUCUCCUGUUUAUUGGUCUGUGGCUACUUCCUGGCAUCCUUGCUUCCACAGAUAAGUCUACCGAUCCUUAAACUCAGCACUAGCAUUCUGGAUUUCACCUAUGAGCCUGCCUCUUUUGUCUUUUAAACGGAUAUUUGCUUGAGAAUAUUCUGACUAUCCUUUGUCUCGGCCUAUCACUACUGCCUUCAAGUCUGCUCUUCCUGUCUUUGAUUCUGAUUCUACUCUAUUUACUACUAUCUGAGAAGUUUGACUCUAUUUACUACUAUACUAGAGCUAGCAAUACCUUAACAAGUACGGGCAAGGCGGGUAUUACUAUAGUGAGAAUGAAAUUCCAAUAGGUAGGAUGAAACCACUGAUUGAAAGAAUAAACACCGAUAACAAGACAACAGCCUUCAAGUCAGAACUAUACUAAUAUAAAUGACUUUUCUCCUCCCCCGUCGGAAUAGACUAGUGCACAACCCCCCGAGUCAGAAUCGAAUCUUACCCGACAACAUUCAACUAACUACUCCCCAACCCGAGGUCUGUAACAAGGGAUUGCACCACAGCUAGCAAGGCUAUAGGCUUACACAAUACGCUAAUAGAGGGAACGGAGCCCCAACUUGAUCAAAGCUGUCCUUCCUUUCUCCUAUUCUCUGUACUACUCUUUGUAUUCUUUAUUUCACUCAGAAUUCUUCUACUAAUUACCUAGAACCCUGCUUCACUCAACUAUAACCUGGCUCGUGAGUUUAGGUAUUCCCCUCCUUGCUGUUAGCCAGCCUCUCCUUUAUCUAGUUCUUCACUACUAAGAGCUAUUGUAUAAGAAUAAGUCAAUCAAUGCUAUUACACAUAAGAAGAAGUAUCUCGAUGGCGCAUCCCUCUUUUCUGGAAUUCUGAGAUCAAUAUCUCCAUUCUCCAUAUCUCUAUUACCUCUUUGACUCUCUGUUUCACCUCGGAUUCUUUGCCUACUGGGCGUAACCCUUACUGCUAUGGGGAGUGGAUCUGACUUUAAGUAAUGCUAACGAUACUUGCACUGGAAACUGGGGCUUCUCAUAACCAACCUCAAAACAGGCAAUCCACAGCUAAUACCAUUGGAACUAAGCUCGCUAGCCAUAUUCUUUCAACCAUGUUCUUUAAACACAUAUCUAUUGGCCGCGUAACAUUAGGUCUCUUCACUUGUGGGUUUGUCUCCCUUUACUGGUACUAUAAUAAGGCUUCUUUCACUCUGUCCUUCCCGACUACUGGUCUAAUUAUCCUGUCUCUAUUUCAGUUACUGCCGGUACUUACUUUAGAUCCUGACUAUUAUAAGUAUACAGCUACUUGCUCUAAACUGUUCUUUCUUGAUGACAGUCUGAUUCCACUAUUCCGAACUCCCUCUUAAGGGAUUCAACUAAUUCACAAAGAGACUAUCCUAAAGGCAUCUAGAAAGCUGCCCUCGCUGAAGCUUAUUAUUCUUCUGGUUGGGCCUGUAGCACUCCCUUCCGGUAAGGGUUUAGCGCUUAACCAACUUGGACCCCAUAGAAAAGCGAGUAAUCAAUAAGAUAAGUUAGGCAAUAGCAUCAGUAGAAUCAGGAUAGGUAGGCAAUAAGUAGAAUAAGGAGAAAUAGGCAAUAAACCGCUAAUCGAUAUGAUAUAAAAUAACGUUUACAACAAAUACAUAAUGAGUAGGGCCAUUAGGAUACUUUCACUAGUACCGAUAAGAAUUAGAGGCGUUUAAGUUCAAUACGGAUUGAGAUGUCAGUAGUGGAAGUCCUGUUUCCUGUAUCGCUAUGGGUUUACUUGCUCUCGUUCUUACUGCUGUAUUUGAGUCUGAUAGCAAUGGUUCCCCCCUAUGGGUGGAGAGUACAAAAACGGAAGAAAAUCACUGGUAACAAGGUGCGAACUCAUACUAAAAGGAUGCAACGGGAACUCCAGCUACUACCGAUAAGACCUUAGCUCACAACUAGGGCUUGCACGACCUAUUUAAAGAAUGGAACGGAGAACUAGGGCGGUACCUCUAAGAAAGUAACUACAACAAAAAAGGAUUGAGCACAGAACUAAGGCUUUGACUCCUGUGUGGGACAUACGGAUCUUUUGACCGUAUCUUAUGGCCUGUGACUCCUUGCUAUGACUCUUGCCCCUCUGACUUGUAUUCUCCUAUAAUUACUGAUCCUUACUUGUAUUCUGUAGUUCGAGUUAGGGUCUUGCCUCUCCCUAUGAACUGAAAGUAUUGCUUGUGAGUUUGAGUAUCCUAAUUGCCUACUUCAUUCAUUAUUCCGUUUAUUUAGAUUAAUGAUUAUGUUAACUUAUAUUGAGAUGUAUUGAUAUAUAUGGACAUGUAUUGAUAUGUGUUUUAUCGUACUGUAAUUCGAGCGAGGAGAGUCCACUAUAGCUCGACAGAAGGAGAGGAAAUCAAUCAAUAAGGGGUAGGGUUUAGUACCAUACGCCGGGUGUUGUUGUGCCAUAUACUAGGCGCGGGUUUCAAUCCAAUCAAUAGGUGUGUUGCGUGUAGCAAGGUAUAGUUUGGAAAUGCAAAAUCCCCGGGAAGGUAAGUUGAGAGGUAUAGCUUAGCUCGGGAAGGAGAGGUCUAGUUCGGGAAGGGGCAGACGGAUUUGCUAUGUUUUUCACAGGGGCUUAGUUCCCGCCCAAAAGCUUCAUUGUUAUAGUGGAAUCCAAUGUCAAAGUUGAGUUCAUUGCUAUGCUAGAUGUCGGAUGUAAAGAAUAAUAGUAAUGUCAAGAAGAAUAGUACGUAGACGGGCGAAGGCGAUCGAUCCUAGAGUGUGUUUGUAUUGUAUGCCAUACCUAGCCUAGGGUUUCAAUCAAUGUUUCUUCAAUCAAUGUUUCAAUCACCAUACUCUGGUGAAAAUCCAUAGGUGUGUGUUGCCCCGGAGAGUCCUUAGAGUGUUUUUACUUGCUUCUGUCUUUUCUCAUGAUAAUACGGAUGCACAUACUAGGUUAGUUGGCAAAGAAAUCAAUCAAAAGAUGUAGGGAGCGUUGGUAAAGAAGGAGCUCAUGUCCACUUUAUAGCAAUGGUAGGCGAGAAGGAGCACGUACUAUAUACUCUAAGGUUGGUUCAAGUAUAACUAUACUAUAGGUUGGUUCGAGUGAAGUCAAUUCGGAUUUAGUGCCUAGAUUCAUAUUCUCUCUCAUGUGUUUCUAUGCUUAUCUAUUAUAUUAUAUUACAUAUGUUUCUAUGCUUAUCCAUUCCAUAUGUGUUUCUAUGCUUAUCUAUUAUCUUAUUCUAUGCUUAUCUAUUAUCUUAUAUAUUAAUACAACCAAGAUGUAGUAUAUUUGGUGCAAGCAUUCAUUUCUUUUCGCCUAUCUAUUAUAUCUUAUUUUUUCUCACACUUUUGUAUCUUUUUCUCUUGUCUCUUCAUUCUAUAUUAGUAGGGUAAAUUAUAGUCGCAUUCCUGUUAGCACUAAUUGAGUUCUGACUUUUGCCCCAGCAACUGAGACGGAUCCUCACUUAUGGUAUAGGCGUUAGGGUGUGAAAGUAAAGGCUUUCAAUUGAUUCUAAGCUCGAGUAGAGGUCCUCAAUGAUCUAUUUCCCAUAAAACCCCGUAAGUGCCGUUCUAGUUCAUUUGACACUAAUCACUAGUAAGCAUCAGAAUCAACAACACUACCAGACCAGUGAGCAUAGGGCUAGGAACCUAGACUAAGCAUGGUAACCCAGGGACGCCUACGGUAAUGAAAGCAAGCAAUGGAGGCUGACAAACUCUGAUCCGAAUCCGGUUUUCAAAUAACAAUACAGAGAAGAAAAGCAAGGUAGGUAAGACCUCUAGGACGGAUAGUUAGAUUUAGAUGAGUACACCACUCGCAUUACAGCAGUAGAGGUAGCUUAGGUAAGACAGAGCAGGCUUCUAAAUAGGAUAGUAAGAACGAGAGCUAACAAAGCAAAGAUCCGGUUCGUUCAGUAACAAAGGGCAGGCUCGGGGUAAGACUUAGUCCAUUGUUUCAUUCUUCCCAGUCGUCUCGUAGGGUAGGUAUUGCUAGCCUCUUAUAUGCAUAGAGUCGUUUCUUGCUUUUAAGACAGUGAUUUCAGUCUUCUAGUUUACAGUUACAUUCUCUCUUCCCGGUUUAGUUAUUAGAGAUAGUAGUUAUCAUUCCAAGGUAGUAAGUGAAAGUGCUAGUUCCUAGGUUCCGUUUUGCUAAGCUCUGGUUCCAUCCUAAUUAGAUUAGUCAUGGCAUCAAUCAGUCUUAUUGCUAGUAGGGCGGGCUGGCUCAUUCUCCGGGCGGUAAGGAUGAGAUCAAGUCAUAGUAUCCUAUUAUUACUAUACAGCAAAAGCAAAAGUCAUUGAAGUAAUAGUGCCCGGGGGUCUGCUAACAGAAUUCGUUAUUCCAUUUUCAUAAUUAGUACUUUGCCGAUGUCCGGAAGAUCACCAAUGCAAUGCGUGAACGAUGUUGUCCGAAGACUAAUUGGUUGCACUUUCAGAAUGAGUGACUAGGGUACCAAUUGAAGACCGGCCAAGGAACGGAUAGACAAGCAAGUCGGAAGUCAACUCCUCUUAUGUAUGGUCCACAGCACUCCUUACGCGAGAUCACCUUUAGUUAGUGAGUAAGCAGUGAUUCUAUUGUUUCUGAUCUGAUCCUUCGACUUAUGAGUCUUCUUCCUCAAACUAACCAAGCAACGUAUAAAAAGGCAAAGAGCGGUCACUAAACAAAUAGGGAGUCUAAGGUUUCCUGUAAGAAUUGAACUCAGUAUUGACGGUCUAAGAAUAUUCUUAAGGGCCUGUACUAUACUUCUUUCCCAGAACUAUCCUUUCUUUUCCUUUCCUUCCCACAACAAGUAACGAAUACAGGGUGGGGCUUCUAACGCUCUGUAGAGGGUAAAGGAAAAUCCGUUAAUGGAACUUUAGCUGAUGGACUUGUUUCUUAUACCGAGUAAACAAAUCAUUCAAUCUUUCCAGCACCAGGUAUGGAUCCUAAGUAAAGACAUAGCUUGUGAACCCUUUCGCCCGGCAGUAGAUCCCCAAAACUUGACUUGUGAAAGGGCUCGUUAACGCUUCUGCAGUUUCUCAUUCAACAUUCUAUUCAGAACUGAUGCUUGCCCACUUGCUAUGUUUUUAAGAAUUCAGUUAGAUGAGCCAGAGGCUGAGGAGAAAGAGGUGUAGUUAGACGAAAUUAGGACUCACAAGAUAAGCACUUGGUUAUGACCAGUUAUUAUGUACUUAUGUUUCUUAACGUAAGAAUAGAUUUCUGACUUGCUAUGUGCUCGGGAGUAAGAGAAGAGGAUAAAGAAUAUAGAUCCGGUAAAGGCAUAAGUACUGAGAGUGGGAGUCUAGGUAUAAUCCUUAAGAGGUGGGCAAAAGGGAGACAAUAAACUCUCUAUCGGGGUAAAGUACUGGCUUUGAAGCGCAAAGUAUAGUUCUUGUUUCAUCUUAUAAGGAAGAUCCGACAGAAUGCUUAGGUGCAAGUAAGAGGUCAGGGCAGACUAUUGGCUAUUGAAGCGCAACAAAGUGUGGUUCCUGUGUUACCGACAAUAGAGAUUAUACCAAGAACAUGAAGUAUGGACUUGUUAGUUAGGGAACGAAGUUGAUAUUCCUACGAGUUACUAAGUUGAAGACAGUCAUAAGCAAGUCCUGUGUUCAGAGGAAAGAACCAAAUAGGGCACACAAGAGGUCAAUUUCUCUUCUUUGAAGCUCAGACACUGUUAGCCCUUCCUUUUUCCCUAUAGAUGGUCAAGGUAGUAGCUUCAGUAACAGCUCUUGCACCCGGGAAUAGGCAAGGAGUAUGCCCACAGCGAAUCGAACGUAUAUGUUAUCUUCCAAAUCCUAAAAUGAGGUAAGAAGAGGGGAAAGCCCUAUUAAUAUACUUACUGCUGCAAGUCCUUUCGUCGUCGCCCUCGCCAACCCUAGUGCAACUAAAAAGCAAGAAUUGACCUCUAUAUAGCUAACCUAGUGCUGUUUCUCUAAAGUGAGAAUUCCACUCCCCCUCGCCAACCCAGUGCUUUUAGAUGAAAGUGAGAAUUCCACUCUAAAGUAGGAAACUUGUACACAGAAGAAUGACAGUAAAAAGGUUUGAAUUGAAAUUAGCCAGAAGUAUAAUAGAAGCAGAGCGGGUAAGAGGUAUAAUAGAAGCAGAGCGGGUAACUCACCAGAAGAGGGUAACUGCGCUCUCCACUCUUAAGUGUGAAUUGAAUGGAACUCCGCGUAGUAAGAAAUAGAGGAAUUCGGCAGGUCUGAUAGAUCUUAGUAACACUUAUGUGCCCUUUCUAGCCGUGCCCCCUUCAUUGAAUAAUAGAAUGAACUUCACUACGCCCCCCAACGCCUCAUUUUGUAAUAGAAGAAGUCCGCUGGAAAUAAAGAAUGAACCUUGAAAGUAAGAGUAGAGGAAUGAGGUUGGUUUCAGCUUUCAAGUAAUAAGAACAGGUACGGUACGAUAUAGCGUAUUAGGAGAUAUACUCUGAAUAUCAAGUCGUAUACAAAGAAUGGGUAUUAUAUAGUGCAUUAAGUAUGAAGUAAUAGAAUUAGUAACUACAAAAGUAAGGGCUCUUUCUAUCUCACCAACCCGACAAGCUAAUACUAGCUCUAAAGUCAGAAUGAAACGAACAAGUAGGAAAGGAAUCAGGUAACUCCUGCACUGUAAGAAAGGAAUCAGGUGAACUCCUAGUGGUGCUCUUAACCAACUAGCUAGUAGUGCUCUCAACUACAAAGGCAUCAUUCCACUCAAAGCAAAGAAUUCCACCAUGCCUACCUAGUGCUCUGAACCUACCUAGUGCUAUGUGCUCUUAAGAAGGAAAGGAAGCUAUUUUGUCUAUCUUUUCUCAUGCUCCGGUUAAGGUAAAGCUACAACCAAAUCAGAGGAGAGGCCUGGCGUUGAAGAAUGAGGUUACGGUGAUUGAUUGAUUGGCAAACAAAGCAAUAAGUGAAAAGGGUGUUGAGCCCGCUAAGUACUUUCAAUCAGGGGCCAGCAGUGGAUUCCAUUACAGUUUUCGGCGAUAGUUAGUUUGAAGCGCAAAGUCAAUCAGUAUAGUAUGUAUCUUUGGGUGCUCAGUGUUCAUAAAGUUAUGUUCGAGUGUUGUCUACUGGAUCGCAUGCUGUGCUUUGAAAUGAUGUUCUAAAGUGAAGUUGCCAGUUCCUGUGCGAGUGAUAGUCUUCAGACCGAGGGGGAUAGUUUACAGUAUAGGUCUGUUAUUCAAGUGUAGUUCAAGGUUCAGUUUCAAGUGCUCCAAGUGGGUUAUCAGAAAGUGACGUGAAAUUGUCUAGUAGUAGCUUGGCGGGUUGUGUUGUUUACUUACAUGUUAUGGUAGGGUGAUUUACUUACUUGUUGAAUGAAGUGACUAGGCUAGGAAGGCAGUUAGUAGUUAUGAAGUCUGUUACUAGGCAAGGGUAGUUUACUGACUUGGCCGGUAUUAAACAAGAACUCGAACAGGAACAGAAAGGUAGAAAACUCUCGAGUAAGAAGAACACCGGAAGGUGGAAAACAGAAUACUUAUAUAUCUGCGGAGCUAUCAGACAAGCUACCACGGAAGGUAUAAAACAACAGAAUCAAACCGGAACUAAUUGAGAGAAAGAGAACUCCUCUGCUUUGCCCUCUUCAGCCUUACCUUCACUUUCAUGCUUGGAUCACUACUAGCCAAGUAUAUACUAGACUCGUACAUAAAUAGGUUAUAACUCGGCAAGAGCAAGUCUGAAUUAAUAGCUAAAGUAAGCUUACACGUCGGUUAAGGCAGUGGCCCCAACAAGUAACUACUAGAGCGAGAAACUGCUUUAAUAGAAGUAAGGCUCGGAGCCCCAACAAAUCAGAAUUCAACUAGAUAGGAUGAAACAAUAGAAGCCUAACUAUCCAUGCGCUAGAGAAAGAAGCGGGCCUCGGGUAUUGGUCACAUCUUCAGGAGUCUUGCCCACUUAUAUAUAUACUAAAUCAACGAGCUUCUUGAUACGGUCCCCACUUUCUCUGUUGUUUUAACCUAUGUGAAACAGAGCGUAUGUCAUAUGGCCUCUUACUUAAGCUAGCAUAAGUCUCUUCAAUUUCAUUUCGCGUUAAUUCCACCCUUGUUAAUCCUAAACCAUUAGCUUUUCAUUUGCCUUACAUCAAGCUAUGUUGUACAAGAAUAGCUAACCAAUUCGAAAACUGUACGAACCUGGAAGGAGCGUCGAGCGGUUGCCGCAUCAAUAGAGUUCAUAUAGCUUAUAACUUCGGGCUUCAUAAGAACAUAUUCAAUCGUUCCUUAUCACUUGACUAUCCGCCUUGUCCCACAACUCGUAAGGUAAGCAAACCAAGGAACUCCUAAAGUUGUUCGUAAAGUGUUUCUCGGGAGUUUCUCCCUUAUGUAUCUUUCUGCUCAUAUACAGUUUAUGGUCGUAUUCUCAUAUGAUGGCGUUGAGAAUCUUCGCCCCGAGUUCUAGCCCAUCAAGACAGGAAGAGAAGGCAUUCGUCAUCGGCUUCCCUGAGUGUUUAGUCGGGCAUACUGUCUUAGGUAAAGGGGUAGGGUCAAGUUUACCGAGUCGGGGGGGUGGAAUCCAAUCUGAUUUCUCUCUCCGCGGGCUCAGUUAGUUUUCAAAUGAGUGGUUAUUAUCUAUCAAAGAGCGAAAUUGGAAAUAGCUAAAAAAGGUAGUCUAUAAGGAGGGUCUCAUGGUUUAGAUAAGCAAAGAGACUCAAUUAUGUGUAAUCUCUCUGUCAGCGCUUGUUUCGACCGCUAUCCCUUAGUGUUGCUGGGCUAACUUAAGUCUGAAAAGUAGGACUCGCAAGUGCAUUCAGUUAAUUAACUAAGGAAAGCUCUAGGCUAGGUCGCAGAAGAAGGGAUAUCCGCCUAGAAUCGCUUGGUAGUCUCCCCUCUCAUGAAAUUGUUAACCCUAGACUGCUCAUAGUAUCCAACUCGAAUGGUAGUAUUUCGAACUACUCGCAUCUAAGGUCAACCCCUCGACACCAAUAUGACAAACCUAUGAUCUUAGCGCCACGACAGCAGCUACUCAAGUUCGAAUCUAAUGAUACAGGUGCCCCGUUAGUUUCCAUCACUCUCUCACCCCCGAAUGAACAAUACAAUACUAUUGGCUUUCGCCCUUCAGGUUGCUUCUGCUUGAGAUGUCCGAUUAGAGUGAUACGUAAAUUCUGGUUUCUUGAGCUGGUCUUGGGUAAAGCCAAUCAAUCAACCCCUACGGCAAGCGCCUCAUCUUCGCCACCGAGCUUAUUUGCGUCGUUUUGUGCCUCAUUUUCGAGUCACUCAAAUCCUUAAUGUCGUUGCUUUUAACUGACUGAUGGAAUUAUGGAACAAGCAAAUCCUUUCUAGAAGCAAACGCCAACAUGAAACCUUACUCCACCAGUGGAAGCAGGACGGACAAUCUGUUUAGUUAGCCAUAUAAUCCUUCAGUGCACGUCCUUUUACAUUGCUAAAGGCUCUAGGCGGAGUAGCAGGAACAAGAUGUAAUUAGUUAUGAGCCCAAACGAUGGAUUCCAUGAAUUCUUGCCAAUAACACCACGGCUACGGAAUAGAAUCAUGAUACACCCAGACAAAACACCUAAGAGAAAACACAAGAUGCAGAUAAUGAUCAAAACCAUAAGCCCGCUAGACAAGAUGCAGAUAAAGAUGGGAACAAUAAGACGCUAGAUGCCAAUGCCCAUAAUCAAUCUCGGAGCCCACCCCUAUAUAAGAAAUCGAAUAGCCUAUAUAAGAAAUCGAAUAGUCAUUUCACUCAUAGCAAAGUUUCCUCCUGUAAUAAUGGUGACUACUCCUUUAGCACUUAUUCCACCCCUAAACAUCCGACUGCAUUUGACAACUCGAAUGGAAAAUCAAUCACUACCCGAAAUCGCAGAGUACAUCCAUAAUCAACCUAAGAAGACAUGAUUCCAGGCAGAUACUUGACAUGUCGCCCAAUCACAAGGAAAACGAAACCAUAGAUUAGCAUUCUGUUGUCACCCGGAGCUUUUAUGCUGCGCAAUAGGGUGUUUUUACCCAUUGAGCUAUGCAGAGGGUAUAGCGGUCUCAGAAAACAUAUCUUGGGGCCGCCCUCAAGCGCUCGCGGUACGUGGUAUAAUUAUGAAUAUACGAUAUAUACGAUCCAAAACAGCCCUCUCUCAAUACAUGCCAUAUGAUUGAUUGCCUCGCGGUGUCUAAGUACACGUGAUCUAAUAUCUUAUUGUAUCGAGAAUAGUAGUAUCAGAGUAUCUUUACCAUGAAAAUGAAUGCAUGUGCAUCAGCACCAACUAUGAGAAACCCACCGAUCCACAUGUAAUGUGUGAACAACGAUGGUUACCCUAGUUAAUUGCUAUGAUUGCUAUGUAUGUAUAGGUAUGGUUACCCUAGUUAAUUGCUAUGAUUGUAUAGGUGGGGAUGUCAUACAUAUAGUGAGCUACAAUACAAUCUUUCUUAUUUAAAAGAGCCUAACAUAGCCAAGUCAGGUUAAGAGAGAAUUGAGCAUGCCACCCGCGUUGUUAGGAUUGAAGAGAGAGAAAGAAUGGAGUCCUUUAUAGCCCUGGCCUGUAAAUGGACCUUUAUGAGCCUAUAGUCUUUAAGGCCAUGACAAUGCCCCAGCCCCAGCCCUGUUGGUUCUAUACGCGAUCAGGAAAAGAAUAGCAAUAGCUAAUAAGGUGUGAUCAAUAGCCAUAGCUAAUCCAUAGCAAAUAAGGAAGGUGUGCAACAUCGGUCAGCCAUAGACCACCUCACCAGUUCUUUUGUUAUUGGAUCCAAUCCUCCACGAAAAGAUGGAUUUGGUGUCCCGCCCAAGAAGGAUACCUUCGUCCUAGUAACCCCUGCAAAGAAAGUCGUUCUUUUCUUUUACAUUGCCAGCAAAGUAUCGAGUGCAUGCAAAAUCAAUAUCUUACCAACGAUGGCACUAUUAUAUACUAAGGAUGUUUUCGUUUACCUUCUACUUCCUUGGUGAACUUGGUGCCAUAUUACUUCCACAGGUGUAUCGAUAGGGUAACCUUCUUUCCAUGGAUAACAUAUUCCGGAUCUCUUAUAAUUAGCUUGUGAAACAACCGGAACUGCUUAGUUUGACUUCGAUGCCAAAGAAAUAAGUAAUUAGGACCAAAGUCUCUGUUAUCUCGAACGAAUUCUCCAUUGCUGUAUUAUUUCCAUUCUGGAAUCAUGGUGGGGCCUGUCCGAAUCAAAUAAUAGAAAGAGAAAGGCAUACCAACAAGAUAUCGCCAUGAGAGUUUGUUUGAAUAUAGAGAGCGCGAGCCAGCCCUCUUGAACCAUUAGAAAGGGUGCUUCAUAGACAACAUGAAUAAUCAAACGGGGGGUCGAUGUUCUAUGUUCUAUAUAGAGACCUCUUUCUCGUCUUCAAUAAAUCCAUUAAGAAAUGCCGAUUUGACAUCCAUCUGUCCAAUUUCCCAUUUCCAUUUGAGCUGUGACUCAGGGGAGAUUAGCAAUCUAACUCUUUCCAAUCGAGCUACUGGUGCGAAUACUUCCUCAUAGUAUAUCCCAUUCACUUUUCUACCUUUUCAACCCAUCGGGCCUUGCUCCACCUCUACUUCUUUGUCCGUGUCUUUAUACUAUACUGGAUUUUCUAAUGAAAGCUCAUCAUCAUCAUUAGUAUCCCUCCCUCCUUCCUUCGAGUCACCCCUUUAAGAUGUAGAAUGCAUAGAGAAUUAUAUAGAAAUCAAAUAAUCAUAUAUGGUUGGUUUCAUUGAAAUAGUAUAACUUCUUGUGCUUAUUGUAAUUUCACUUAUUGAAUGAUGGUUACGUCAACCCCAGCUGAUCUAGGUGAUGAUUCAGGUGCUCUGAAUUACGAAUUCUUUUGACAAUGUAAAGGAGAGUCCAUCAGUCCGUCCGGCCUUAGUCAUUCUAUCAGAUACUCCAUUUGGUUGGGGCGUGUAUGUCAUGGUUCAUUUCAGUAUGAUUCUAGAUUCUCUUUCCAAAGAACUUUCAAAUGCAAUCAAUUGAUGUUUAUUCACGACCCUUAUCUGUUCUUAAGCAUUUUUUCCUACCUUUGUAUUUUCACCAAGUUCAUUCAUUCCUGACAUUUACUUUACUUAGAACUUAUUAGCUUGCAUUUCCUUAAGUAAACCUCAGUUUGACCACUAUGAUCAUUAGUAAAGGUAAUAAACUACCUGCUUCUGGAAAGUGAUAUUGGACUGUGAUAAGGUUACAAACAUCUGAGUGCACCAGAUCGAGUCGAUCGAUGCCAUGCUCUUUUUCUGCUUUUCUUCUUUAAGGGCUUCCUUUCUUGUUUGCUCAUGACACACACUUCCUUCACAUGACUUUGUUGGAUCAGUAGGUGCGAAGAAAGUCAAUUAUACUAAAUAACAAGUGGAAUCCUAUAGAUAUAGAGGUGUUCUGCAUUGGUUGAGUCUCAAGGAGAAAUGGAAGGCAGGGUAAAGCAACUCGCUUUAGAAUCUAAUAAAGGAAAGAUAAAGCUAGAGGAAAUCCUAUAGAAGAGUGACGAGAUCCGCUGCUACAUCGGGAAAGGAAUUGGAUCUAAUAUAUCGGAAAGGAACGAGCUGCUUUCCUCCUCUUUGAUUUCUUUCAACUCCGGCUAGGUUGUCUUAAAGACCUAGCGAAGAUAUGGAACAAGAUAGAGUGUGAGAUCCACAUAUUGGAAAAAACUCCUUUCCUUACCUGAUUUUAGGCCAGGCGCACAUACUAGUUCUCACUGUGGGACCGAACUGGAAAUGGUUAUGAUUCAUAAUAAGCUUCAAAACCCAUGCACACUUAUGUGCCGCCCGCCAUUGCCUAGCUCUAUACUCCGCUUUACUUCAGUGCUUUACAGUGACACUGUCUUAUUGCAUUGCACCAGGCCCGAACCAAGACUCAAGCCUGUAGUCGACCUUUCAUAUACCUAAAUCUUCGUAGCUUACAAAAUGUUGCUUCUUUCUUUGGCUUAUCGCUUACUAUACCUCAAUGGAGAUGGAUCUAAGGCCGUGUAAAAGUCAGAGAGAUUAGACUGCCCACUAGCUAUCUCACAGAUAUACAUGGUUUCAUCCGAAAGAAAGGGAUUGGCGCCGAGCUUUGUAAGGGAAAGGAAAGCGUCAGAUUGAUUGUUUGGCAGUAUUUGUUUCAUAGUAGUCCGAGAUUACAUGUCUUUUUGUUCACACUAUCUCCUGAUUUUCACCGGGCUAGAAAACAAACGAAAGUGGUAGGAUUGAUUAGAGACUUAUUUCAAAGCUCCACCACCCCAACCUUUAAGGAAUCCGUUUUUUGACCUCCCCCGCCCGCUUCAUUCGUUUACUCGGAUUUUCGAUGUUCAUUCACAAGGUGUUCAGAGAGAGAGAGGGGUUGCGUAGAAUAGACAUACGAAGCUAUUCCAAUUGGAUAACUUAUGGAACUUUCUCCACGUUGGAUGAGUGAAUACUCUUUGAAUACUAUGAUUAUUUCCUUCUUCUUUACUAUGUACUAUACCAUUAGUCUUGAAGAAGCUUUCCAAAUAGGAAACUCAAAAGGACCAACUAAGCCGGUAAGUUUGGACUGUACCCCCAAAGAAUGGGAUGAGGCUUAUGUCUUUAUUGCCGCCCCCGCUGCAACAAGAGGAAAAAGGCUGACAUGAUACAUAGAUUCAGAGUUAGCCCUUACCACUCUACAUGUCCCAUCCUCUUACCUUGCUUGCUCAUUCGAAAAACCACUUAACCAAAACCAAACCCUAUUGAUUGAUGCGGGGAGAUGAAGGGACUAGACAAGGAGCAUACGUAGCUGCAUCGAAGGACCAAGUAAUAGAGAAAUGCCCACCCCAUGGCUUAUGAGGUAGAUUCAUCUGGCCGGAGGACUAGCCAAUCAUGUAGGGAGACAGCCAGGUUCUUUAAACGUAGGCCGUAGAACGCUAUAUCACACCAAAGGAGACCUUUUUAUUGACCCACCUGCUCUAUCUAGAGUUUUUCCACAUCCAUCUAGAGUUCCUUUUCAUUGACCCACCUGCUCUAUCUAGAGUUCCUUUUCCCGGAUAGGCGUCUCACAUAGCUAUCUCUAGUUAGCUGCAAUCGCCUAGCUAGUAACCGAAGGAAGGAAAGAAGUUAAUGGCAUCCGUGGGUCGUUGCUUGGCCCUUUCUUAUUACAAUUGAAGCUGUCUUCAUGGCGGCAGGAGCUUCAUAAAUACCAGCCAGAGUUGCUGUAGUCAGUCAAGGGAAUCAGUCAGAAUAAUAAGUGAGGGUUUUUCACUGGGAAGAAAAGAUUCUAGGGAACCGGAUAAGAAACACAAAAGUCAGAGACAAGCAUAGGGUUACAAGCAACCUUGCCCUUUAAACCCUUAGACAGAAAGAAGUAAUCCCCUUUGCCACAUACGUUACGUGGCUUCCGGCCUAUUAGAGCUCUUUUCAACACACUAUUUCUAAUGCUAGAUCGAUCGGAUACCAUUACACUCACGAGGAUAAUCAAUCUUCUACUUUCUUUAGAAUACAGAGACUUUCUCAUUAGAGUUCACUGCGCUUGCUUACUCGAAAGAAUAAGGGGAGUGACUAUAAAGAACAGAAAAGUGCUGGCUGGUGUUAGAUCCCCUAUUUUGCUAUAGUCCGCCGGUUACGGCUUGCUUUUAUGAUCCUCAACCAAUAGGCUUACAACUUGACUCGCUUCUUACGUCAAUGGAACUUUCCACUUCUUUAAGCAUCUACCAGACUAUCCACUUGACUUGCCAAUUUCGUUAGCUAGUUCUUUAGCGUGUAAGGAGUGAAGCAUGAAUUGAGGUUUUUGCAUCUAGGGUAGGAGUCGACCAAAUCAGAAUUAAGCGCAGUGAACCUAGGAGCUGCGCAAGGAUAUUAGGCUCAAACGCAUUUAAAGGACAGAGCAGAGGACAGAAGAAAGAGGCGAAGGCAUCUGCUCAAGUAACUGUUAGCACAACUCACGAGACUUCUAUUUUCGAAGCUUGUUCCCCGAGAGCUUAUAGUGCACCUAUCUAUUCUAGAAAGAACUCACCUAUAACAUAGAAAGAACGAACCUAACUAACGCCCGAACACCUCUUCCUUUAGACUCCACCCAGUAGAAGUAGAACAAACAACGGCAAAGCAUUAAAAGAGUAAACAAGUCAUAAAUAGAGUUUUUCAAGCUAAAGAGAAGCCGUAAAGUCAACAGUUAGUUUCAGAGGAAUGGGGCUAUAAUCAAUUCAGAUUUAUGCGUUAUGUGCAGUGUUAGCUUACUGUGCUGUGCUUCUAGAAUCAUGUGUGUGUGUGCACUAUUCUAUAUAUAGUCAAUAAGCUACUCCGGGUGUGCUAUAGUCAAUAAGCUACUCCGGGUGUGCCUAUCCUCUAUUCAGUAGAGAACAAGAGCAACGGUGUAAGCAACCCGCUAAGCGCUAAGAGAGUUUGCCGGCAAAGUAUCCAUCUUUUUUCACUGUUCCCUCCAUUCUCUUAUUCUCUCAUAGUUUCAGUAUAGUUUCAGAGUUAGCAUUCUCUUAUAUUCUUCUUUUCUUUUAGAAGUUUCAGAGUUAGCAUUCUCUUAUAUUCUUUAUAGUUUAGAGUUAGCAUAAGCAUUCUCUUAUUCUCUCAUUGUUUAGAGUUAGGUAGAGCCAGCAGUAGCAGUAAUAAGUGUUUAGUUACUAGAUUCUAUAUGAGUCACGCUAGAUAUUGGUCAUGCUAGAUUCAAUGAUUUCUUUCGAGUGGAGGGGCAAGUUAGCUCACUUUUCUCUUGGGGCGCGCCAGACAAUAAGUUUCGUUACCAACCCUUACCUUACCUCACAGAACCGCGAAAACGGAUAGUUCGGGAUGCGUCGGGUUACUCUCAGAGCUUGCUCUUGCGCAGGUUUGAGUAUGGUUUCCAAUAUACUUGACUAGUUUUUCAUCAUCAAUCUCAUGCUCAUCUCUAUUCUCUACUGCCCACUCAACUCGAGAAUCCGCCGAUGCAGGAUCUUUAUAGUUCUAAUCAAACUAAUGCUCAUCUCUAUCACUCCAAUUGUUGGAUGAUUCGAAAGGUACGUCCGAGUUUUCUUCUUAGCAGAUGGGGAUCGAAGAUCUAACUAUGAGUUAUGAUGAUGAUAGUUUCUUUUAAAGUUCCAUGACUUUGAUGAAACUCCUCAUUAGCAAAGAUUCGAUUUCCGCUAAGGAUUCUCUAUAGCAGAAGAGGCUUCUAUCCGAAUCAUCUUUCUCAAACCAAACCUUAAUCCGUUAGGUCAAUAUACGCUGGAGGCUCUCAUUAUUCAUUUACUAGGUUCGGUGUUCCACUGUGUACGUGACUUACCAGUAGUGAGGGUGUCUACUUUGAUCGAACAGCAUUCUUAUACUCUACAGUCAGAGUUCAAGCAGGAAUCAAUAAAGCUUUAGUUAAGCAUUCCGUGAAGUUCUCUUUCGAUAAGUUACUAGGAAAAAUGAUGCUAUUUAGUUUGGGUUGGUUGAGUUCUUGCUCGACCGCGGAUUAUGAUUCAAAGUUCAGCAAGCUAUACAUCAUAGGUUCUAACUAAGUUCAGCAAGCUAUACAUCAUAGGUUCCAACUAAGAGUGAAGUUAUAUACUCUACAAAUGUAACGCUAUGUGCAAGUGUCCUUACUAUUCGACUCAAUCUUCCCAUGUUUUACAAGCCGUUAGAUUGGACUUAAUACGGUCGAUUCUCCUUCAACGUUAGCUUCUAUUAGGGGUGGUUGGAUACUUAAGCAGACUAAGUGGGAAUUCCCUCAUAUCGAUGAGACUCUCGAUAUUAGGUUUCAUGAUCCUAUGCGUAUGUGCAAUGUGUUGAAUACACUUCCAUCUCAAGUCUUGGAGAUAAACAAGCGAGUCCUGUCGUACAAUCGUGAAGCCCCAUAAGAGGAGGUUCUUCUUCUGAAUAGAAGUAUAGCGACAGUCAAUCUAAAAGAAGCAUCUAACGAGGUUAUGUUACGUCAAUGACGAAGGUGUGAGGAAUGUGUGUAGCUGUCACAAGCUGUUAAGUUAUUUCACUAAGCGGGUGCAUCGAGCUAAGUAUGCAGAAUGAGUCUUAACUCUUUCGAGUGCAUACGCAGGUUCUCAUCUCACUUGGAUCUUCCAGCGUUCAUUGACUUACGUGGUCGAAUCUACCACACAGGUGUCUUGCAUUUUCACGAGGGCUUCAAGUGUUAUCUUAUUUGCUAACGCUAAACAACUCGAACAACGUUAGGAGAAUGAUCGAGAAGAAUGCUUUUCUCAUGUGCUGCUGCCUUUAAGCUUACUUAAGAAAUUGACAACGUUUCCAAAGUCUAUAGUGGAGUAGAUUCACGAAGUGAGUCGUUCGGACGAGAUUGCACUUUGCACAGCAAGCUAGUGAGCCUUUUGCAGUUCCUAGCUGACGUGUCUGUCAAACGAAAAAGUGAGUAUUCGUUUUCAUAAUGUGCCAGUGAGUCAAGAUGCAUCUGCGAGUGCUUAUCAAAUCAUGAGUGAUCUUUUGCUUAAUGAAGAACUGGCUAGUUAGGUUUAUGGUUCAUUGUUCAGUCGCUCAACUUUGCUAUGAAUUUAGUAGAAAGAUCCUGACAUAGCCAAUAUCAUGAAGUAGGUGAACUUGGUUUUGUUCUUUCUUGAAUCAACCAGGCGUAUCAAGAGUACUUCACGACAGUGCAGGACGUAACAAAAAGCUUCUUUAUGGGUUGGUUUUUCUAGGGUGGGUGUGCAAGAAUAGACGUCGGGUUACUCUACGAGUGCCUACGUUGGAUAGGGAUAAGCGCAAGACUCUAGACCUGCGUCAACUUUCUUCAUCUGGCUUUCAGCUCCUUUCUUUCUAGCUGGUGGAGCAAUUGACUUCCAAAAGUGAAGCUCCGGUACAUCAUAACGACAUCCGUUGUUUAGGCGGCAGCAAGGUCAUACUAGAGUUGGGUUGAGUAUAACUACUGUUUGCACUUAUGAGAGAGAAUCCUAAUUCUAAUAAACCAUCUUCCCUGUGGAUAGGCCCAAUUCCAUCUUUAGGUUCAUAUGGAGUUAUCGACUUUAUGAACGGAUGACAUCUCAAAAAAGAAAUGAAUAUACUCAAGGUUUAGAACUGCUGAAGAAGGUAAUAAUCUCGGUGUUGGCUUGGCUUCAGAAGCACAUUCUCCACGUCCACGACACCUUGCUUCAAAGCCUUAAGUAGGAAUUUCUGAUUACCCCCUUCCCUUGUUGCUUCCUUUCGAACUGUAAUUCUCCUGACUUUCAAACAAUAAGAUUUCAUGAACCUUACCCACUCUGUGAAGACUACGAAGUUAUAGCAUCGGCUAGAAUGCAACUUCAAGUACUGUACAACUUUUGAGUCUGGUAAGGUUACGAUAGGUUAUAUCAUCAAAAGUCCGAUUGGAGAGAUUUCAUAUAUGGGGAGCUAUUUCUUGAAAUGAUUCCGGCGGGAAAGCCACUCGGUUUAUUUAAUAAAGAUGGAGUUUGGAAUACGUAAUGCUUAAAGCUGAGUUAUACGAGAAUACUCCUGGCAAACUAGUAUUUAGUCGAGCCUAUAUUACUGGUAUUAAAGAGAAUACACCUAUUAGUGUUGAGGAAGCUGAUACCAAAAUCAAUCCAAUCUUGUCUGACUCCAAAAGAAGCUACUUCAAUGGGCGUCGUUAUCCCGAACUCAAACAUCAGAGUAAAGCAAAGCAUGCUUUCAUUGUUGACGAUACUGAGACUGUUCUCAUAUAUAAUGUUCAUGUGCCUUAUGCUGCGGGUUUAUGUUGACGAUACUGAGACUGUUCUCAUAAAUAAUGUUCAUGUGCCUUAUGCUGCGAGUGGUUAAACCAGAUGAUGAUCUUGGUGCCAUGCCUUAUUAUUCAAUUGACACAUUGAUUGAAGUGAUCGUUAUGCCAUAAUUUCCAGAAAAGAGUAAUCGUAUGUUGUUCUACUUUCCCGAACGUUUAGCAUUUGUCUUAAAAGCGGUCAUAACUUAUCACGAUUCGAUGGGAUUCUAUAUUCUUGGGAUUCUAUAUUCUUAAUAAAAGAUUAUGCUUAUCAUGGGGAUAAGUCAUCAAUGAAACCUAUCAUGAGGAACCAUAAGCUUUACGAGUUAGCUGUGUCUCGAGAUGGGAAACAACUGCUCCGUCUAAGAGAUUAAUACACAAAGAUCCUUAGUAGUCUUGCUACAUUGGCUAGGACUUUCUGUCUUCGAUUAGGUUCGAAAGGCUCCAUCCCACAUGACGAAGUGCAAGUGUCGAAUCUUUCCCCUUCAGGUCCCAGGGAAUCGCUCUGAUCCCCUACUUCUCUUUAUUAAUCAAGUAGGUUGUGUACGAUAAGCGCUGAUCCCACAGUUUGCUCUUCCAGCAUCCAUGCAUUAAGAAUUAGUAAGUGGGGGUUCGGUUCAAAUACCUUCCUUUUGGACUUUCUUUUUCCUACCCCGCUAACGGAAACUCAGGCUUCCAAAAAGGCCUUUUCCCCGGGCGGCUUCGAAGCCCCUCUCCAAAUGGGCAACCCUUAGUUUAGAGCCACCUCGAUUCAGGAUGUCGGAACACCAACCGGAUCGGAAACCGAUUCCUAAACAUACUUAGCUUUGGAACAUCGAUCGAAACCCUUUCCUAUCUAGUUCAGCUGAUCCUUCAGUUCCAACUAAAUCGGAAGCUUCAUUCUACAGACGAGAGUAGGCUCGAGGAGGAUAGGAUCCUGAAGGGCUUUGGGUCAUUUUGUUGAUGUCCUUUGGUUAGACCUUUGGCUGGAUCGAAUCCUUUUCGCGCGAGCAUAGCAAACGAGCAAUUGAGUCAUAUAAGAAAUCCUGUUUGUUGCCUAGUUCGGUCUGCUACAAGGCUAUCCGAGUUCAAGGGUGUCGUUGUUUUUCCCCUUAUUCAUUAAGAUUGGGUUGAUGUAACUGGCCUUUCUCUUGCUGUUGUCGAGUGCCUGCUGCUUGACUUCUUUCUGACAUCCGCCUAUCUUACAUUCUUUAGAGAGCAAGCAAGGUGCUGAAAGCCAACAAGUAGUUUCGUUUUGGAAGCAAAGCAGUGUUUAUUACCUAUAGCAGCAUAAGUCACUUCUCUUCAACAAGCACUAUAUUCUACAUGAAACUCUUUAAGUCACUUUUCUUCAACAAGCACUAUAUUCCAUUCCUUCUUUUUCGCUAAUGCGCACCCAUCUUAUUCUUUCAGUCAAACUAUCCCCGCUUGGUCAAUAAGCUUACGCGCAACGGGGUUAAUCUAUUCCUUCUUAAAGGAAGCUAUGUAGGUAGGUUACUUCAUUCUAUAUUAUCUGUUGCCAAUUAUGUCUUCUUGAUUCCACACUGGAUUCAACAAGUAAGCAAGCAAGGGAAGCGCACGAAUAAUGUACUUGAGAUAAGGGUUCGCUCAGUACAGUAAGAAGUGUUGUUUACGUUAUUAUAUCCAUCUUAGGCUAGAAGAGGUAGAAUCUAUUUCCGUAAGCAAUGCUGUCAGCUGUAAGGUAAGAUUCCUAGGGAAGAGAUGCUGUAUGAAGAGAUGCAGAUGCUGUGUAUUUACAAUGUGUUCUAUAACAAGCUUCUUUACUUUUUGCUUGAUCAUAUAGAGUAAGGUAAUUGGAAAGAAUUCUAUACUAGGUCGGGCUCGACACCCUUAUUUAUUUCAACUCAACCUUCCCUUCAGAACCAAUUGUAGCUGACUUACUUUAUGUUGCUCCUUAUACAGAUCCUUAUGUGAACCCUUCUUUUCGGGAGACCUUUUGGGGAGACCUUGCUGCUCUUGUUUAUUAUUAUUAUAUACUUAUUGAAUGGAAUUGUUGAGCACUUAGGUUUGUUUAGAGCACGAAGUGUGACCUUCUUCUAGAAUACCCCCCCGGCUAAUGAUUCUGUUUCUGACCUUGCGCCAGAGGGUUCUAAGUCAGUUUGUGCCAGCAGGUAAGAUCAGAUUUUGGGUUAGGUUACCAAAAGUGUUAUAAUGGAUUGGUUCACUAUCAGCUCUCGGGGCGCUAAUGCUUACUGACCCUAAUCCUAAUGCUUACUUACCCUUAACUACUCUAAUGCUUAUUACUGGGGCCGGAGUAGAACAACCAGCAUUAAUAAUAGGGGCUUGAGACUUACGCUGGAGAAAAGAGAGUAGAUUCGGCUGGCUUACUUAUACGAUGAAACUGGAACAGGACAUUAAUAAGCUGACCUCUUACUACUGCAGAUACGGACUCCUGCUGAUCUACCGGUUGAAGAUUACGCCGGGCCGGGAGGGGAAAGCAAAUAACUUACCUCUAUGACUCGUAUUCAACACAAUCACCUCUAUCAUCGCCAACAACAAGAACCUAAAAGAAGAGAGAGUUGUUGCCACCUUGGGUGUAUUCUGAGGAGACUUAAGCGGAAAGACACCACUUGGUAAGAAGCUCAAAAAAGAACUAUUCUAUAUAAUGAUGAAAAUGCUAAGAUGCACUAUUCUAUAUAAUGAUGAAAAUGCUAAGAUGCUUCUUACUGUUAACAAACUGAAGUUGAAAAACCAAUAAUAACCACCCUAUGAAAAGAAACCUUGAGGUGACAUUAGGCGUUGGAGAUAGAGCUAUCUUAACCACCUGUAAAAAGAAAGUAGCACUCCGCCGAAAUUAACUGCAAAGACAAGAAAGGAGAGUUGUUUCAGUUUAUUGCACAAAUGCAAACACAGCAACUUCAAUCAACACAGUGGAAUUGGAAAGGCUUAUCCGCUCUUGAGUUGGCUUAUGUGCCUCUUGCUAACUGGUAUGUUGAGAGCCAAAGUGGUAAUAACCCUAACGUUAUGUGGACUCAAAUGAGUGUCUUUAGGAAAACCUUGAGAACUGUUGAUGAUCCCUUAAACAGGACUCGGUAAUAACUCUCAAAACCUAAAACACAGGACUUACAGAGUAUAUUAAGUUAAGUAGCACCCACCCGACCCUAGACUUUAUUCACACAGCGGAUUCUCUCCCUUGUCGGAGUGGAGGUGAAUAUAAUAUACAUCGGAGUGGAGGUAAAUAUACUGGAUUACUAUUUCUUAUCGUAGUGGAGGUAAGUCAUACUCUUAUCCUUCUCAAGCUUCUGUAUCAAAGGAGGAAUUACAGAAUAGAGUUUACUUACAAGUAGUAGUCACUACUAAACCUUUCUUAUUAGACCCCUAAGGCAACUAUACCUCCAUCUGUUCUCUUCUCUUGCUCCGCUACAUCCGGAGUAGGGGAAUCAACCCUAUCUUAAACUCUCUAUCUGGUGUUGGAGACAAAAGAAGAUACUCGACUUGGACCACUACGAAUACGGGAUAAGAAGCGAGGGUGGUUAGGUACUGGCUGGCUUCUGAAGCACUAACUGACUUAUAUAAUAGAACAGAUCAAACUCCCACUGCAGACUGCUUUCCUGGCACAGUAUCUUAUCUUGUCGGCUCUCCUUGCACUACGGAUUCUCGAACAACAACUCUCGUUUGUCAAUAGUUCUCGUACCGUGUAUAUAAUUGGGUAAUUAGAGAUAGAAGAUGAGUUUACAUUCCAAUGAAAUGAUUAUAUGCUUGACACAACAAGCAACUCACCAACAUUGGCACCCAAAGAAAUAUCUUCUAUUCUCUUAAUGAUUCAACCUCGUAUUCAGCCCCAACCCGAACUCUAUUGGAAGUUCUGAAUUGACCUCUGGAGCACCUGGUAUCCCAUAAUGUAAGCUAACAAUCAACAAAGGAUUGAAUUUCAUCUCUCGAGCUUAGAGUCCAAGAUUCAUUUAUUUACUUCACGGAUGUUCUAUCAAGUUAGAAUUGAGCGCGCAGCAGGAAAAUCUUUUAGUGCAUUAACUCCUGACGCCUAACCAAAAAAGUACUUACAGCUGAUUGACUUUCAACAUAUAGAUAUGAUGGUUGAGAUAGCUACGUGGGAGAAUCAAAGCGGGGUUUUGAAACAAGAGAAUAGGACUCUGAUCGACAUGGUAGCAAGAAUAAGGAGUUAGAGAAGCCAGCCUCAAAGGGCGGGGCAUGACAUACUUCACCAAUUGGAUAGGAAGAAAUUCUAGUAGUUGCAGUUUUCAAGUCAGGCAAUAAGGGCUUGGCGGGCAGAGGUGAUUGUUAUCGCUAGUUUGAUUCUGCCUAUAUGUGGGGCACUAGAUCAGACCUAUACUCUACUUAUUCUUAUCCUGAUUCUCUUAUUAUCUGAAACUAUUAACUAGCAAUUGAUCCUAUAGGAGCAAGGAGCCGACUAGUCCUAAUCGGAAUUUCACUCAACAUCAAGAUCCUAUGACAGGACAGGGCCCUAGGCAACAAGCAACGAAACAAACACCGCAACCCCUACUGAAAAGAAUAACCCUGUGGACAAAAACUCUGACUCGCUCCGCUCUCUUGAGUGCGCUGCGCCUCCAUCGACAUUCUAACUAUCUCUGUUAUGAGCCUGUUGCCGCUUACCUGUAUUCUUUAAUUCGACUGUUAGUCCUACUAUGCUUACCCUCAUUCCCCAACUAAUGCCUUAAAGGCUCCCAUAACUAUGUCAGUAUUACACUAAUAUAAGUGAAUUGAAUAAUAAUUAAUAGAAGUCAAGAAUAGCAGUCAGUUUAAAGACUUGCGGCUAACGAACAUAACAUCAGAGUGCAAGGAGCAAGUAUAGGACCUAACUCUAAAGUCAAAGUGGAGUCGAGGAGAAUUCACCUAAGUAGUAUUAGUCUCAAAGAAGGAAGGUGGAAUCAGAGGAGACCCAUAACAAGGGAAUGAAACCAAUACAGUUAGAAUUGGGCUCGACAAUCACCUACUUCAAAUGAAACAAGGGUCGAUUACAUUGAGCUAGUCAUUCUGCUGAUGAUACAUCUUCUGCUUCAGAUCCUAAUACUGCUUUAGCUUAUCCUUCUUAUCGAGUCUAGCCUACUGCAGACUUGAUUUCGCCAACUCCUGAUUGGUAUUCUGAUCCAGAUCUUGGAGACUUAACUAGAACAGAAGAUCAGAUUGAUUAAUUGAAUCAUCUUGCCCAUGUGAUAUAGAUUGAAGUAAACACACACCAUCGUGAUAUAGAUUGAAGUAAACACACACCAUCCCCUUAUUGGGAAUCUUACAGAUCAGGUUUCCUCUAUGGUUCCAUUCCAACACCUACCUCUCUUCUUUAUUACUUUCUUAUAUAUAGCCUGGCCCUUGUAUACUCUUAUGAAAUUAUGACUUCUUGUGCAAUCUCUUUACAAGCUUUGACUUUUUGAUACCUAUAUUCUUCCCCUAACUCGGCUUGGACCACUACUUGGGGCAGGAAACCAAGAUUGAUCAUCGUUAUUCUACUCUCUUUUCUCAUGCAUGCCCACUACGAAUCAGAGGUGAAGUCGAACCCUAAACCCCAAUCUUUAUGGCAUUAAUGAAGGGCACAGGACAUUACUCAAAACCCUAUAGUCAUUAGUCUGGAAAGAAAGCGCCAAGCUCCUACGUAAGACCAAGCAACGAGGCAAGUCACACCGGUCCUAACCUGUUUUGUUCCUACUUUCCUGUUAGUAUUAGCUUGCCGGGCUUUGAAGCCAUAAGUUCAUGAGUUUAUGUUGAAUCCGCUGAGUCUUCUUGGGCCGACCUUACCUCUACUUUGAGUUCAGAACCGAUUGCUUCUAAUCUUGCUUUAGAUCCUACUGCUCGAACAGAUUAUUCUCCUGAUUCAUAUCCAGAUCCUGCUUGAGCUUGCUACCCGGAUCCAGCUUAUGGUCUCGUUGACAAAGGAGAGUUCUGAGACAGAAUCCAAUCUCAUGUCCACUGCUAGGUGUUCUGUUCUAGGUGAAUCGACAACAUAAGAUGCUGUUUCACGAGAAGAAGUAGUGUGAUAUCUUGGUGUUGGUGAAAGAAAGGAAGCUAUUAGAUAAGUUCGGGCAAGAAUAUAAUAAAGUACUGGCUCUGUCUCUGCUCUACCUGCGGACUUUAAGCUUUCAUCACGUAUAUAGUAACAAUGAGAAUGAGAAGAUAGGCACAACGGCAGCCACAGACUUCCCGGCGCACCCGCCCCAUACAGGACUUUUACUUGAUGGGAGCAAUUAGAAUAGUGGAGUAGUAGGGCCAGGCCCGGACGAGAUACAAAACAGGAAACUUCUCUUGGCUUCUCUUGCAACAACAGAUUGCGAGUUUCAGGCUUUGCUUUCACCCGCGUAUACAGACCCAUGUUCUUAUCUACGGACCUAUUAUGUUCUUAGUAUCCGGAGUCGCCUACACGGUAAAGAACUGGAACCUCCACUUUAUGAUUCUGAACCGACAACACAAUCCUCUUAACGCGCCCAGUAUAGAAUUGAGUAAAUACCCUUAUUCCCUAUCUCUACGCCCUUUGCUCGAACUAACCUUUACUUUACCCCCCGGCUCUAACUCCAGUGCUCCAAAUACCAAAUAAAGAAGAGAACUUCUCAGAGGAAACUCAAUUAUGAAAUGAAAGCAGAAACCUGGAAUUCCAUUCUCCAACCCUAUUCUUAAAUGCAAAUUGAGUGAGUAGUCGUUUUUACUCAUAUCUAUCUCGGGUGCUCUAAAGUGGAUGCUUCUAUCUAUAUAGGAUUACUAAGGUCUAGCGCCAAGAACGGAAAGAGUACUCUCGAAACAAGAACACGAAACAAGAGUACGAAACAAGAGACUGCUUGACUUAGCGCUUCUAUCGGAGAUGAACUAAAGCCAACUCCUCUAUCGUAGCCAAACACUUUUACAACAGAAAUAGACUCCAGAGCGGCAGCACUUGUUGGUUCUUCAAGUAUGGAGUCUAGAGAAGGUUAUUCCGCAAUUACUGGCUUUGAUGCCCUACCCUAACCCUAAGUAAAUGAGUGGAAUCCGUAUUUGUUGGCGCAAGUGCCAUUAUAAGUCUUUUCAUUUAGAAUUCUCAACUGCUUAGGUGUAGUCUCAAGGAAAAGACUCAAAAGAUGGUGUUAUCGACCCGACGGAAACAAAACGGAUGGUGUUAUCGACCCGACGGAAACGAAACUGCAAACUAAUAACUCCCUAAGCGCCGAGUCAAGCUCACUAACACAGAAACCUGGAACCGGACUAACAAAGUCUUACCCGAACCGAACUCACUUUAGAUUAGCACUAGUUCUUGUUGGGUCGAGGAAAACAGCAAACGUCGCCCUUGCUUGUUCCGUUGCUUUAAGAAUUGUAAUACCUUCUACUAAUACAAUGCAUUAAGUAGUUCCUUACAGUAGUCGCUUUUUUCUUUUAUUGAGUCUUUCGAGCUUCGAGCUAAAGUCAAAGUUAAUAAGUGUAUAAUAUUACCUAAUAGCAUUUCUAUACAAAAUCAACUCGCUACUCGCUAACCGCACUGAGUCUUCUUGUGCCGAGCCGAAAUAAGCACUUUUGUUGGCUUCUCCGAAAUAAGCACUUUUGUUGGCUUCUAUAAUUAUUCUUUCAUGUAGGUCUACUUCAUACGAGUUUCUUUGGUUAUUCAUUUCUAUAUUAGGGUAGUAGUAGUUCUUCCAUUUCCAUUUCCACUCUAAACUCCGUAAGCGCUUAACCGAGAUGAGAUCGUAUAGAAUGAGACGUAACGACACUAACUCCCGUCAAGGCUUAAUUGCUAGGAAGAUUCAUAUAAUAUAGUUAACCACUCGCUCCUGUCCAAGUGCCCCAUCUCUCAUUCCACAGCCACUGCACUUAAUGCCUUAUUUUAGAAGAAGUAAAUCCACUAUUACGGAUUGGAAUUCCACCAAUGCUAGCAGGAACCCAGCUACUACUAGAAAGACAACAGCCCUAAAGUCAGAACUCCAUCAAUGCUAAAAGGAAUGGAACUACCUCUUGCCAACCCUUCAUAGCUUAUAAGCUUAGCUUCCAAAUCUGACUUUCCUGCCCCAUCUUAUAGUAAAGCUACUUAUUUCAAGACUUUCUCCUUUAGUAAAGAAAUACACCAGCAAAAGAAAGACUAUAAGUGGGCCUACACAGGAUGGAACUGGCGCCUGUCAUACCUUAACAAGUAAAGGGGAAUUCCAUUAGUCACUCUGGGAGACAAGUAACAACUAGGCUACCACCCUACCAACUACUACUGAUAGGAAUAAAUCAAGUAAUAAAAAGAAUGGACCUAGGGCUACCAAUACCUUCCAACUACAAGAUAAGGGUUACACCAAUACAACUCAUGCUUAGCUGUUGGACAGGGGUGGCUUUCUUAUUUCUGCCUAUCAGGGAACCAACUCUUGCUUGACUUGCUUUGAUUCCGACUACUACUAAUAAGGAUUAAUACGGUAGCGCGUAGCCCUUCUCUAUUGGCACCUACGCAGCCCUUGCUCUACCUUAUCUUAACCUAUCCUUCCCGACCAUUGGUCUUACGCCACUUACUAUAGGUCUUACUUUUAUGUGGAGCAUAUUAGUUUGACUUUGCUUGCUUUGAGGCUACCUCCCCUUCUUCCACUGCUAACUCAAAAACGGUUACUAAUGCCAGCGAGCCGGUAAUUGAACAGCCUAUAUCCUUUGUUUCAACCUUGUAUUGCUUUAUCCAAUUCUCCAGCUACGGGGAACAUAACCUGUGCCUUUCUUCUAUUAUUCCUAUGCUUGCUCUCGUUUGGGUAUGCCUAUACUGUAACUAAGCCUACCUUUCCUGACCUCGCAUCUGUACUCGCUAUAUCAUAACAUAUCAUACUAUACACAGGUAUAUUGUGUGUUAUACUAGGGUGUGUUGUGCCGUACGGAGGUGUCAAUCAAUGGAGGUUUGUUGGCGAGCAAGUAAAUAAAUCCAAGAAAUAGGGUUAGUUGGCCGGGUAGGUAAGUACUCUCUUUUUGUUUUAGGCUCAGAGGUCGUAGUCACCGGCUAUGAGUCAAGAAGGUAAGGAUCCCUCAAGUAACCACUAGACAAACUGCCAGCCAAGCAAAAAACGAAGAAAUAUGUCAUAUCCAUAUUCUAAUGAGAAAACACAUAUCAAUACAUAUAAAUAUAAGUCAACAAAAAGAAUCAGAAUGGAGUAGUUCAAAAGCAGAAUAGAAGGCGGGGGCCUUGGUGCAGUAAGUAAGAGACUGAGAGCAAAGGGCCAAGCAACUAGUGAAACUAAGACUUCAAUCACUGCUGGUAAGAAUGGAACAGUGCCUGCUAAGUCCGAUGCUAGUGGUAUUGAUGCUAGGGCCAAGUCCUGUCCUCGUAUAUGUCUUCUUUCCCCCUUUUCCAGCAAUAGGUACAAAUCUUUCUUUUCUCCCUUUUCUUUCUAUCUUAAUGAUUAUGGAAUUGACGGACCACCGACUGUCUAGAUGUGAAAUAGUUCGUGCAUGGAAUAUGAGUUGAUUGAAGUAUGGUACCUGAUUGAAGUAUGGUACACCAACAUAGACAAAAUGAUACAUAUCGGCACCCGCACCCUUAUAAAUCAAAAGGUAGAGAGCGGGCAAGCCGUUGUUUGUUCGAGUUAAAGCGCUUACGCGAGUGACUUCAUCGCCUAUUGCUAUUGUAUAUAAAUACAGAAGUCAUAUUCCCAGAUACAGAAGUAAUAUUCCCAGAAGUCUAUACAAGAGCUCCACUUUUCCAUUCUUUUCUUGUCUUGUGUUUAGGCGCCUUAGCUUUCUUUGAGUUUUGUGUAGGUUCUCUGUUGGUUUGUGGUUGGUCUAGUGUUUCCUUCCGAUUGAGUCGGGCCAGUGGGAUCACCGGUACCCCUAUUAGAUUCAAGGUGUUGGGUUCUGCUAAAGAUGUGUCUCAUCCUUCCGUAACGCUCUCUUCAAUUCCAUUCAGUUCAGUCACUCUAUCGGGUUCUGCUAAAGAUGUGUCUCAUCCUUCCUAUUGCUAUUGCCCACUAAACUCUCUAUUAGUCAAUAAUAAAUAGUCUAGAGAAGAUAAGCGGGAAGAGAAAUCAUAAAUAGUCUAGAGAGAGGGUAAGCGGGAAGAGAAAUCAUAAAUAGUCUAAAGAGGAUAUCGGGAAGGGAAAGAAUCAAUCAAGUAACUACAAAGAAUCAAUCAACUAACUACUAUAAACUAAAGGUCCGGGUGCCGAAAUCGUAACUACUAUAAACGAAAGGUCCGGGUCUAAAGCGAUUUGACCUAUCUUACUCGUGACUUUCCCUAGGAUUUGACCCAUCUUACUCGUGACUUUCCCUAGAAUAUCCGUUUCCCCAGGGCGACUCUACAUCCGGGUUCUCAGCAAACAAACCCAGAGUAGUUGACCACGGCGUAAACAACGAGAACUCUCCUAAUGCUUCUAACUCACUCAUUUCAUACUUGAACUUCCGUGUAGUUCCUUCUUGUGUUGCGGUUCAAUUCCAAAAUGCCAGGGAUAGAAAAUCAAAGGGAUGCUGUAUAGAAAGAAAUCGGGUCAUUAUUUAGGUGCUUGGUUUGCUCCUUACGCUCUACGCUCAAAGUCAAGUAUACUUUUUCCUAAGCUUGCUGAGUCAGGGUUUUUAGGUGGUAAGGAAGAAGCAUUGUUUUUAGGUAGAGUAGAGCCAGUAGUAAUGGGUCUUUUUCCCUAUGGAGCAUAUGUCUAUUCUAUUCUUAAAGCCACUCGGGGUUCUUAAAGCCACUCGGGGAACAAGCAAUCUUCUCUUCUGCUUCUGAUCCUUAUGAUUCUCUCUCUCAUGGACAAGAAAAGAAAGAUCAAGCGCCAAGAACCUAAUCUGCUCUAUACUUAAGUACUAAAUCAGCCUAAGGGAAAGCUCUCAAAUGGCAAAUUAUCUUAGUUUUACCUAUGUUCAACUCAUCUUAUGGAAAAUCCCCCAUCCAAUUCCCUAUUGGCUGUAGAAAUGCAUUUUUGCCUGAUAUCUUUGCAUGCUUAGCUUUGACCAUACCUUUGCUUUCCAACCUUUCUUUUCCUUGACUUACCCACCGCUACAAAGAAUUUCAGAAUACAUCUCCAUUUACCUGCUUCUAUAUUCCAUACUGCAUCCCUUUUCUUUUGCGUUACUUCCUAACUCGACUUAAAGCUCGUCGCUAACUAGGAUUCCACUAUCACACCACUAACUUGAAGUCAGAACUGCAACACCGUUCCAUGGGCAUUCGAAAGGAGCUUAUUAAUACAACAACACUCGCACCGCUACCGCCGAUGACAAAAACGACACUUGCCCCGAAAACGAAUAAUCUGACUUGUUUGGUUGACUGCCAGCCUUAACCCAUAAGUACUUCAGUAUAGUUCCAUUCCAGUUCGAGUAUUGUCGUAGAGAGAAGCUCUCCGUCAGUAAAGUAUCAAGUAAGUAUCGCUUAUAUAGUGGAUCUUGUAUCGUAUAUCAAAUUGUCAUCCUCAAUUCCAACUUCUUUGUCAGUGCAAUUUCCAUGAUUUUAGGCUUCUGCGCUAAGAGAUACAAAAAUCCUGUUUAUGUUCGACUUUCCCCUGUGCAAGAAAGAAAGAUUCCUGUCCUGGUGCAGGCGCAAGAAAGAAAGAUUCCUGUCCUGUUUUAUCAAUACGAGUGAGGGCAAUUAGAAGUUUAGAGAGUGGGUGUGCCUUCUGAUUCUGGUAUGCUAAAAGCUUUUCCCGGUUCUGCUUCUACGCAACAUAUAUGAAAUUGAGAAGCACUAGACGGCGGAACCCAAAAUUCUAUACGCUAAUUCUUAAGUUUAUUACCUUGCUGUUCAAUUCACACUUUGGAGGUGACUUAUUCUACUUAUUUGUUUCAUUCUUUUUUGGAGGGUUGGAUUCUUUAUUUACUUGCUCACGUGUCUAUUCUAGUAGUAGCUUGGCUCUGGCCUUUGCGUGACUACCUACCCCGGACUCAGCAUCAGUGAAUUCUUUGACUUCAGAUUGCUCUUCUACCGGCAAGCAACUACAAUAACAGUAUAAGAAUAAUCUGCAGGAGUAGAUUCUAAGUAAAGAUCAUAGGCGCAAGUCAGCAGCUGUAAUAUUCCAUAUCUUUUGUCUAGUAUUAAUGAGCCUUAAGGAGUUCUAAAUAAUACUCGAAAGUGAAGUUAAUAAACCGAGUGUAGGUUCCUCGCUUAGAGUGGAGUUAUCUUCUUCGCCCCUAAGUCUCUUGCUCUAGGAAUAGAGUAUUUCUCUACUUGUGAUUGGUCUAACUUUACAAUAUAUCAUAUCAGUUUGACUUGACUUGCUUUUACUUGAAGACUAAGUCGACUACCUUGUUGACCGACCUACCUAUGAAUUACCGAGGUCGUACUUCUUUGUAGUAAAUAAAGAAUGAAGUGAUAGAUUUGAAGAACGAAAGUCAAUAGUGAUAGCCGGUAAGGGCAUACCAAACCAUGGGAGUGGAACGUUAACUAAAGAAGAAAAGUCAGUGGUAGAAGGCUUCAAGUGGUAUGGCAUACAAACCUGAAACCGGGAAACAACCCUUACUGCUAUUAGAAUGUGACUCAACAGCAUAAGCCUAACUUAUCGGAAUGACUCUUACGACCCGCACAAACUAAUAUAGAUCCAUCUAGUUAUAAUCAUUAACUCAAUUCUCAUGUUACAGCUGGAGUCUACCUCUCUUUGCUUGAAAACUGAGGUUCCCCGCUUAGAGUCUGUUUUGGUAGGAAUAGAAACAGGUACGAGACAGCGCAUCUAACAAAAGGAAUAGAACUACUAUUUCAAAGAAUCGCACGGGUGAGUUUUGGUAAUAUAAGAAUGCAAUUACUAAUACCAUAAAUAGAAUUAGGUAAACCGAAUGCAAUUACUAAUACCAUAAAUAGAACUAGGUAAACCGAGCCUUACUCCCGAUGGAAUAAUCUGACUAACUAUAUAGGCAUUCCAAGCGCCCUGACACUACCAACUCGACACCUGCUUUAUUGUCCUCUUAGCUUAUAUCCCCUCGCUCUCAUUCUCUAUGUUGUUCCUCGUAUCUUGCUUCACUGCCCCUUCGCCUAUAUCUCCUGACUAUGAGUAUUGCUUUACUGGCUCUAAGGCUUACUUGACUGUCUCCUAUUCUUAUUAGCCCGUCUUCCAUUCCUAUGUUUAGUAAUUGACUUGUUAGGACGAUAUUCCUUAGCUACCUUAGUUUCGAGUUAGAGUGGAGCCUUACACUCUAGUUAACAUCACCAGUAGCAGACCUGUAGCAGUAGGCCAGAUUAUUAACACCCGCACUUCCCCCUUCCACUCUUAGGCUCCUGUCUUUGAUUCUAAUACUUUUAUGCGAUGGGACAUGUUAGAGGCUUGCUUUCCUAGCUGUCAGUAUUACUUUACUGGAUAUCAGUCUAUACUCUCUUGUUUUGAGUCUCCCCUAACUGCUUAUCAGCCACCAAGUCCUAGUCUCUGGGGUUAUGAAAGUCAACCACAUAGUCCUUUAGUAGCGCCUAUCAGUCAACCCCGGGUAACUUGGUCUUUGUUCGUUCGUGCCAAAGUCAAUAAAUUGGUUGAUGAACUUCACCAAUAGGGGAAUCCAGCGCUACCUUAUUUAUUAGAAUAAUGAAAUGUAAGUAAACUAAGCAAGCUUUAUUCACCAGGGCAGGGCGUACAAUCAUACUCCCGGGUAGCGCAAAGCCUUAGAAAACCCGCAGCGAAACAACCAUCUGUAUUAAUUAUUAGAUUCUAUUAGUAUCACCCUCAUUGCUAUAAGUCCUGAAACCACUCCCGUUGUAUUCAAAGCAAAGUAAGUAUACCAGUCAGAGCUAUAAGACUCAUUUACUUGUUUGGUAUCGCCUGUCUAUUAUAUGAGAAUAAAAUAACCACUUAGCAACCUAUCUUGUAUAUCAACCUUACUCUCAUGCCACCUAAGUCCGAUACUGCUCUAUCUCAGCCUAUCUCCCCCAGCUAUCAAACGAAAACUACUGUUCGAGAGGCCUACUUUACCGUUUCUCGUUCUCCAACACUAAUGAACCUAACCCUAGCUUGAAUUCCAUAUUGAACUUAUUGUUGAGCCUAGACUUGUUCCUAAUAAUCUUGCCUGAAAACGGAAACCUCUUGCCUUGACUCUUACUUGCUAGUGUGAACCUGCCUCUUUUGUGCACCUAAUCUUGCUUCUUAGUUAUGGAAUCCAGCUACUGCUGAAAGGGCUGCUAUUCAUAGCUAGUUUCAUAGCUGGUAUCGAGUUACCCGAUCCUGUAUCUAGGUAUCUAUUUCCUUUCCUCAAAUCCGUAUUGCACCUCUAUCCAUAUCAGUCUGUCUUUUCUGUCUCUAAGCCUUACAUGCUUUAACUGCGGAUCUAACAUCUGGCUUCGAACCUUGCAUUACUCCAUCUCGAGGCUUGCUCUGCUGGCUAUCUCUUACUAUAUCCUUAUUUGGAGUCCGAUUCCCCUAAUAAUGAGAGUCGAACUGGUAUCUACCUAUAUGAUUAAAACAAGCAACGGACUCACUACCGCUACACUCUUUCGAUCCAGAUCUUUGCUUGAAUCCAAUAGUGCCUUGUCCAGUCCGUAAGGGGAAAGGAAUUGUUAUAACAACUCCUUUGUUCGUCUACCUGUUUUCGUUCCUUUCUUUGUGCUAUAACCAAGUCCUGUAUUCGGGAGCUUGCCCUACAGGUAGUGACUAGACCACUUGCAUAUCGAACGGAUCUUACUCUAAAGGGAGUCAUUGCGAUAUUACCUAGGAAUUUACAGAAUACCAAACUUGGAUAAUAGGUAGACCACUGCAGAGAACCCUUUCGUAGCUACGUUCCCAAUAAAAAGCCGUAAUCCUUCUUUCGCCUGUUAGCCACAUCAAACCUAAAACCUAAUAAACCAAGACUCAGUCACGAAACCUCACUGCACACUAUAUCUGUCUUCAGCCAAUAAAAGACGUCUAUACUAUAGAGAAUCUGGCUCGAAAAGAAACUAGGGAUCAUGAACCCCCUCCAUAAUUCUUUUAUACAGAAUGCUCCCUUUUCCGCACGGGCUAGAUAGCAUUUCUUUUGUCUUUGUCUGGAUGAGUCUCGGAUCAGUAUAGGAUAGCACUCGUCCCUCUUAUCCUUUAGCUUUCGUGUGUCGUGGGAGUAUACCUAUAGUGAGGCAGGAUUCCAAGUUUCAUUUAUGUUUUAGAGAGGAAAUUCCACUUUUCUUUACCUUUACCGGCGGAUGUAUGAGCUGCUCUGAUCAAAUUGGUUGACUUUUACGUGAAGUUGGGCUUAAACACCGAGAGAAGAAUUCAUGAUAACUCGUAGCUACUGAAAGAGGAUAGGUUUAUGAAAUGCUUUAGUGAAUACCACCCGCCUUCCACUGGCCGAUCAAUAAUAGUAGGCAUUCCGCCAGACUCCAUGACUCGGGUUAGGUUAAUCAGCUCCACUCCCUAUGCUAUUGAUAUGCUCGAGCCUGAUCGCUCAUAUGAGGACUUCCACUUUCCAUCGGCCGGCAAGAGUUUCGUCUUACCCGCUUAAUUGCCCGAAACCAACCUUGAAAGGAAUAGUUUGAACUAAUUGCCUGUUUACCAACAAAAGUCGGGUAGGGCAGGGAAUGCCAAUGCCUUUGAUCAGAGUCAGUCAAUCUCCUACUUACUAUGCAACUCGCCCUUUGUGUCUUUAUCAUUAGGCAGCGACCCUUGUCAAGGUCUUCCUCUUGACUUUUGACUAUUAGGCUUACUAUGACCACACUGGUCACUUUCUUUCUAACCACAAACGGGAUCAAGGGCAUCAUUUACUUACAGCGGCAACUAAUUCCCUGCGAUAGAAACUUUCCAAUCUCUUAUGUUUUGGAUAAGAGAAGACUAUCUUAGCUCACGGUAUCACCUCAGUGCUUGCCCAUAAGGCGGUUUAGGUUCGAUCGGGUGCCCUUUUGAUCGAUGGGAAGCGAUAAGACCCCAAUGAGAGGAUUGGCAUGAGAUCUGUUUGGUCUCUUAGGUGAGCUCAAUCAUCAUUGCCCAAUAGCUGCUCUUUCCUUGGGGAGUGGAAAGUGGGCAUCUACCUGGCUGUUAGGCCGCCACAUCUCUUCCGCGACUCAAGAGAUCCAGUGUUCCGGCGAUUCUAGCGACCACCAAGGACCUGACUGCAUUCUUUCCUGCCGGCCUCCAAACCCAGGUGAGUAAGCACAAAACUAACGAUGUUACACUCGCGUAGGGUACGUAGCGUUCAGGAACAGGAGGUAUCAAAGGUAGAAUGGGGUACUCGCCGCUACUAGUACCAACUUCCCUGAAAUAAUGGUUCCCUAUCUGUGUGUAGCCCCGGUCGAGAGGCAAACUCGAAUAUUCAACACCUUUUUCCUUUCGCGCAAGAGAGAUCAAAGAAGCACUUUCGAGCGUCAUUUAGAUGUCCAAUCCCUACGCAGCAGAAAUGGUACACUAUCGAUCCAAGCCGGGCCGAUAAGAUGAGAUGGACUAGAAGAAAGAUGUGGCACUAUCUUUGACAGUUUUUUCGAAGUAGGGGCGCUAUGAUAGAAAGGAUUGGUUCACCCUGAGGGAAUGGUACCAUAUAUGCUUUAGCCUGUGCUUACCGACCGUCUUAAGGCCGACAUUUCCUUCGUGUGGACAGGACAGGACCUUUGUCAAGGUCUUCGUACGUGUGUAUCAAGGCAUUAUCAAGGCUUUCUACGUUGGUUGGACUGGAAAAGGACAAUGGCCUCCUAUACUUGGCCCUAAAUUCGUUACCAAAGCAAAACUCAAGCAUUCGGGUAAAAAGACAUCAACUGAGAAGAGAUUGCUUGCUCAGUCUAGGCAGGAGCUUAACUGUGUUCGGGUGCUGAAAGCCUUUCUCGGAUCAUUUGGUUGGUCGAUGUAUUAAGAGAAAGAGAACAGACAAGAAGGGGGUCAAAUACCAAGCUAAAGAAGGAAAGUGGAGUUCUCGUGAUGCUUGCUGUGCUCGGAAAGCCCACUACUUAUGAUAUAUAUUUAUAGGUCUUCCUACUACCAAAUAGGGAAGGAGUAAUCUUUAGGGAUGAUAAGGCGGUCAGUGUCUAAUAUUUCCUCUCCUAUGAGAUUCUCUGAGCGGAUUAGUCGAUCGAUUUAUGGUCCUAGGCUAUCUGCUUGUAUUAUAGCUCGGGUAGGUAAGGUUCCAGUAGUCGUAGUAGUAAGGAGUCAGUAUACAUAUUUUAGAGAGAAUGAAUUGUUGUGUUACCACGAGAAGAGGGCAGGGAAAGUUCAUUGAGCAAAGCCUAAGCUCUUUGAAGAGACAUGAGACAAUGGGCGCGCUUACGAAUGCCAAAGCAAAAGUCCGUGGUCAAGACUUAUAUAUACCCGACGAAGAUCUUGCCUCAAUAGGCUAAGGUCGGUCUUCUCCUAUUCUGUCAAAUAAGACUAUAGCUUAGCGCCCUCUGUUUAAAUGAACUAAUCCAGAGCUUGUAGCGAUUCCUCUACCUACUGGUAAUGUAUGCGAGAUUGGAGCCGAGGAGCAAGCAGUUAUAGGUAUACAAGGUAUGGAACCAUCUCUGUCUUAAAAGGAACGGAAAUGAGACAGAGCAUAGGAAUGACACGUGAUGUAAAACCAACUCCUACUCCAUUUAGGGAAUUCGCACUCGCUGUAACUGAACUUGAUGGGCGAGCGGAGCUCUCUUUACAGUCGGGGAUGAUAGGCGGACUAGGGAUAUUUUCAAGCUCUCUAGAUUCAGGGAUAUUAGAUAGAGGCUGGCAACUAAGGAGCUUCCCCUACAACGGCAAUGGUACUGCAGGAAAAGGCCUUAUUCAACAGCAAGCUUUCAAACUCAUUUGCUUUUGUCCGAGAAUCCACUUGCUCACCGGAAUGCUUACCCCUAUAGCUUAUUACUAGCUCGCUAGCAUCAAAUAUCCUUAUGGAAUUGUCAGUUUCAAAGGGGACAGGUAGGUACUGGCUAUGCAAAGAAAAUAGACCCUACUUAUUGACUGUACCAUAUUCUCUCGUCUGUGGAUCGCCAAAUACACUUAUACUCUAAUCUCAAGUCCAACCCUAAGGAGAGCAAAGGGAUGAAGCAGCAUCUAACCUUUCUUCUACUCUCGAUUUACAAGAGAAAGGAAAAAUGCCUACGACAGGAGGGGCUAAGCAAAGUAAGGGGAUGGUAAGAAAAACACCAAUAAGUCCAAAGAAAUGGCUCAACAAUGGCAGGUAGGAGGACAGCAAUUGGAACUAAAGCCUCAGGCAUAAAAAACAGAUUAGAUAUGAUAAGAGAAAAAACAGAUGAGAUAUGAUAAGGUAAUACGAGAGAAAUACUAGUCAAGUUAGUAUAAUAUACUUAGUAUAUCGUUAGCCCCUUUUCGCCUUAUGUUGAGUCAAUCAAAGACAGCUGAUAUGCGAUAUGACAGAAAAGAGUGUUUUCUUAAUUCGUUGAAGCCUGUAAGCAAACAUCAAAUCCUUGAGCCCGAUCAAAAGUUUCAUAUUUGGUUUAUGGAAGAACGGGAGAUCUUUUUUCAUAGCCUGUUAGAAUAGAAAAGCCGGAAAGCCUUAUAUCUUGAAAUGCAUUCAGAAAGUUGAUGAGAAAAUACAUGGAUGUUCUAGGGGGCGCACUUCUGACCCUAAAACCCCUUAAGGGAAGGGCGGUGACAACGGGUAGGAUAAAUCCAUUUAGGUUGUUUGGGCUCUAUAGGGAUUUUCUCUUUCUCCUCUUUGACAAGAGAUGCUUACUUCAAAUCGUAUUUUCUCACAUGGGCGACAAAGAUUGCUAAGAUCGGAUCGAGGAAUCGCUAAAAUCUAGAAAAAGAGGACUGACCCUCACGGGAAUUCCCUUCUUCAACUCAAUCUAAAGUGCAAAACUGUGACACGGCAUAUGGGCCGCUACCUCCCGGCUCUGAGACUGCUACGCUGCUAGGCUCUUUUUGAUUCUCUUAUUUUCUAAUAGAAUGUCCGAAGAGGAGUAGCCCACCGCACUUUCCAUCUUUUUCGAGAUCGUUCCCUUGGUCUUCCUCAGAAUUAUGUAGGCCAUCCGCCUAAUGGAGUGGGCUUAGUUGAGUCUCCUUACUCUUUUCAUUCAUGAGCUAGGAGGACUAUAAUCUAAGGGCGAUUCCAAUCCUUAGCUUAGAAAAGCGUCGGACGCCUUGUAGUCCUUGGUGAGCGGAUAGAAACCAGUCUCAAUAGAAAAGCGAUUCUUCUUAAUAGAAGUAGGAUAUGGAUCCGGAUCAGAGGAUAAAGUAAGCGACGAAGCUGGAGAGGAGGGCGAUCUUUCUAUUCUAGACAAAAUGCCAUAGAACAGGCGUCACGUGGGCAAGCAAGAUAGGGAGAAUUCUUCCUCAUUUGAUUAGUGGAACAGAGGUCACUCUCGAAUUGACUGAUUCCGAUUGCCCCCCGAGUUGUAGUCCAAGUUGUCAAUGUCCCGUUCUAGCUCAAAUGUUGUAUAUAUAGUUUAUUGACUUAACCGAGAUUCUGGCCUUCUCUUACCUUGUAGUGAAACUAAUCAAUAAGAAACACCGGGGCGUAACUAAACUAUGCACUAUUUGCCUUGCUUGACUUUGAUGAUGGCUGUACUUAAGAAAAGCCCCUUGUAGUGGUUGGUAGGUAAGACCAAGGAGCUGGAAACAGGACACUGAUUGUCCCGCUCUAGUUUAUGUAACUCACAUUUGAAAGGAUGCUUUCACGCUAGAAGGAUAGGAAGGGCGAUAGUAAGCAGCUUGGUAGGAAAGUGAGUUCUUCGGUUACUUCCAAUUAGUUUAGUUAGGUGCACUCAAUUCAACAACAAGCUUUUGCGCUAAGGCAAUCAGGAUAGAGAGGUUAUGUUCUUGUGCUCUAAUUUCUAAGGCUGUUGAUGCUGCUUUUACUUAAUUCGCUCUAGCUCCUCUAAGGCCAGUUCCGCUUCUUGUAUUGUCGACAACAGAAUCCGUGGUUUACACACAAAGUCAAAAGAAUGGCUUGUUCGUUCAGAAGAGUUCGACACGACAGAAUUGGAAUUGCAUCAUUUUCUCUAGCGAAUAGGGGAAAGUAUAGAGAGUCACCUCACCCACCUUCACGCGUGGCUCUAGCAAGGGAAGGGUAUAAAGCAAAAGUAGAAGGCAGCUCAAGGAGAAAGCACCAAGGGCAAGAAUUCUUUACAACAAAGUAUAGGGUUUGGUGUGCACUCUCAAUCUGAAUUUCCACGAGUGCUAGGUGAGUAAGGAGAAUGGCUUUGAAAGCUUACGUAAGCACUCCGCAACAAUAAGAAAUACAGGCCCGCGCAUAAGUAAGAAAUAAUUGAUUGUUUGUGACGCUCGAAAGAUGAAGUUCAAGCUGGAUCAGGUGAUUGAUUGGCUUUACGUCGUAGGUGGAGAGAGGUGAUUGUCCGUCCCGCUAGAGCUCCUUGUACACCAGAAUGGGCUUGUCCCGCUUGAGCUCAAAGUACUGAAGUGGAGUAGAGAACUGAUUAAGCUAGGUUAACUUCAGUAGAGUAUGUUUCUUUGGGUACGAGUGUUGAAGUAAGAGAAUCCGCUGGAGAAAGAUCAGAAUCAGAGGCUUCAAGUUCAUUCAUUCUAAGGACAUAAGCACUGUUGGAGAGUUUCCAUUUGUUUGGUACCUAUGAGCUACCUUAAACAGAGGUUAAACAACGAGAAAUGGGCCUUACGAAGCCUUUCUUUAACCGAGAAAUCAUCCUUAUGAAGCGCGGUGAAGUGGGGAAUUGCCUUAUAGUCCUGCACCAAGACUUGAUUCUUGCCCCAACUAACACUUCAUCUUGAUUUCGAUCCCUAGUAUAGAAAUAGUACUACCUACACGGGAAAGAAAAGCACUAUAAGUAGAAGCUCUAUGGCAAAUGUGAGACCUCUAUGGCAACAUAAAUCAAAGAAAUAUAUAUUAUAGGAAUCAUUGUAUUUGUAUAAUAGGGUAGAUCUCGCACAUUAGGUUGUAUACUAAGAGUAGGUCUUAUCUAGUGCAUUAAGAGAUAGAAGAGGGAACUAACCCUUUCAAAAGGAAGAAAUCACCUAUACGAAAACUGGACUUGCAACUCAUACAACACCCGUUAGGGCUUUAGUAACUGACUUGAACUGUCAACUCCCUUUCCUGGUAAGCUAAAGAAGUUAGGCAUUCAGAUCUGAUUGUAGUCAAGGAUGUUAGGCGCAGUCAAAGAAUUCAUGUAAUCUCUCCACUUAUAUAAGCUACAGGUCAACAACUCCCUUACGAGCUCGCAUUCAUUUUAGUGAAGAAUUGGAUUUCAUGGAAACUUCCCCACAUCUGAGGAAUACACCGUAACCUAUAGCGGUAAACUCCCUUACCUGAUACCUAAACAGCUUCAGAUGGAAUUGAUUCUUCGGCUUAUAAUACUUCCCUUGUUACUAGGGUUAUAUACUAAAUACUCCACUCUAUCCCCUUUACCUCAAACUAACUGGUCAUUCUGUAAUUCUGUAAUGAUGUAAUGAGAGCCCACCGAAAAUGGAGUACUAGGCGCAGAGCAGAGGUAAGCUCGCAAGGACAAGCAAGUCAGCCCAAUAGCAAGGGUUGGUGUUAGGGAGGCCGGGACUUCGUUUUCAAGAAGAGUCGGUCCUUUCGUUAGCUAGAGUUCAUUGACUUGGAGUUAGGUGACCCAGUAAUAUGUCUUUUACCUUAACAAGGAGCGUGAACGUGUGAUAUAGACAAUUUCUCGGGUUUCUCGAGCGGGACUCAUGAUUGCAUGGGUGAGAGAGAGGCCCUGAUUGGACCAGGCGUUACUGCCAAAAGUGCGUUUUUCCUAUAAUCAAUCAAUCCAAAUCCUGUUUAAAGACAGACUGAACACUCCCUAGAGUUAGCGCUCCAAGCCCUCGCCCGAUACCCGACACUUUCCAAGGAAGAAUCCUACUCAGUAUAUCAUCGGUAUGGAUUUCGUUCUCUGGUUCUUGCAGUAAAAAUAGGUGCCUGAAUAAAUAGAAUAGAAGAAGGCUUUCCGCUCCUUGUGCUUACCUCUGCACUGACCUGAGCUUGUGCUCGAAACCUAACCCGCUGCUCCACUUGUUUAGAUAAGCAAAGCCCUACACGAUUCAUAAGGAGACCCCCGGACUUCCAAUCUGAUAUCGCAGUUGACUGGGCUCACUACCUUUCCUUUCAUUCUUUAAUCGCAGGCACGUUAGUUGGUUUUCAACAAUCGGAUCUGAAUUCAACUAGCCAGUCGGGAUGCUGGUCUCCGCAACAAGACCUAAAGGAUCUAUAGUAAUAAUUUGAACAGUGCUUAUAAGAAUGAGCCCAAUGCCGGCAGGCAAACACAACUGCAAUAAAGAACUCCACAUAAUGUAUUUAUUAUGAGUUAUGUCAGCUGAUGUCUUCGUCAACUCUUAACUUCACCUUUCACUAGUGCUUCUAAGAAUUGAGCUCAUCGGUAAUAGAAUGAGAUACCAUCCACAAGAUCUUCGACUUUCAUAUAAGUAGUCGGAAUCAAACACGGAAGCAAGCCUUUCCCCCAUGCCCUUGAGCCUACCCUUCCUUACCGGCACUCUUAAACCUAGUAGGCCGAUAGAUAAAACGACUCCUCCUAUGAGAAUCAAACAAGGCAUCCGGGUCCACCCAGUAACGUAUAAUUUGAUGCGGAGGAGUUGUUUCCCCUAGCUAUAAAACUCACUAUCCUUGGUUAAGAUCUACCGCUACUUGCUUUUCACCUAACACUCUUUACUUUCGUUCUUAUACUCCUCGGUUGCACUCUUUACUUGAGGUUAGAGCCUUCCCUUCCCCUCUAUGAAUUGAAGUAUACUUCUCCUUGCUUUCCGGCUUAAGCGCUUUUUUCGAAUUCUAAUACUCGUUGAUACGAUCCAGUGCAUCCAGGUAAGGGAGCAGUCCAGUCAAUCUGUAUACUACUAAAGAACUAACCUAUUAGUCAAAGAAUUCCAGUGGAGUGGAUAAAGUCAGAAUCUUCACCCGAAAGCAGGAUCACUGUAACCAAGUCCAAGAACGAGUAGGUGUAUUAGGGAAUCCAAAUCACAGGUAAGAAUCAAAGAAAGGAGUAGGAACUAAAGUAGUGCCCCCCGACCUACAAGCUUGAAGCACGGAACUCGGGCUUAACUAACGGAUAGUCAGAAUUGGGCUAGCGCUAAUAAGACCUUAGCUCAAAACUAUGACUAUUGCUACAGCCUCUAAUACGGAUUCUUAGAAUCUGAAAUGAACUGUAGUAAACCAAGCCAAGCCCUCCCUUACAGCCUUCGAGACUUGUCUUACCGCCUAAGAGCCUGUCUUUACUGCUUUACAUGCUUUAACAGCGGAUCUGGAUCCUGACUUGAAUCCCUUAACUAGUGGUGUGCCUUUCAUCUCUUAUCUCACUAUAAUAAAGAAAUAGAGAAUACAGGUGUGAUCUAACGCACCUACUGGAUAACUAGAAUACUACUUAUAGGCGGUAGAGUAAGCCCUAGUUCCAGUAUAGGGAAUGCUAGUAAGAAGUAACAGAGUCAAAGGGUGUAUUAAGAAUCAAAGCCAAUAACGUGUCCUAUAAGGAUUGUUAACUACUAAUACAAAGAAUAGAACUAGUGAGGGCAAGCAUGAAACUCACACCAAUCAGAAUGCAACCAGUAAGUAGAAGCCUUAAAUGUCCCUAACUAGUCCAAGAAUGCAAAUAGUGAAACUAAGACUUCCACCUGUGCUGGGCAGAAUGGACUACUGUCUGCUAAGACUUCAACUAGAUUCCGACCCUUAUUAGAAUUUCUUCACCCCGUGCUCCUCAACCUGAUGAUGCUACAAGGGUGCUUGGGCUGCUGCUAGGUAUGCUCAGACUGGCACUGCUGCUACUGAUGCUCUGUAUUGGUAGCUAGGGUCUCAAUUGAUUGAGCUAGUAUUGGUAUGUAGCCUAGGGAGUUAGAAUCAAACCAGUGAACCAAAGAAUUCCAGAAUNNNNNNNNNNNNNNNNNNNNNNNNNNNNNNNNNNNNNNNNNNNNNNNNNNNNNNNNNNNNNNNNNNNNNNNNNNNNNNNNNNNNNNNNNNNNNNNNNNNNNNNNNNNNNNNNNNNNNNNNNNNNNNNNNNNNNNNNNNNNNNNNNNNNNNNNNNNNNNNNNNNNNNNNNNNNNNNNNNNNNNNNNNNNNNNNNNNNNNNNNNNNNNNNNNNNNNNNNNNNNNNNNNNNNNNNNNNNNNNNNNNNNNNNNNNNNNNNNNNNNNNNNNNNNNNNNNNNNNNNNNNNNNNNNNNNNNNNNNNNNNNNNNNNNNNNNNNNNNNNNNNNNNNNNNNNNNNNNNNNNNNNNNNNNNNNNNNNNNNNNNNNNNNNNNNNNNNNNNNNNNNNNNNNNNNNNNNNNNNNNNNNNNNNNNNNNNNNNNNNNNNNNNNNNNNNNNNNNNNNNNNNNNNNNNNNNNNNNNNNNNNNNNNNNNNNNNNNNNNNNNNNNNNNNNNNNNNNNNNNNNNNNNNNNNNNNNNNNNNNNNNNNNNNNNNNNNNNNGAAAGCUCUUCUCUUAAUAUAGGUUCCCAAUAAAUCCAUAGGUAAGGUUCCCAAUAAAUCAUGCCUUCAUUCCUUUCUCAUUUACUACUUAUUCAGUGAAGCGCUCCCCAUGCUGAUUGAUUGACUUCUUUUUCUAGGAAGAUCUCAACUCUUUCUUGUCCACCCUAUUCACUUCAUAUAUCUUCUUUUUUACCAACCACAGAUUAUUAUCCAUAUCAAGGCAAGCAACGGACAAACAACGCGAAGACACCAAGUAUAAGAAAUCACAUAUCAAUUAAUUCUAUCUUUAGAAAUGCUAUCUUUAGAAAUGGAAUCUAUCCCAGAGCUCCCGUAAGCUGAAGAAGGCUUAUUUUGCACUCAAUGAAAUUGAAGCUUACUUGCGCACUGCUUCUAUUGUGGAUGACAACUAAGGUAAAGCACCAACCUAUCUCUACUAGGGAAAGCGGAAACAUUACCCUUUACCUCAGACAGGAGUACCGAUACUGACUUCAAGUAUUCAUUCAUAUCUCCCCACUUAAGAAGAACAGGUAGGCGGGAAAGACAGAUUGGGUUUUCUCUAAUAAGGGAUUGAAGUAAGUAUUGCCAGUCCCAACAAGACGUUCUGCGCGUAAAGUCACCUCGCAUCCCUUUACUCUAAACUGUAUUCAGUAAAUUAAGUGUUAGAAGUCAAGUAAUCAAAUUAGAUGAUAGGAACUACAACAAAUAUCAAUUCUUAACAACACUCUAAGACCGACACGUAAGCACUUAUGCUAACACACCCCGCUCCGCCAGUGGGCAAUAAGCUCUUGCUCCCUUACUUUUCUUCUUCCUUCUGAAUCGCUAAGUAACACAUCUUCUCAAAUUGGAUGAAAGAACAAUGCAUGAAUUUUCCAGACCAUCUCCUCGUGGGGCUAUCUUAACAUAACUUUCUUAAUUCAAUACAAAAUCCCAAUUAGUCGCAUAGUUUUUCUAGUAUAGAAGGAUUGAGUAACUAAACAGCGAAACACUACUUACUAGCUCUGCCACUCUAGAGAAAUAAUAGUUUCUAGAUAGAUACUUAUAGAAUACAGUAAUAGUUGAUAGAUAGAUAGAAUACAGUCAUUUUGGAUAGACAGAUACUUAUAGAAUACAGUAACAAAACAAUGCUUUGCCUCUUUUUCGAACUCCCCGGGUGCAACUCAUUCAUUUGACUGAACUGCUUGGCUUGCAACAUUUCAUCCUAGCGACCCUUGCUUCUUCUGCUAACUCACUACUUUAAUAACUUGCUUUCCGGCGUACCACAACAGGAUCUAUUAUUCGCCUUCUAACAUAAACCCACUUUUUCACUAACGCCCGAACUCAAAUAAGCUUCUGCUUUAUCUUCUUCCAGCUUCGUUAGCGCAAGUCCUGUUUGUUUUCUUACCCGAGAUCAUAUAGCACUCAAAAAUAUGACCUCCUAUUCUAUUGGUUAGCUAGUUUCACAACAGCCUUUACUGUCUCAAUGAGCUUCCCCCUUAUUGAUAGCUCUCCAGCAAUGGAAUAUAAUGAUACUCUCAUGCCACUUGCCUGAUGUCAAAAGAGUGUUGGAUUGAAAAAGGGUAAAUCCACUCGCAUCUUCACUAUUAACUCGCAUCUUAACAAUUUGAUAGGUCCUAAGGCAGUUUCGUUUUUCUUUGAUGCUUACGUUGGGCUGGGUGCAACCCCAUAAUCAAUGCUCAUAUAAAGUCAGGGCAAUCCGUUGAGGGUUUUCAAAGUUCCUCUGGUCGACCACUACUCUACUGGGUAAAGCCAAUAACCUACACAACACUUUAAACGUACUCGAACCUAGACUUCACUCAAAACACACUUCUUAUCCAACUCGAUCUUCAUCAGGCAAACCCUAACGGCUGAAACAGCAUUUCUCAGAAUUCCUUAUGCUUGAAAUGAAAGCGGAUUGGUCACUUUUCCACUGACUUCCGCUUACAGCCUUGACGGAUCCUACCUAGGCUAGGCUAGGCCUAACAUCGGAUGAAAGAGUUAACUUACUCAGAUUCUUCUUCUGGAAUGAGGGAUGAAUGAGUUCAUGAGCUUGACUAAAUGGAGUAAGGGCUGGCUUCCUUAGCUAAUGCGCAGGUUUAGACCAUAGCAUCAGCAGCUUUCCUUUAGUGUUUUUCUGGAUAAACCACAAUGGAUAGGCGGUCAAAAGAAGGGCCCUUACUAUUAAUUCGGAACGAGGCAAGUGCUCUUCUUGAAUGCACCGGCUGAUGAGUCGAGUCGUUGAAGCAGAAAGCUCAAUUCAAAGAUAGGCGCUAUAAGGAGUUAGACUUAGACCCUUUCUUUAUCUAUGAAAGACCAGUUUAGAGGGAAGCAAGCCUAUGACAGAGCGUACAAGCCGAAAGAUGAAACCAAGCCUACAAAAGCUAGCAGGCAUAAGCACUAAUUAGGUCCCUAAUAAGGCCCAGCAAUGCAUGUUGAUAUAGUCCACUGGAACGAACUCACAACUCAAUGGGGAAAUUGGCUUAUAGCACGACUCGAAGAAAAGAGGUGUAUUUAUAAGAACAACAAUUCUCGAGCGGCCCAGCAACGACAAGUGAAACUUCACACAGCCAGGAAGGGUUGAACAAAUCUCCGCGCUUCAUCGCGGAUGGGGGCAUUAAGGAGUAGUCACCGCUCGUCCGCGGGGCUCUUUUAUGGUAACUACUAUGGACGAGUGUACAAUGUCAAAGUGUGCAUUUGCAUUCCGCGGUUUCACCAACUCGCUCUUGUCCAGUAGGCCCAACGAACGAAUCGAAUUCCAAUGGAUUGAUCACAGGGACCUCUGCGAUCUAAAGCUUCGACCGAGAAAGGGAAGUUCUGAACGACCCGACGAUGCCACGCGCAACUACCUGAAGUGUGUAGUCAUUGAGCCCGGCCCUUAACGUCCUCCCCACUCAGAGUCAGACCUUUUGAUCAUGUCGUUGCUGUGCCGCAGGGCGCCCCUUUAGUUCCUUUACUCAUGAUCUCUCUCUUUAGUAGGUGAUGAUCUUACUCUGCAGAGAGGUGUGGCUUCUCCUGAAUGCCAAGAAAGACCAGUAUUGGCCCUUUAGCAAGCCCUUGCAGCCAUCUCACAUUAAGUCACCUAUGCUUCCGAGAGUAGCAUAAGAUACUUGUGAUGGAAUUUCGCCUUAAUGAAUGCGAGAGAUUCAUCCAAAAACCAAACCGGAUGACUAUAUGUUUCAGCAGAUCAUAAGCGAGCCUGCGCUAGCCUUGCAAUCAUUCAUCAACUUCAAGGCGAGUUCGAAAGCUUUACAAUUGACUUAAGGAGAUCUCUCUCUUUCUCUAGAUCUCUUUGGAGAGCCCUUCUUUUAGCUCUUUCUUCGGAGUAGACGGACUAGGAGUUACCGAUUCCGGACUCAACAACUAAACAAGUCCUGAGCAAUGUCCCUAUGCAAUGUUCCUGUCUUGAGGCUACUUUGCCUGGUUGUUUUACUUAGUCUUUCUUUCCUUGACAAGAGAACAGCCCUUAGGUUAGGGGCGGAAAGAUCACAUGUUUUUUCACACUGUUUUAUUAGGAUUCCUUCUGAGCCGGUAAACCUACAACUAUACGAACAGUCCUCUACAUUUCGGCCAAGGAUGGCAAAUCAAACAACUUGAUGUCCUUUCACUUACGACACUCAUUUUCAUGAAUGACACUGAGUAAAGAGCCUAAUCGACGACUAUAAGGUCAUUGGAAAAAGCGAUUCUUUAGGCACGAUACGAUUCUUCCUCAUAAUAAGACUCCACCAUGAAAGGCUGAGGAUAGUCUCCCUACUGGAAGGCUCCUAUAUGCAAAAAUAUAUGUGACUGCGACAGAACCGGCUGGAAGUCCUGUCUGCUGGGUCCAGCACUCUUCUACAAUUCAUCUACAGUCUAAGACCAGCAGCCGACCAACCUCUUUUUUGAGAAACGUAGCAUAGUCGCUUCCGGUGAAAGAGGUGCUCCUGUCUUUGGAAGAUACUUUCUUAGAGCCCAGCCCACAUAGUGAGUGGUUUCCCGGACCAUGAAAGUCUCUCUAAAGCUUGCAUAGUCGCUUCCGUCUUUGGAAAGCAGCACAGUUGCUCCCUUGGGAUAUUUGAUGAUGAAAGCAAAGUUCCCAGCUGCCGAUUGAUGUUUCACUCGUGUAUAAUCCAUCUGUUUGACUCAAUGAAUUGCUGGCUUCCUAUCAACUCGAAUAGAUUGAAUCUUGGCAGAGUUAGUGACCCACUUUAUAACCAUCUGCCUAUACGGGGCAAAGUAAUCACUUGAAAGGUUUCGGAAGAAAUCCCUACUUGGGAGCUAAGCUUGGAUCAGAGGUGGCUUUACUCUUAAGAAAUUCGAUUUCAUAUUUGUGCUGCCGCUCUAACUUCUAUUGAUAGACCCUUCGUGGAGAGAGCCAUUAUUGGGCAUAUAGAAAUCAGUACUGUUCUGUGCCCCGACUACGUCCUCUUUUUUGUACCAAAAGGCCGACACUAACAGAGCAGGGGCCCACUAUCAAAUCUAGGAGUUACCGGGGGGCUAGGAAAGGGGAAAGUCAGGAAUAACACAUGAGCGACGGGCGAAGAGCAGGGAGAUCGCCUUCGGCCCAUAGAGAAAAGUAUCAAACCAGAAAAAGAGAAAGCAGCUUGAGGUGAGUAUGGGAGGCAAAGCUGGAUCUCAUGAGUCAGUGCGACCAUGCCCGGGUCCCGAUUCCUGACACUGAGCUAACUUUCAUUGAAAUAGGGGCUGACGUCAGCGACACGGAGGAAAGCUAAUGCGAUUUGGAUAAUCAUGUUGCGAGGAACGGGAUGCGACUAUCUGUUUCCUUUGCCCAAAAGCCUUCUGCAACAACAUAAAUGGCACGUGAUAAGAUCUGCUGCAAGGAUACGCCAGGACAAAGUAGCGGCAGGGAUAAAGAUUCCAAAACUUCUUCUAUUGACAGAAGAUAUGGGAAAAAGCGGAUGAGAUGGGCAAGUCAAGUUUUCGUCCUGUUUCAUAAGAUAAGAUAAGGGGCCGAGCAACUGGUCUUUGCCCAGCUAUAAUUGCACAAUUUAUAAAGAAUGCUCUCAGCUGUAUUGUAUUCAAAGCCAUGAAGAAGAUCUUCUGGACCUUAACUCUGUACCAUUGGAUGCCAGAGUGUAGGAUUUUAUUGAGUAAGAGGAUCAAGGUGUUUUUGGUAACCGGAGCGAAAACUCUAAUUGAAGAUACUUACAUGGGGGUAAACGAAGCCCCGAGCCCACCUCUGACUCUAUAGGCGAUUCAACACUCUCCCUAAUGGAGGGAACAGUAUAAAAAUGAAAGAAGAACUUGGAAUGGUGCUUGCUAGGAAUGAAGCAAAGAUACUUAAUAAGAAAAUGUCUGAGGUAUUUGAUGGAUCCGUUGCUAAGCCAAAGACUCGAACAGUAUCAUUGGCUGCUAUGAUUGGAGCUGUGAUAUUAGCUAUGGCGUUAGGUUAAUCAGUAACAAUAAGGGAAUUGUGCUCUAAUUUAUGCAGUUAUUUAGGCUACAGCUAUUCAUAGUUUAUUGUCAACUUCGUAGAUAGAGGAAAGAAGGGAGAGUGGAGUUGCUUAGAAUGACACUUAAUAAACAGCAACUCAUUCAUUUGCUCAAAUCACCACCAUUACCAAACCCACUUCGUUAACCUUCUCCAUUUUUUCUACCUGGGAGUCGGAUACUUCCUUUGCAACUUACAUCCUCUUUUCCACGCUACACUUUCGAAGCUUUCCUCUCCGCGGAUCUAAGCGUAGAAUCUAAGAGAGAAUUUCACGGGGAUAUAAUACUAUUCUGCAUAUCGGUCUCCCAAAGCCUAUAUUGUUGGUUUGGAGUUGAACACAGCUGAUAGCAGGAUGAAGCAGCAAUGCAGCUUGCGAGAGGCCGCUUGCUCCUUUGUCCACUCUAUUUAGCAUGGUCCUACAUUGAAUGGAUUGGUGGGAACAAUCCCCUGAUCAUCAUCACCAUGAUUCUAUUGUUACCACUUAUAAAAGAAAGAUGAUAACUUCGCUGUUGGAAGUCUGUUAUAAUUGGAGCUGGGAGGGGGCCCCUCGGAGAAAGAGAUCCAUCUUUGAGCUUACUCGGUGGUCUAGCUCUGCUAAAGUAGUGAUAGGUAAGGUCCCUCGGAGCGAAGUGGGUCGGCUCUUUACCUAUAAUAUAGAGCUGGGGAAUCUUUCUAAAGAGGGGAGGGGAUUCUUGAAGAGUGGAUUCGUGAACAACUGACUUUCUUCCACUUAUUAAUCCCUCUGAGCUUGCAAUUGAUCCUUCCAUUUCUGCUCUCGCUUAACUGAUUGAAUACGAGGCCGCUAAGGAAGAGCUUUUUAUGGUUGUCCUACUCGGGGAUAUAAAUUGGAUUGAUUAAGGCAUUCUUGUUGAAGCAUAAAUGUCCACCCGUAAAGACCAGUGACUGCUACUCACGAGAUGGCAAAUGGUUGAAAGUCCAAAAGUCAAGCGGAAAAUCCAGUAUGAAAGGAACUCAGACAAAAGGCAGCCACUCAGAGGUGAAGCAAAGCACGCCCUUCAGAUUCAUGUGCACAAUUGCUUUCCGCUAUGUAACAAAGCUUCCGACAACUGGGCCUAACAACAAGGGACUAAGCGCGAGUUCUGCUGUACGAUUCUAUUACUAUGGAUGCCUCCUCCUCUUCGCCAAUCGGUCAAAGCUCAAUCCCAACUCUAUCACUAAGAAAACACGUAUUCAUUCGUGAAAGAAACCCCUCCCUCAGUUGAAGACAGAAAAGAAAAUCAAGCAUUCGCCUAUUUACAGACAAGGCAAGCAGAGCGAAUAAAGAAAGAUUUACAUGUCAGCAAUCAGGCACAACAUUAAUUCUGUCUCUUUCUUUCUCUUUGCACGGAAAUAGCCUCUUGACUGUUGAGGUGGUUAAUCAAAUGAGAAUAGUAGAAGAAUGAGAAUAGUAGAAGAAUCGGACAUGGAAUGCGCUCUUAUCGGCGUAAAGAAAGAAGGAGUCUUGGUUAAGCCAGAACUUUGCCAGCUUUAAGUGCAGUUCCUUGCCUUCCCCAUUCUUUCGAAGUUGCUAGUACUCUCUCUCUCCUUUGCUCCAAGGGCGGGAUAAUAUAAGCCAUAAUAUAAGCCGGGAUACUUUGCUCCAAGGACGGUCUAAUAAGAAAGACGAAUAAGAUAUUCAGAUGUUUCUUAUCAAGUCAGAAAUAGGGUUGAAGGGUUGUGUUGGGCAUAGAGAAAAUGGUCAGAGGAGAGAGAGCUCGGUUCAACAAGUGGAGGUCGAGGCCGAAAGGAAGCAUAUUCCUAUACGCCGCUAAACUCACCUUGCUUCGCUCGUGUCUCCUUAGCACUCACUGUUAAUCGAGUCUUCCAUGCCCAACGACCUCGUGGAGUUCACUCCUUCCCUCCUCAUCGAUGACGCUGCCUUCCCUCUCUAUCCCUAUAUUCCAGUACAACGGCGGAAUCGUGUAUAGGGAACUCGACUAGCUACCUACCUAACCUAAUUUGAACCGGGAUCAAUGAUUGAUCUUAGUGAAACAUCUGACCCUCCACGACUUGGAGCCAGAUCCUCCUAAGAACUUAACAGAGCGUACCACACUGAGAUAGGAAACCGUCUAAGACCGGAAGAGCUAAGAUCGAGCAAGAAUGAAAGCUUGUUUCUUCCGGCGGCGCAGAUCGAGAAGCAUGUAUCUGAUCUCCCCACGAAACUGGCCGCCUUGAACCAUUCUCCUAACGUCCGCGACGGAGCUGAUCUACGCCUCUGCCUCUGCUUACCUUGCUUGCUACUAUCUUCUGAGAAGACAAUAAGACAAACAGCACAGACUUCCCCCCUUCACCAACAAUUGUAGUAAGUAAGUAGUCCCGUAUGACAUUCUUAAAACAUAUUAAUAUCUGGGCACUUUAGGAGGUCAAUCUUCCGUGUUUGAAGCUACUGCUAAAGUACGGACCCUCAUCUUUCUUAAAAGGAUAGGCAAUUGAGCGAGAAUAGGGCAAUAGCGAUAGACACAGGAACGGAAAUAGACUCAUUAUUUCCAUAGAGAAGAAUUCUAGCACAAAACCACCUUUUCUGUAACAGCGUAUUCUGUGAUUAACUGUCACAACCCAUUAAAAGAGCUUCUUCUUAUUCCAUGCUAGCUAUGACCUAGCCCCCAAUAGAAGAAAGGCUUAGAAUCAAUGCUUUGACCGGUAAUGCCCCUUCUCUCUCAUAGCCCUGCCCUGCCCUCGUGGGAAUCUCAGAUGUUAGAAAAUCCUCCAAGGCUUCUUCCCCAAGAGCUCUGCUAACACUGGCUAAUGACCUCGCUCGAGCUGAAACAAUGGAAUUCGCCGAGGGGGUUCUUUCACUUAUGAAAAGGUGGUUGAGAUAGAUGGAGCCCUGAACGGAAGUUCCUUCGCGACCUUUCCCUCUACCCUUGGAACAAAUUAAUAGGCGCUUCCAUUGCGAGAACCUUUCAUCCGAAUCACAAACGAAUUGGAAGCAUUUCUUUGAACAGCUGAAAAGCAUUCCACCUCGGAUGAGGAGUCGUUUCCAAAAUAGAAGUCAAGUCAACUGAUUCAAGUUAGUCCAAGCAUUUACUAAUACAAAUAAGGGCAAGAAAGCCUUUGAAACGAGUGAAAAUCUCACUAAAUGGUGAAUUGGUUCAUUUCCAUUGAAGAAUCAUACGCUGGUUGAGAAUAAGCAGCAGGUGUAAGGAGGGAUGGCACUUAGGAAAGGAAAUUGAAGCCAGUUAAUCCAAUAAGAUAAGAAGAGGCAUAUGCAAGACCAGAAGAGGUUGAACAUGAAUCUCUAUAAACUGUAUCGAAAAAAGGGACGUCUAUUAAGGAAAUCGGAUUGAUGCAAAAAUCCACAAUGUUCGGGAGGUUUGGUGAGAGGGGUGGUCUCGGAUAUGGCUCAGAGUACUGCCUCGCUUAGUCCAGCUGAGCUCCAUUAUUGAGACAACCAUAGAGUAAAGGUACAAAAUACAGAGAAAAAGAGUGUAUGCGAGUAAGUGAGAAAGCUUGAGCAUAUUCUUUUCCGUUUACUCACUCAUUUGAGCUCUUCCUGUCGAUCAGUGCGACUCCAACACAUACUGAGAGAGCAGAGCGUCCCUUAUUUGCGUAGUAGCAAGGCUUUCUUUCGUGAGCUAGCCUUGUGUGUUUGCUUCCUCCUUUCCUAUCUGUUUCGGUAAAUGCCUGGCUAUUAAUAAAGCUAGCGUGGUAACGAGACAGUGAGUGAAUCGGUUAACGAGACUGAGGAAGAUGCCUAGCUAGUUUUGAACCAGAGCAGGGAAGUUAUUUAGCUAAAUAGGAAGUUAAGCCCUAGAUUAGCAAAGAGCUCUAUCCGUUCUAUCCAAUAGACUAUGAAGUGAAAAGGCCAGUAGGAAGAAGGUCCAAUUCAAGACAUGCGAAGUAAGUGAAACUCCCGUUCCAAAGUGACCAUAAGGAAGUGGAAAUAAAUAGGAUAACCAGAUUCCUGCCGUUGUUUAUUGGCUGUUAGGUCGGUGAAACUUUCCCUGUAGCUAAAGUCAAGCCAGUAGUUAGAGUUCUAUGUAGACCGGAUGGGACCUAACUCACUAUCUAUGUUCGUACCUCCCAAAAGUUGACCCUCAGUCCGAGUUAGCUCUUAUAGUUCAGGACAGUAUAGGACCCUUAGGGCUUUGGAAGCGAGCAACCAACCCGGCAGAAGUGGAUAGGAAGUUUAUGACAAAGGUAGCUUAGCUAAGUAAGAGUCCGUAAGUCAACUGAUCAGGUGUAGCGAUAGAGCGGUUUAGUUGACUCUUUCUCGAUGCUUUUCAUAGCGUAGUAAAGUACCCGACCCAAGGGAAGAAGUCCACUUCCCAUACUAGGAAUUCCCAGAUGAUUUGGCAAAAAAGAACCCAAUAGUAUGAGAACCUUAAACACUCGGAGUUCUGUCUUUAUUCAACAGUAAUAAAGGUUAUUAGCCUAACGGUGCUUUUUAUUACCUUAUAGCCUUUCGUAAAAGCAAGCACCUAAAAGAUGCAAUUCCUUUCGAAAUAGGGGCUUCCUAUAUCACCUCGAACAAGAAAUCGAUCUCCCUUGAAAAACACUAAGAGUUCCGAAUCGAAAAAGUAAACCGAACUUGAAGGAAGUUCUUAUCCUAGAAAGAGUAACCGAGUGACAAAAAAACCGGGCCAAGGAACUACUGUUGUCCAUGUAAGGGCUCGAGCUAUAGGGGGAGGUAGGGAAGGCAAGCUUAUAGACUGCCUUCAAUCCCUGUGCGGGCAAGCUUAUAUACUUACUUCCAUUCGAGUUCAUUCCUGUUCGCUAGUGAUCUAUCUCUUAUUAUGAUAACAUGAAAUUAUGAUAACAUGAAAUCCUAGGCUAGGUACGAAUACGAAAUAGAGAGACUAGGCUAGGUACGAAUACGAAAUAGAGAGAAAAGAUCCUAGGUAGUAAAUAGAGAGAAAAUCACCAGUAUAGUUAGGGAAGGGAAGAGUCAAUUGGGCCACAAGCAACUACAUUUCCAUCUUCGGCUUCCUUACCUCCAUCUAAUCCUCUUGGAAUUUCAUAUCUAUCUUAUCGAGCAUAUGGUAAAGAAACCCGUAAAGACAUAGCUUGCCUCUCUAACAGGCAAUGAAUAAGCUUACUUGCGCACUGCUGAUUGAUCUCAAUGAUUACACUCACUGCUUUGUUACCGUAGAGCUUACUUUAUACAGUUCCGACGCAUCUUGAUACGACAACACUCGCACCCCUAAGAUACUUGUUUGAAACUAGAGGAUAUCGCUACGGGGGCAUACCAAUAUAUAAAUACGAAAUUCCAUCGUUUGUUUUUUGGAUGACACUUGCGUGAUACUAAACCCUGUAGUGGGACUUAACCGCUGAUUCUAUAUACUCAAUUCAAAACUACAACCAACUUGAAACCAUACUCCACUUCACCAUAAAGAAGGAAGAUGACCCCUGCGUCUAUACCCUUAACCGAGCUCAGCUUCAGAGCCUGAUCCGUAUUCCUCACCUGCUAGUAAAGUUGGAGCUAGGGUAGGAAGUACUGUUUUCAUCGCCAUAGUGCUUACAUGAGUAUUUGUAAGCGGAUAUAUAAAUAGUAGGAUCAAGAUAAGAUAGAGAGUCAGUAGACCUAGCACCGGUCAUAAUUAUUGUAAGAAUUCUUUAAGCUUAUUUCAGGUAAUGGUUUUGAUGCGAGGGCAGCGUCAGCUGCGAUGCCUUGAGUGGAGUCUCCUUAAGUUCUAGGUAUAGUAUCUAUCUAGUCUAGGUGUUGGCGCAGCUGCAAACGAUUCUUCGAGUGAGAAGUAAAGAGUGGAAUCUUUCUUAGUUGGCAACGAGUCUCUUUAUGUUGCGUCCUGUUCCACUUUCAUCGUAUAUUAUAUAGAAUAAGAGGUGCAGCUCAGUUAGCGCAAGGACUAGUUUCAUUGAAGAGUUAGAAAGAACUUCGCAGUCAGCAUAAAGACAAAAAAAGAAAGAAAAUAAGAAGAUCAAUCAGCAACACAAUAACCUCUUCUUUAUACUGAACUACUUAGCGAUGUAAACCCUUCUUUAUAUAAGGUUAACCCAACUCGAAUAGCUUAUUUACUUAGUGCUGAAGAAGCCAAUAAUCCGUAAGGGCAAGAAGUGUAGUUACCAACCGCUUUCUAUCUUAAGUCAUCCUAUAAUAAGAUAAUAUAUAAUAUAGAUUGGUUUCUUAUACAGUGUGUGUAGUAGUGGUCUAAGGUCUAAGUCGUCCAUGUGAGGGUGCAGGCGCUAACGGAGUGUCAAUUUCGAUCUUAUAUAGGAGAACUUCUUCCUAGUAGUUGAGGCAUUUACAUAGACUUGAUUCGCCCAUAAAGAUGUUAGCCUUUUGGAACUUGAGCUUAGAUUCAAUGCUGGAUUUGCUAGAGUGGAGUGGAGUGGAGAAUUACCUGCCCCCGUUCUUGUUGUUGGUGACGAAGCGCUAGGUAAAUGAGUUUCAUCAGUUCUCUGGAAUCCGUUAUCCUAUCAGUUUUCAUUCAAAUAGAAGUUGGCAAGAAAGAGAGCACUAGGUCAGUUACUUAUUCUAUUUCUAUUAGAGAACCCCCUUGAGAGUUGAAUACCUGUCAAACCAGAACUACUUGGAAUCUACGAACAUAGCUAACCUGCCGCCCUUAUUAAACACACUGCUUCGCUAUUAAUAAGGCGGUCUUAAACUCUGACUCCUUACUAUAAGAAGAAUAAGGGAUCUACUAAUAAGAUAAUAAGAAUAAGGGAGAUGUGAGUGAGCGCUACGCUUGUGAAUUGAGGCAGCCUACCUUUGACUAUACAUUCUUGUACCCUUGCUUGGCCUGUGACCUAUGAGUUUCAUUCCUCUUUUCUAGGUUAUGUCUUUUCAUUCCUCUUUUCUAGGUUAUGUCUUAUAGGGUAGUGUCGCAUUCCCAGUUCAGAGUUGUGGACUCCUAUAAGCACCAGCUGAAGUCUAAUAGUAAAUACGAUUAAUAUCAACUCAGUGUAACUAGCGCCAACAGUGCCUAACAAGCAACAACCGCUAACUAGGGAUUGGACUACUACUACUAGGGAUUUGACCUGUUCCUUAUAUUCUAAAUCCUACUACUCGCUUCCAUUGCUUGCUUUUCAAACAAUCACUCUUUUCUCUUACUCUUACGAAGGGCGUUGGAGCUUCCAAGUAAGGAGACAUGUCUGUGUAUUCUAAUACCACUUCUAAUAAAUAAGGUAGUCCUGAAGACUAAUAGCAGUAUCGAUAUCAUAAUUCACCCAAGUAGUAGUAUCGAUAAUAAUGAAAUAAGUAAGUAAAAGAAAAGAAUGAAGCUAAGGCGGGGUGAUAAAACACUUACUUAGGAGCUGCCCUCUUUCUUGUCAACCUCACUCUCUUUCUGGUCGACUGUUUUCAUUCUCUUAUUGCACCAGUUCCGUCUGACUUGAGAAUUCUCGUCUAUCAGGUAGUGUUUCAGGGUCUUGUUAGGCACCUAGGGCAUCUGCCCUGUAAAAGAAAGGAUCCAGAUCAGCGGUUAACUAACCAAAGUUUCUAGUUUUGAAGAACUGGAGCGGGUGGACCAAAGCCUUGUUAUCACUAAAUUUCAUUAUGUAUUCUUAUCUUGAUUCUUAUCAUAUUAUUAGACAGUAUAGGUUUCUUUAUUAGAAAGUAUAGGUUUAUACCACUAUCAAGUAUAGUAUACCACCUAGAUCACAUAAAACAAAAUCCGUGCUGUUUUAGUUCAUUUGUAACUAAUCUCUUUUGUUGAUUAGAGUUAUUACUUCUGAUGUCUUCGCAAAUCGAAACCAAUAACAAUUCGAAUUUCGCUAAGGGGGAUGCGAAUAAAGCUGCUGCCAGCAAGGCUAUAGCUCCAAGGUAAGGAUUGAUUAUAGUCAGAAUAGCGUUCUAUAGCCUACAACACAAUGAAAAGACCAAUAGACAGAAUUGAGCUAAGCCACCUAGUUCUCUCGGGCAGUAAAGGUCAACUUGAAUCUAUAGUGCCAUCAGACAGGAAACGCACACGGGAAUCAAACUUCUCAAUAUAUCGGUAUAAGAAUCCAAAUAUCGGUAUAAGAAUCAAACGACUUUUACUACUAGUCGGAAUCGCACUAAAAAUGAGUCAUAGGCGACUGCCCCAAACAAGAAAACCUAGUGCUUCGAAGACCAUCACUGGAAACUUGUAAUUCAACAAAGAAGUAGGGAUGCACUACUACCCUAUGAGAUUCCACUAAGUAACCCACUCUUCGACUACUGAACCCAACCCUUACUCGUGCCUUUCACUCCCACUACAUUAGCUAAGUCUAUCGCUACUGCACUAAGCCUGUUGCUCGUUAGCUCAAACCUACCUCUCCUUAGUUUCAGUGCGACUCCCGGCUAAUAAGGAUUGAACUAAGAACUAGUGCUAACAAGACUUCCGCGAGUAGCAAGAAGACCACAGCUCUUAAUACGACAUCCAAGAGUAGCAAGAAGACCACAGCUCUUAAUACUACAUCCAACUAUUGCCUAUGAGCUAAGCGGUAUCUACUUACCUUCUUUCUGGAUUUGGAGAUUGGCUCCGCUCUUCCUCGCUAUCACUCUUUGGUUACUGACCUUUAUUCCUACCUGUUAGUUCGGGCCUGUCUCCUCUUCCUAUUAACCUGCCCCUCUUAUCUGGAGACAAGCCUUCUUGCCUUGAGUUGGAGUCCGCGACUACUUCGUCUCAUUCUUGUUUAUGGGUGUAGGUCUGCUAUUACUCGGCCUAAUACUUGAAUGACGGAUCUAACAUCCGAUACCCCUGCCUAUUAGCCUACUAUUACUUAUUUAUAUUAUUUCACUAAUACCUGUGAUCCUUUAACUCACAACUCGGGCUUGCUCUGCUGUCUACUAGUUUGACUUUACUGGCUAUUAGUCUGUCAUUCCCUAUUUGGAUUCUGGAUUUUCACUUUCAUUAUUAUAGCUAUGAAUAUGAGUAUCAAUCUAAUACAAAUGCAAAACACAUGAACAAGUCUUUAGUUUCAGGCCAUAACUACAAACAUUGGAUACUCACUUUAAUGCCUAAGAGCCACCAAGAACUACACCAAUAAUAAGGUGCUGAAAGCCUACCGAUAACAAGGGCUAUGACUCGAAACCGGUAAUUAAUCUAAUAAAAGAAAAGAACUCGGGCAUCGCACUUAUAAGUAGAAGAAUUAAUACAGAAGUAGGAGAUCGAACUCAGCAGCACAAGAAUAGGUGGGAGCCCUAUGAGAACCAAUCCCGAAAUACAGAUGUGAGGCUGGGAAUGGUAGGAAAAGCCGAAGAAAGAGAAUCAGCAGUGCGCUUGUAAACUACCCAUGGUAUAUAUUGGAGUAAAGAAACAACCUGAACACGCAAUUAGUUCAAUGAAAAAGCAAUGGAAAGGGGGCCAAGGCACGCAAAGACAAGAACAAGUGCUCAAAAGUAAAGGUCCUUCUCCAAAGUAGGAAUGAAACUCAUAAGUAGUAACUUCUUUCAACAAGCACUCCCGACCCGACUUCUAUACUGCACUGCCUCUUUGAACUCUGUCUUUCCUUUCUCUUGGCCUGUAGCUAAUACCUUUCUUUCAUACAGAGUAAUAUAAAAGUAAUAGGGAAUUGCACACUGCCCCCAUAGAUUGAACUAGUGCUUCUAGGCAUUAAGCUGCUAACUCGGACUGCUGCUACUCAAAAUCAGAAUGGAAAAUGGGAAUAUAGGAUAUGGGUAUGAUCUAAGGCAUACUAAGCAUAGGCACCAACCCAGCCAGCCUUGAAUAAGAAAACACUUGGAAUGGAACCGCUGCUAGCAAGAUUGACUAUCUACCCGAUAAGACCUGAGUCGAUGCAUUAGGGAAUGUAAACACAGGUGCCUAUCCUUUAACGGAGAGCAACUAGGAACUAUAAGACUGGAUCUGGGAACUAAGCCUUUGUCUACUUAUCUAUGAGCUUGCUUUACUGGCUUUCAAACUGACACCGCUACUACCAAUACUAUAAAUCGAAAAGGGGAAUAAAACGACUACCUAGCAGAUUGAACUACUGCAUAAAGAAUUGAGCUGCUGAUAACCAGACUGAAAACAACUAUACUAUUGGACUAAAUAAAAGAAUAGAGAAAUACGCCCACUGCUAACAAGGUGAACAACACAUCUGUAUCUACUGCAUCCGGUCCUUGCUUUAAGUCUACGACUACUAGCUCUAAAACCGAAACUCGAAAUAAAGACUUUCGAUACUACCGGCAUUAAUUAAGGGCAACAACUAGUGCUGCUGACUAAACUUUCACUUGAUAUCCGGAUCCUUACUUCCAAGUCUAACUCCCUUCUUAUAUCCCUCGCUUUCAUGCUAUAGCUAAAAUGCCUGUGAGCCUCCCUGAAACUAAACUACUAACUGAUAGAUGCAAAUGAUAGGAGCAAAGAUCGAACUAGUGCCAAUGCUACUUUAAAUGGAAACUGGGAAUCAAGACAGGACAUAGGAAUCAACUUAUAAGUCAGGAUAGUAAUACAUAGGCUGGAAAGAUGGAUAGUAAUACAUAGGCUGGAAAGAUGGAUACUAAUACAUAGGCUGGAAAGCAAGAUUGAAACACAGAACCAGGAAUCACACCUAGUCCCCGAACUAAAAGAAUGCUAAAGCUGUAUUAGAAUUAGGAACUAACCCACCCGGGUUGGUAAAACUACUUCAGUUAGCGAGCCGGGGUUGAUGCGCGUAUAGUUCUACCGCCGACCUAGGAACGGGAGCAGAGCCUGUAUUGAAUGAAACUCAUAACUACGGAGCCAGCAGGGCUUUCUACAGAGUCGGGGAGAGACAAGUCUACAAGCGUAUACUCUUAAGGAGUCCAGUAUUAGGGUCACUAUUCCACCGGGUAUAAUAUCCAUUAGGGUCACUAUUCCACCUAACCAAGGGUUCUUAACCAACCUCCUAAUCCACCUAACCAAGGGCUCUUAACCAACCUCGUCUGUGCUCCUCUAAGAAUUGAGUUUACUUGAACAAAUUGAACUAGUUGGGGACUUACCUCAUUCCAUAAUUUCACUCAUUAGAGACGGGGUAUAUCACCAUCAUCAGCGGAAUUGUAUAGUAAGUUGUCAAGUGCCGGUGCUUCUGAAAGUCCUGUGUGCGCCUGUCCGGAGUGGAUAAAGAAACUAGAUGCAACAUCUAAAGUCAGAGCGGGAUCAGGAUAUGACAUCAAUGCCUUUGUAGUAGUUGGUAGUAUUGGCUGGGCUGUGGACUCGGUGCCCUUAUAUGAAGUCGCAGGGCUUUUUGAAUGAAGUGACUCGCGUAGGGAUAGGGGCUUUUUGACUUCUGUGACUCGGGCAAGGUAGUGAAAUCCAAUUGCAUCAAACUAACGGGUGAUUAAUUGAUGUCAAAUUAGGUAUAGUUAGCAGAGGAGCAGCAACCGCACACAGCAGCACGGACAGAGCAGCGAACCCUAAGAAGAACCCUCGUGCUCCCACGCUUCAUGAAUACUAAGCUUAUGACGGUGGGUGUCAAGUUCAACAAGGCAGUACUUAACGGUGCCACCGGAAACCUUAAGCGUAAUCGAAUGAACCGUCUCAGAAGUGGGGCAGGCGGAAGGGCAAUAAGAAACCGGUGCGGAAGAAGAAGCGAGCAGAUCGGCAUCCCGAGAAGUGAACGUAAGUGACAGCGAGUGGGAAAUGGGGAAUCCUUUGAUGUAAGCUUGCGGAGGUCAUGAGGCAUAACAAGCCUGCUCAGAGAAAAGAGAGGUGGGAUCCGAGGUUAGGUCCAAUUCCUCAAAAGCAUCCUGCCAACGGUACUGAUGACCCAGCUCGGGUGAACUGAUUAGACACCCGAGUGGAAUUCUAUAACUACUGACAUGAGGAGCUAGCCCAGUAGUUGCUAGUUUGAUUCUGAGUGACACUUGUUUCAGCCUGAUAGUUAGAUGCCUUAGUCUGGUUAGCAAGGGUUGGUGUCUGAUUGGAUCGAGUUGAAGGCUUGCUAGCACUGGGUUAAGGGCGGAAUCCAGUACAGGAUCAUAAGAAACAGAAUAAGUCUUGGUACACCCAUCAUAUAUCUUGGUACACCCAUCAUAUAUUAUAUAUAAAUGAAGGUAACUAACCAUGUGCAGUUGCUUGUCUAGUGGUUCCUUGGCCCUAUUCUAUUGCUUUUGUAGGACUUUCCGGACUGUAAGUCUUACUUAUUAACUAUACAUGAAUUGAUGGUCACAUUAUUAUACGAAAACAGAUUAUACUAUAAGAAAACAUAUUCUAAUGGAAUCUUUCUUUUCUCUACUUCGAUAGGAACAGAAUAUAGAUCAGGUGCUGGCUUUGAAGCGCUAAGAGAAUGAGUGGAAUUGUAUCUAGAAGCAGUGCCAGGAAAGUUCACUUCCAUACGAACAAUCAGAAUCGUGGGCAGUAGCGAUAGCCUUUCCUGCCUUAUCGAUGUGUUAGAGUUAUGCCCGGUAGUAUCUUGGUAUCCUGACUAUUGAGUCGGAUUCCGUCCUAUUAGUAGUAGUAGUGAGCUAUUUCAUUUAAUAUACAAUAUAGUGAGUAUUAAUAUAAGUAAGGGCAUACACCUGAUAUGAGACACCGAUUACCCAAUACCGAUACUUCUACUGUUAUUUCAUAAUGAAAAGAACAACUAACAGAAUAGAAAGGCAGUAACGCAGGGUUGAGGUCACUAGUUAAGGUACGAGAAGCAUUGAUUACAUACCAAUGGAUAGGAUAGUAAGGCUGGGGGACACCCAUAAGAAAUGUAGUAAGUGGGCUCAGGCGAAGUAAGUCGUUAUAGGUUUAAUAGGAAGUUGCGUAAGAGUGAGCUCUGGGCAGGUAAGAUCCCUAUUCCGCAGUUACAGAAAGAAAGUAAGCGCAGGCUAAUAAGUCAAAUACAUAUUUUAGAUAAGGAGCGGUGGGCUAACAACUAGGACAUUCAGAAGUGAGUGACAGGAACAAUCCAAAGAGUAGUAAACUAAUAAGUAAGCCUCAAAACAAGGACAGGCAGCCUCAUAGGUAGGAAAGGAGGGUUUGGUUCCAGUAGUUUACGAGUGAAAGCAGAGAUAUCGUUUUAGAGUAAGGAGACUCAGAUUACCAGUUUUCUCUCAUAAGUCAAAGAGUUUGAUUCACAAAGGCAGUGCUCCCUUAACUUUAUUCCAACUUCACUGACUUACUUGUGUAUCCUUUCACAGCAACCAAUAAGAAUGGAGCCUAGUACAGUACUGAUUGGGCUUUAACUAAUAGCUAUAAGAGAGAGGCGAACUACCUUACGUCAAGUAUAUGAGAUUUCAGAUAGGUUUAAAACACUACAGAGAAGGAUUGGCUACCCGCACAUAAGAUUGGACCACUCCCCCGAGUUAUGGGAGUUCCAGUUUUCGGCUUACAUAAGAUAGUUUGCUGGCGAGAAAGAAAGAAAUAGAAACUUACAUAACGCAGAAAAGUGCAGUUGUUGAAGAUAAGGAUCAGACUAAGUCUUCUGAUCAUAAGCAGAAAAAGGAUUAUAAGCAGGGAGCAAAAUCGAAGUUUGAUAAGAAGCCGAGUUAUUUAGCUAACAAAGCUCUUUCCACAACAAUUCAAUGAGAAACUGACAAAUCCAAGAAGCGUGUUGAGUAUAAAAGCAGUGCGAAAUCCAAAAGUCACUCCGGGUCAACUGCCGUUAACAUAAGUAAAAGAUGCAAAUGCUAUAAGGUAAUAUAUAUAUAUAUAUUAAUAGGUCAGAUUACGACUCCAUUUUCAGGCAAUACAUAUUACUGUACUGGUGGACAAGGCGCAACAAUUCUUUUGUUUCGGGAGUUUCUCCUCAAAUCCUAUAUUACAGAAAUGGAGUGAAGAAAUUGAUCUUUGAUUGAGUUGAACAAGCUACUACUUGCUUUUAAAGCGUUAACGUAUAGGAUCAAGUUGGCAAUGGACAAGCUUAGGCGCAAAGAUCAUAGGUUGGUUCAGGUGUUGUGCACGAUGGAAAGUCAACCAAGAAUAAGCUGGAUCCUAUUGAAUAAGAAGGAAGAUGUAAAGUAUAGUUCGACAAUAGAAUCAAUCCGCAACAAGCAAAAGAUACUGUUUCCAGAAAGGAGUAGAGAUCAUAUAUUGGAUAAAGAUAAGAUGCAAAUCGAAAGGAAGUUUCCAUUCCUGCUUUGACUUGUGCUAAUAGAGUUGAACGAAGAAGCCGAAUGCUCAUCCGCUAAAGCGCAGUUAAGUAUCGAAUUGACAGUUCCUUGCUCUUAGGUGUAUACGAGUUCCUGUAGCUCUUUCCCUUAUUGUAGAUAUAGAUAAUUGGCUUUCUUGCCUUUACUUGGAUGUAAAUAAGUACUGAAGUGAAGUAGAUUGAUUUCUAGUUCGAAUAUCUUCUGUCUGUUGUUAACGUUGGUCGUGGAGAGAGAGGUGAUUCACUUCCAGGGAGAGUAAGCAGGAUUAGUUUCAUAAGCGAGAGCAUAGGCAUUAGAAAAGUGGUGUUCCGCAACUGAAGAAAUCUUAAGAAGGUACAGAAGCAACAGUCCAGUCCUUGCUACUUCAAUUCCAUGAUUCGGGUACUGCUUCCAAACCCAUUAUUAUUCCGUAUCCGAGUCAAGCUUAUUAUUUCUUUCUAUACUCCAAUCAGCUAUACAGUAUUCUUUUCUAUUUCAUUUUUGCAGUUCGGUGAUUGUUGACAGUGAUUCUAUUCAGUAGCUGGAUCCUUUAUGGCCUGUUUCAUCAUUAUAAGCAGUAGGGGAUUCAACUAUCCGUACUGGACACUUAAUCUUAAUACAAAAGAUCGAACCUAGCUGUAAAAGAAAGAACUCACUUUAUGGGGACACCCACUACUAUCCCUUUUCUUCUUUCUUCUAUUGUUAGAGUUGGCUUCCUCCUUGCCAUUCUUGGUCUUAUGAAUGGAAUUCCGAGUUGAGAGUAGGACUCUUUGUAUACUUAGUGGUUCUAUGUGCUACUAAACAUAUCCUGUAUCACUAUUCCUAUGAUUAUUAUUACUAGUUCCAAUCCGACACUGGCUACUUAUACUCUGUAGCUUUUCCUCCUUCUUGUUGGCAUUAGCGCAAACCUUAUGACUCAAAUCUAUAUUCUUUAUUACUUAUUUCACUCCUUGUAUUGGUUAGUUCAGAUCUUACUGCUUAGUUUUCUUCUUGACUCUUUUCAUUACCCCACACAAGCCCGGUAUCUUUACUUAUAGGCUUAGACUUACUAGUUGGGUUCUUGUGCUUACUAUUCUCAGUCUAUUUGCUGGAUGCCUUACAUCGGAAUAAUAAUAUAAUAAUACAUGUCCCUACAUCGUACCACUAAGAGUCUUGAUCGGGGUUCAGCUACUCUAUUUACUGUUUGAUUACAGCUAUGCGCCCUUCUAUUCUUUUUUCUGAAAUCAAUCUGUGAUAAGUGCAGUGUGCCCCACUUUCAACUGGGAUUACACUAGAACUUUGACUACACGACAAGGACCCGAAACCCCACUUUCAACCUUCCAUACCGCUUCGAUUGCUGCUGACUUAGCGCUUGCUGCAGACCUUAGACCGAGAUACUUUCCUCGAACUACAUCUGAUACUGAUCUCAUCGGUUUAACAAGCACAGAUUCAGAAACUCGAAAAAGGAGAACAGGUCGGCAAGGAGUUCCUGCAGGACCCCCAAUUGUAAUAAUCCUAAGUAGCUAAGGUAAGGCGUUAAGGAGAGGAGAUAUAUUCGAUUCAGAUAAAGUAGUCGCUUACGCGCAAGUGCAAGUUUACUCAGUGCUAACGGAGCUCUGUGCUCGAACUUAUGUGCUAAAUUCCAAUCUUAGAUAAUAUGUGUUGCCUUCUUCAGCUUGCCUUUACUUGGAAAUAAGCUGCCCUUAAACGACUCGAAAUAGAGGUGUUGAGCCCGCUAAGUACUCUUUUUACAAGUUCUAGGUCGAGGAAUAAUCUAGUCAUGUGGAAUGUCCUUCUUCUGCAAAUAUAUAAAAGGAGAGAUUCCAUUCAGGAUCGAACAAUGACACACAGGUAUUGAUUAACGAACAACAUAGGAUCGACCCAGGGAGAGACAAACAUGGGUUAUUGAGAGCGGGGUCAACGUCCCUAGUUGUUUUCUUAUAUUACUGAGUGCGAUUCCUACUUCUGAGUUUGAUUAUUGUUAUCGACGGGUUGGUUCCCAGCUUCCAAUAUGAGUAUGUUUGGGUUAGUAGUUCUUUCCGGUAGUUAUUGAAUUCUCGUAUUCCCUUCUUUCCAGUGGUGGUAUCAGCCUCCUCUCUAGUAGUGGUUUUGUCUUAGAGGCAUUAGUCCAAUUCUCUUUCUACAAAUACAGAUGCGGGAUCGGUAUCGGUAGACUCUGAUCUAACGGGAGGAGGAUCAUAAGAGUGCCUAGCAAGCGAGACUAAUAGUAAGGAGAAGUAUACUGAUAUACAGGCGUAGCAGGCUUAUAGUUCUUAGCUGGUUGUGUGGAUAGCCAGUAUUCGCGGUUGGAAAGUAAGGUUUAGGUCCAGCAGUGGCAAUGAGUAAGAAGUACGGACAGGCAUAUCAGCUUUAGACAAGAGAACUAGAAUCAAAAACUAAGGGGAAAGUGUGAGAGCUAGGAGAUAAAGAAUAGAAAUCCAAUAAGGUUAGCCAGUAUCCAGAUUGUUGGUUCUCUCGACGAGGUUAGUGAGUAUCCAUACCGUUGGUUAAAGAAUAAGAGCAAGGCGGGGCAGACGAACCCCUUUAAGGUAUCGAAAUAAUCGUCAGCGCGGGAAGAUAAGAUUCUGAGCUAGAAUAGGUAGACUUAAUAUAGCAAGCAAAGACCCGUAUCAGUAGUUUGGAGUACUUGGUUCCUUUGACUAAUUCGUCGAAUAAUAAGGACGUAGUGCACAGUCCAGCACUCUCAACCAGUAAAUAAAGAAUGGAAGCUAGUAAUCAAAAACGAAUAGGUAGAAAAGUGAGCCCGGUCUAAAGCAGUAGAGUACUAAAGCUCAGAAGCAAGUAGGCUGGAAAGUCAGAUUUUCUCACAAGUAAGUAAGACUCCAGGGCUGUAGGGCCGGACCAACCAGUCAUGUCCUCUAUUGGUGAAGCCUAAUAGUAAGGAGCGAGAGAUCGAAAGGGGUGAACUACAGAAUUGAGUUCAGUAGCAGCGGACUUAUAGCUAGUGUGUGGAUUCUCCUUUAUGCGCUUAAUUCCGAUUAGCAGUGGUUGCAUCCUUAUCAGUAGGAGUUGUUCUCUUAAGGCGGGGUAGUAGGUCGAUUCUUGUUGGCCCUUCCUUCAUUCCACCCACGCCCAUUCUUAGGGUUAGUAGCCGGGUGCACCGGGAUUCACUUAUUUUACACACAAAUAAGAAAUGAUUAUUUGCAUCGAAAGUCUGCAGCAUUGUAUACUCUAUUUAUACUCUAUUAUAAUACCUGGGCUGGCUUACCAAAGAAUGCAACUAUCAACUAUCAGACUGAUCUAUGAUCCAGGGUAAGAAAAAGAAGAGAGUUCCCCUCCUAGCCUAGGUAUUCUAGAAGCUGGUAACCUCCCCAUAGUAACAAUUAGUGACAUAAAGGUCUUCAUGAAACUCGUUAGUAUACGCUUAGCCCAAUAAGAUGUCUUAGGCGGUUAGCAAUGUUCAGAUCUUAUCUCCAAAGCCAUAACUGUAUUAGUUGCUGUAGUAGCUUAGGGUGGUAAACAUCCUCAUUUUCUGUUUCAAUAGGGGAGGGAAUAGUACUAAUUGAGUGUGCACCUCGUAUGUCAAUAAGUAAACUCACUGGUAGCAAGUCAUUCUUCCCUAAAGCUUCUCACUUAUGGAAUCUAGGAUAGUGCUGUGCGCAACAACUUAUAUAAGAUAGUCACAUCACACUGGUAACUCACUAAUGCCCCCUUGCUUAAAGAAUAGAGGUGAAACAGCUUGCUUUGCUUCCUUUAAUCACUCAGAUGGGCAGCCGAACGCUAGACUCCAUCCAAUACGCAACGCAACGCACAAGGGAAGGGUUCCGCUCACGUUGAAGCUCCUGCGUUAGAGAGUUUUCAGUUUGCUUACUGGAUUUUCCCUUGCUUGUUCGGUGAACUCGUGCUAGUACUUAGGCGAAAGAAAAAGAAUAUGCGCACCUUCCUUAUAUUCAAUGGGAGAUUAAACAACACAUAUGAAAGCUUCCUUUCCUUCACGAAUUGGUUAACAACACUAUCUUGCUGAAAACGGACGUUUUCGCGUUAUCGCAUACUAACCCCGAGUUGCCUUGUUUCAUUGAGUGCAAAAGAAUAAAAGAAAGAUAAUAUCGGAUAAGGGAAUAUCAGCAUAAGGGAAUAUCGGAUAAGUACCCUAUCAACUUGGAUUAUAGUAAAGAGUCGGACUAAGCACUUGCAGGCCCUAUACAAAUAACUUGGGCACCGCACCGAAAUAAUGGUUUCUACUUGCUCCCUUCCCCCUUUGAGAAUGAAAUGUAGUUCACAGACAUAGUAUAUAAAAUGAGUAACAACACCAGAUCAUUGCUUGGUAUCGGGAGUAUAUCUUCUCUUCUCUACGUGGGUGGCUUAGGAGAGCUCUUUACUUAUUGUUUUGUUUAUAUCCCUUGAUUUAUUAAUUUGACACUAGGAGUGGGCAUUGGCAUAAGAAAGCGUAAGCGUCCGGUGUAGAACUACUAAUACCAGCAGUUAUACCUUUUCACUUGGCUUGCACCCUUGCAGGUUCCCUUUCCUUUGUCGUGAACACAUUAACGCAGAUCUCUCGAACUUAUUAUACACUCGAAACGGAUUGCCCGAGAUUAUGUCUGUCCCAACUCAAACUAGCAACAAAACAAACUACUACUACAUAGAGAAAAUAGUAAACAUAUGUCAGAAGAAUAGAGAAAAUAGUAAACAUAUGUCAGAAGAAUAAGAGGAGAAUUUAGGGCACCCAUAAUGUCAUUAAGUCAAAAAACAAACACCAAAGCUAACGCUUAUAUCUGUUUCGGGAUGCGUUAGCGCAACUGUGGCUGACUCACUGUUGACUUUCUAUAUAACCAUUGAAUAUCGGCAUCCCUAACCAUUGUGAAUAUCGGCACCCGCCGCUCGCUAUCUGCAAUCUUUAGUAACCCGCCGCUCGCUCGCUAUCUUAAGUAAUUUAUUGGCGUUAUAUCGCCCACAAAUCUUGCCUUUGCUUUAGCCGUUGCUUGUAUCAUUGCGUAUUAUUUCAUGGAGAAUAUCAUGGCGCACCAUAAGUUGGUUGUUGAAUAGAAGUCACAUAUGCAGCUAGGGACAAAACCAAACCCUAUAGAGACUUACAACACUCAAACAUAGCAUAGGAGCACUCCCACUAAGAAAUGGAAUAGCUCAAUUCUGGGUCAAAGGCAUAACAAGGUCUCAGUAAACCAGGAGAGAAAUGCAAGACUCACCACUAACAGACCCCGCAACAACAAAACUAUAAGCUUACGCACAACAACAAGCAACUCAAUAACUCAUCGCUAACGUGAGCGGAUCAACGCUUGUUUCAUUCCAUCAGAACGAACGAACACUAAUAUUCAAAAGUCAUUGAACUGCUUACAUAUGAUUGCUUACUGCUGACUUGAUGCUUCCAAGACAAGACUUAUAUCAUAGGCGCACGCACCCUUCAAGUGGACAACGGCUGACUCUAGGGUCUCAGGAAGAUAAUGGAAUAUCAUAAUAGUAACAAUAGAGCUAUACACCAAUAUCGAAAUGAGUAAACUGCAUGACUCCGGACUCGAAACUCACUUCACUCCCAUUAGCACCCCUGAAACUAGAAUAAAUGAUGUUUCUUCCCGCUGCUAGUUCGCAACUAAUAGAAAUACGGAACCUAUAACUUCAGACUAAUAACAUAUAUGAGGUAGAUAGCAGCUAUCUUCUUAUCAAAGCUUACUAGCGCAACCAAACACAAUAUCAAAGCUAACUAAAGCAUCCAAACACAAUAAGCGCAACAGCUUCUGGAACUAAUAUUGAGUACACAGCUUAUGGUGUUGGGCUAUGGGCAAUCAGGCCAUUCGAGUCGACAACACUCUCCACUCGCGAAAGGAAAGAGAUAAUAUCUUAAUAGCAUACCCAAUAUAGAGAUAAGUAAACUAACUAGCAUACCCAUAUAGAGACAAAGUCAACUAACAGCUUUGCUUCAAGACUCGCACAAACAAGCUGCUUUAAUAUAAAGGCAAGCAAGCAACAACUAAGGCUGGAGAGUAGAUGCUAUAUGGUUGUAUAUCUAUUUGUCUAAUAAAUGCGAGUUUCAACAGAUCCGUUUAGGCCAGUGCUCAGUAAACCACAAGAAAGAAGAUAAGACUACCUACAAACACGUACCCGCUAAAGCACGCGCUAUGCUAUGGGCCGCACCCGCUCAAGUAACUGUGUUAUGACUUGAGAAAGGGCUAUUCCACUAGUAGCGCUUUCUAUAAAGAAUAGAAUGGAGCGUGACCACACCACAUAUAAGAAUACAGUAAACAACCGCUGCAUAGCUUGUUAGAGUUCUUCUACAAUAGCGUGUCAAGGAAAGCAUUCUGGAUUAGUUGGUUGAACAGAGAGAGGUUAAACGACGCAAGAAGGUGCUAAGAGCCUAUUGGUUUCUGUCUCCAACAACUCAUAUAUAUUGGUUUCUGUCUCCAACUCCAUAAAUGCGCCCAGCUGCUAUCUGUGCUUUCCCUUUGCCUGAUGAUUUACUGCUUUCCCCUUGUAGAGUAGUUUCACUAAUUAAUAAGACCUCUGGCGCCCUCCCUGACUUGAAGAAUGGAAAUGAGUGCACAUCUCAUAUAGAAUGGAGUAACAACACUGAUUGACUUAGCGCUGAAGAAGCAAGGAACUCUACGACUACACUUGAACCCAGACUAACUAAGGCACUUUGGAACAAUCAACUCUUAAUAAGAUAAUAUCGGCACCCCGAAGAGUUAGCUAGAAUAAAGCACCCCGUAACAACAAUAAGCAGUGUUAGUGCGUUAUACUUAAGACUUGUUCCAGCAAUUGAAACUCUCUCGCAUAUGAUAGAAGUGUUAGUCACCUCCUCCUUCCUUCGCUUCAAAACAAUAAAGAAUAGAAGAUAGAAGAUAACAAACCAGGAAAGUCCGCGUUAGCGCCCCGAGACGAGAGUCAUAUGUUAGUUUCAGUGCAAUUCUUUUGGAAGUGAAAGGCCAGUCAGCCUUUAUGCGAUUAUAGAUUCUGUGCUUGCUUGAAAUUAUGAAAGAAAGAGAACAAGCGGAAGCAACGACGAAGUUUCUAGUAUCCACUUUUGAGCGAAGUAUCCACUUUUGAAACAGUUAGCCCAGCUUUUCUUAGUAAAGGCAGUCUCGAUCUUUAUGAUUCCCCUGCUCUUUGCGAGCUAGCCCGGUCUUUCAUAAACCAGCUCCUCUCAGAACCCGGGAGAGAGACUCAAAGCUUUCUCUUUUUCAAUCCUUAUUCAAUUGAAGAUAAACACUUUAUCUCCCCAAAAACCACUGUGCUUCAGCUCCUAAAGUAAAGGCUCAUCGACAUGAAAUCCUUUUUCCAAAUAAGUAGUGCGAGAUGUAAGAUAACGUAAGAGCCCUGCUCCCAAUCAUCAGACUAAGAGAACCCACACCUGCUUGCUUUUUGGUUCUAUGAGUUCAAACACACACACCUUCGAAUCUACAAUCUAAGUGUUUCGGAUUCUUCAAUUCAUUAUUCCCUUCCCGAGGGAAGUCAGAGCAAUUGCUUUAUAGCAUUGAGCCGAGUGUGGGGCAGUCAAAUAAUUCCCUUUCGAGCUAACGGAACUGCCAACAAGAGAAAGAAGAACUCGAAACUCUCCCUCUCGACACGAGGUAUAUAAAAGAAACACCUGCUCUUAGAUACCCAAGUCUCCAUGGUCGUUCUUUUGAAACAUCUCUUUCGAUUCUUCUAAUGUAAUGCUCUCAGUCACCUCACCUCGUACUACCUUCCAUUGCGCAUCCUGUGUAACAUCAAGGAAAUGGAAGGCUCAUACUACCAUACCACGGCGGGAGGUUUUCUUCCAACACAUUUUCCCUAUAGUGGAUCUGCCACAGAUUGAGUAUUUUGUAGAUGGUAACGGCAGCAAGUGGAUCAUUCAUACGCUAACUCAACUUCACAUAUUCCCUAUUUUUACCCACCUUCUUCUUUUCCUUGCUUGUGCUCGGUUUUCUGAGGAAAGGGAUCUAAAGCAAAGGAUAAUGGGCAUUACAGAACCCACGUCGCGCAGAAGAAGAUUGACCUCGGUGAAACCUGUCUCGAUUGUGCUAAUGUGUACAGAAGCCAAUCACUUAGUAUACCAGAUUAUGCUACUUGGCCACUCCAAUUAGCAGGAACAAGCAUCGAUUACGAUGAGAAGAACCACGCCGUUCCUGUAGUCCUGCAGAGGGACAGGGACUUUGGAAUGGAAUGUUAAUGCGACGCACGCAGAGAUGUGGCAGAACUUUGGAUCGAAAAUGCAGAAAAGAUAAGCGAGGAUGAAAGUCCAAGUUGUAUUGAAAAGCAUCGGUUACAAUUAGCGAACUGUGUAAAGGUACAGGACGGAGGAUCAAUGAUGACUGAGAGAGGCGGAGGAGCAACGAAGACUUAUAAAGAGCCAAAGAAAGGGUGGUUUAGAAUCAGGUCUACUAGGAUAGGAAAGUUAGCUAGGACCCGAUCAAAGGUGGGGCUUGCUACUCUAUACUAUAAAUUACAGCAGUUGUGGCAAAUGGGUUGUUGCAGUUUUUUACAAUGGUAAUGGUCGAGCGAUUGGAGCAGACCGGAUGUCACAAGGGGGUUCGCGACCUGAGACGCGCCUCUUAUUUCCUUAUAUUAAUCCCUCCCUUAACAAAGAAAAGAGGACAAGGAAGUUCAGCAAUGAUCUUAUUUCCUUCUAUUAAUUAAGCCCCAACUGUUUGAUUCUUGCUUUUGAGCGGUUAAUUGAAGGGAACAGGUGGUUUAUUGCAGGAAAUGGGCAAGGCCCUAUAGCGUCGGGCCAGAUUCUUUCUAAUGAGUCUCCUUGUCUUUGUAACCAGCAUGAAUUCCGGAAGUCAGCAACGAAAGAUAGGUCUUAAUUGUCAGUCUCUCGAGUUAGCUAAUGGCAGGAAGAAGCGGAUAAGAUCCCGGAGGGACUACUCGCCUUCUAACAAGACUAUAUCUCUAUUACCUGUCGUAGCUUACGUGAGAAACAGCAGCUAACCUCAGGAACUAUUUCAUAACCAGCGGUGAUAGGCUCUAGGAAGCAAGGUGGAUAUGUUCUUAGUGGCUAUAAGUAGAUCUUCCUCUGGCUCUUCUCUUCUGCUUGCCAGUCGGAUUAUUCCCCUCCGAAAUUCCUUUUUGACCAUAGAUGUUAUUCUUCCAAAUCCCUAGAGGCAGGCAUGGGUCAAUAUAGAAGAAACAACUCAAGCUAGAAACCGACAGUGAUUCAAUAACCUACCAGUGAUUCAAUAACCUACCAGGCAUGGGUAAAAUAGAAGAAACAACUCAAGCUAGAAGCCGACAGUGAUUCAAUAACCUACCGGGGCUAUCAUCAGAUUUCUACUAAUUGGAAGUGGGUGUUCCUCGAAGCUUAGACGAGUGGAAUGGAAGACAAACAACUGUAACACCAUUCUCCGGAAGUGGACUGGUUCGACUGUGAAAAGAUGGAAGCUGAUGCGGAGGACCUGAUUGAUGGAUGCCUAAGAAUCCUGCCUGAGAAAACCUGAGUUGGGGGGGGGCCCAAGGUCUAUGAUACCUCAAAGUGUUCCAAAUGAGGUUUCUAGGCAGACAUUAGCCUCCGAGCGAAUCUACGCCUAGGUGUUUUAGCACUCCGAUCGUCUAACAAAGAGGGGAUUUCAGCCUAAACAACAAGAUCCGGUUGCCCAUCAGUUCAUUAAUUUAGGAUUUCCUCAAACAUAGGCACUCGAGAUCCGUCUUCAUGCAAGGAAUGUGGUAAAUAGCCUGGCAAAGGAAUCUUCUAUAGAUGGACCGAAACCUGACCUAAAGGAUUAGCCUGGGGCAGCAAAAGUGGUUCAAAGACUUAACCCUAUCCAAUUGCUGCUAACGAUGCUUCUUUUUUUGUGUUUACUGACACAACGAGCCCAACAGGAACCUUACCUCUGAAAAAUAGGACUUGAUUACAGUAAGUGGGGCUGGCUCUUAUAGGAUAUCUAUUUCUAUCUGAACUAAGGUUAUCCAGGUAUCGAUCCUAGUAACAUGUGCUAAAGCACCUUUCCGGCAAUAAAUCCGCUGAAUAUGCUUUUGGGGGAGACUCCGCUCAGAUCUUAUUCUGUAUUCUUGUUUGUCUUAUUCUGUAUUCUUUCUUGUUUGUCUUAUUCUGUAUUCUUGUUUGUUAAUGGGUGGGCCAAAGCUUUGCUUUGCCUAGCGUUAGCGAGAAAACUACAUAUUUCAAGGCAAGGCCAGACCAAUGGAUUGAUUCUAUGGCAAAGGUGGGUCUGAAAGCGUGUAAAUAGCUUCUGGUGGACCCAAACUCUGCAAAAGAAAGGGUAAAUGGAUCCGAACUUUGGCCUGCCUUAUUCUUUUUAGUAUAGGCAUCGAGGCUAGAAGACUGUGAUAGAAAAACACUCCGCGAGGCAGAAUCUUCCAACCAUUUGUGUGUGGUUGUAUAGUAAUCCAGUUCGGCCUGAAGACGGGUAUAAAGUCAGUAAGUUUCGAAUGGGAGAGCAAAAGAGGCGAAUAUCAAUGACCAGACGAAUCCGCUGCAAGGGCAUCCGCCUAUGUUGUUACGCCAGUGAUUGUAUAAAAAGAGUGAAACGAGCAGACCUUGAAACCUAUAUUUGACACCUAUUAGGUAUAAGGUAAAGACUCUCUUCCCUAAGCUCUGAUAUAAGUGAUUGAACCUCUGAUAUAAGUGAUUGAACCCUGAACCUUUAUAAGAAAAGAAAGUGGCAAUACGGCGAAAGCAGCCGCCGCUUCUUUCUUCACAGACUGCGUAGUGAUAAGAAAAUGCUCAUGCCGUUGACUCAGAUACAAGACGGAAAGUGGUUGAUGACGACUUUGAGUAGGAGGACUAAUUCAUCACAACAGGUUGAAUCCCUUGACUGGUGUUUUAUUAGGUCUUCUUAUCCAGCAGAACACUUGCAUCUUGCUUUAGAGGCCCGAAUGCUUUUCAUUCUUCCAUCUUUAUAUCGAGGGAUGAGGAACCGGAUUCUCCUGCUUGCUUUCCGGAAACCCAUUUGAGCUCCUGGUGUAGGUGGCGUGUUUCAAUUAGCACUAAAACAUUGGGGGAGACUUUUCUCCUCAUCGCUAGCCUGUUUCCAAGAGGGAGAAGAUAAGGUAUUCUGGCAAUAUACGGCAUACUAGUCAUCGAUUCUUUGGACAUGAGCGAUCCAACACAACCUAGGAACAGUUGUACGCCUACAACUCCCACCUACCAGACCAAGGGAAGAAGUGCUCUCUCCAUAUUGCCUUUAUUUACUAUACUGUUAAAAAAGUGUGGGCAAAAGAAAGGGAUAUAAGCAGCUGUGGAAUCCAGCGGCAGGAUAGAGACCAAAGCGGGAUUCAAUGACUUUUGAAAGUGAAAGGAUGAAAUCCAGAAAUAGAAUAGGAGAGGGAGUUGUCGUCCAGCCCUAGUCUUUCGCCUUAUAAGUUAUUCUACGCGCGAUCCAGUGCCGUUGAAGACGAGAUUUCUUUUGACGUUACGAUAUGUCUCUGGGUUGCCCUAAAUAGAGGGAGGAUUGAUUCCUCUGGGAUUUAUUCCUCUUAAGCUAGAACCCUAUCCAAUUGCUUUUCCUAUUCCUGAGUUGUAGCUUUCUAACGAUAAGUAUCCGAUGGCUAAGCCGUGGAAGGAAUACUCUGGCUAAGGCAUUGGAGUGCCCCUAUAAGAGUCGUCCUUCUUAUAAGCCAUUUCCCGUUAAGGGUCAUAACCUUCUAGCAUUGGAUAUUAUCUUACGGGUCAUAACCUUCUAGCAUGGGAUAUUCUAACAAGUCAGAAGUUCAAUAGCACCAAGAGCCUAAAGAAAGGAAAGGGUCUCCUUAGUUGCUUGCCAGUUGAAGCAAUGCUUUGUCUUUGUUGUUACCUUUCAUUCCAUUCUAUAUGUGGAACACUCUAUUCCUUCUUUUCCUUCUUGAGCGAGAGGUUAGUUAGCUUUGUUUUGUUACUAAUUGAUAGAAUUAGAAUGUGCUUGCUUGAAGAUGAAACUCAUACUAGGAAUGGAACUCGACUGAAGGAAUAUGCUUAGCGCUGAAGAAGGCUAUAAUCCAAAUAAGGGAAAUAAGGCUUUCACGACCCGAGGCACUUAGGCGAACUCAAGGCGAUAGCUAAUAGAAUUGAUUCAUAAGAGAACCUAACAGUGCUUGUUUGCUUGUUGAAUAUCGGAGAGAACCUAACAGUGCUUGUUUGCUUGUUGAACUACCUGCAGCUUUAUCUGAUCCUACUCCCACUCAGGAUGCCACAGAGCCUUGACCUGGACCUGAUGAUUCUGAUGAUACUGUUUCUUUCUACUUGCUCUCAGCAUUCGAUUCGAGAGGAGAUUCGGCUUCUCAAUAGGAUUCAAGUGGAACAGUCUAUUCUUAUGCUUCCUUUCGAACGGCUUCUGAUCUUUAUUCGACUCCUGCUUCGUAAGCUUCUGAUUUUCAAACUUCAACCCGGAAACAGCAUUCUUAGAUUCAGAAAUUAUUUCAUCCGAAAGUAACUGCACUCGCCUAAGCCAAGGCCAAGCUAUUUUCAAAAAGGCCUCGUAUAUAUAAGGGAAAAAGUGCAGAAGGAUUAGGAGCUAACCAUAGUGAUAUGAAUGUCCGAUCGACUUAUAUAUUGAAAUAGAAAACUUGGGUGCUCCCUUUGCCUGCUGACCCGAAAUUCACCAAUACGGAUAUUUUCUAUACACUAUAGGGCUCGGUUUAGACUAGGCUGUGUUGCUUGAUGAAAGAAGCGGAUCCGGGUGGUUCAGCUGUACUCCUUGUACCUGUCUCUUCCUUAUUCGGAUGAAGGUGAGUGUCAAAGUCUAGCUAAGGAGUAGGUCGUCCUAUCAGAUGGAGCGGAUAAUUACCCCAUUAUCUUUUUCUUACUAGUUGGGGUCAGGAAGUCUCUCUCAUGCCGUGCUCUGGCUCCUGAUGCGGUAGUGGACCUGCUCUGCUUUGUCCUUCAAUCCAAAUGAAGGGCUGUAGUUUCUGGUUUUCAUCAAUGACUUUAGGAGGUUAUCUGUACGCUCAAUGGCUGCUAAGGGCUCUCAGUAUUCUUCAUAGUUUUUCAAAGUCAGUGGGUUGUUCGAAAGGGAUAUACAAGCGGAAUGAGUUCAGAAUCCAGCUACGUCAGGUUCGGAAUGGAAGUCUAUCUAAUAGAAAUAGGCUAGCUCGCUCGACCAUAAAGAGCAAGCCAGGCGUGUAACAAGACUCUACUUUUGACAAGAGUCCUCAGCCUCAAUCUAUAUGGUGAAAAGGUCUUCUAGGUGAGUCAAGCGUUACCACCUGCACUCCAUCUAUUGGCUUGUUACCUAAGAAAUCGAACCUCCUUAUGGAGGCUCACCUAUGCCGGGGUUGAUAAGAUCGGCCAGCGAAAUCCAAUAUCCGAAUGUUUACCAUUUCUUUUUUGAAAAAGGAUCUCCUUCUGGGGUUCAUUGAGUUCAGCUAACCAAAAUGUUGAUUCUUUGGGUUUGGGCGGUAUCUACUUGGUUGAUCCGGAUUCUCUUCCAUCCAUUUAUUACCUUUGAGGCUGCGUCUGGAACUAUAUAAUAUAGGUAGCAUCAAUGAAAGAUUUGGUCCUCGUUUAACCAAGGCGAUGGACUGAAAAGCGCCUUUCUUGGGUUAAGUGCUUUCCAAACAGUUGUUAAAGUAGGAGAUCGCAGCUUCGGCCGAUCAACUCUAACCUUUAUCUCAUCGGCGGGUGGAUCAAGUAAUUUAAAGACGUUUCUUUCUCAAUCCAACGACAACGAUGAUUACCUAUACAUGAUCUCUGGUUUUUCCUUCCCUUUCUCUUAGUAAGUUGAACAAAAGAAUGAGAUGAAGUUGAUUCCUAAUUCAGAAAUUCUCAGUUGAUUAGCAAUCAAUGCUAACUAAAGAAAAGGGGCAAGAACACCUUGAAGCUUCCAGCUGCGUUGUUGACAUGAACGGUGCACGAACGAUGCUCUGAGUUAGCCUAAGCCUUGGGUUAGCCCAUUUGAACGGAUUCUAGCCCCACCACUCUUUAAUAAAGCUGCUAAUGUAGCUUCUUGCUUCUUUGAAACGUAUGGGGCAGCCGCUCAAGCCAUUGUUCUGGUUGCGAAGCUAUGAUCUGCUUUCAGUUGGUCUCGCCAGUGUAUUCAGAAUCUUGUAUAUAGAAAAGGGAAGUGACUAAGUAUGGUUCAGUUCACGAAGGAACAAUAAUAAGCUUAUAUAGGGCGCCCGACCAAUGUAAAACAACUCCAAUAUGUGGCUCAGUCUUGACUACACUGCUCUAAUAGCCAGACUCCAAAGUCGGGGCGAACGCUCAUGCUUUCUUGCUGCUCCCCUUAUUAUAUAAGCGUGGUAUAUCGACGUAGAGCUUUUUCCAUUUCAUAGGAAUGAAUGGUUUGCUAUACCCCCUAAGAUGGGAUCGUCAUAGAUUGCGUACCAAUCCCCACAUCGUUUGAGCUUUUGGAUGAUGAUGUCCGGCGGAGUCGUCUCCAUGAGUUUGAGUUGCUCGGCUGGGGUGCUCGUCCUUACCUUAGUAUCGCUCUUUGGACUAGCAUCAGCGGCUAUAUCACGGAUUGAAUCCAAUCAAAACUCCCCCCACACAAAAGGGUCCUGCUUGAUAAGGUACCUACAAAUGGACGCCCAGUUUCUAUGAAAUUGAACAUCCAGCGUGCUCCCAUUCAUUGAAUACCCGCCUUAUUCUCUUCGUUGCUGUGUUUUUUGAGCCGUAUGCCCGUGUAAAGGUUUUCGCCGAUUUCGGAAUGGCUUUCCUUCGCAACAAGAAUGGCGCGGCAGUCGAACAGUUCCUUAAGCCGGUCCCCACUCUGGAUUUUCGGUUGGUCUGCCCUCUGCGUGACUUAGUGUUAGAAGUAUAUACUAUCGGGGAGAGUAGACACUUUCUUUUUAGUCAUGGCGAUCGUGUGGCAUCUAGUCAACUUCACGGCAGGAUUGGAUUUGGGAACGCUUAAUAAUAGAUCUCUCUUCACUUUUGAUCAAUAUGAGGUGAUCGUAAGACAGUAUAUAAUACUCGUGAUUCUGGCAAUCCAAUCUGUAGUGUGUAAAGCUUAAGCCCCCUAAAAGAGUUUCCAAAAUGGCAUCAUCAACACCUGGAUCACAAUCCCCAUUGUCAUUGGACCGGUCCGCUGUGGUACUAAACCAUCUCGAUCACGGGUUUCAUUCAGAAAGUGUUUAUGUUACGGCACAUGCAUAGAUGGAAUGAAAAUGAGGCUUUUUCCCACACCCCGGAGGGCCCAACAAAGUGAAGUCGAAGUUCCAGGAACGGUAGCUCACUGAACGAAAUCUAUUGCAUUUAGUAGGGAAGUAGUUUGACCGCCCCUUAGUUGUAAGAAUCAAUGGAUUCAACAAGGAAAGACAAGGGAAAAGCAAUGCUUUUUCUUAUCGACCGAACUAGACUUUAGAGUUUGCCAAUCCAUCAGAACUUUGGUAGGCCAAGGUGUAAACGAACAUAGAUAAGCUAAACUAAUGAAAAAGGCAGUUUCUUUUUGCCUCCAACGCAAAGCAAGAGAGGCUCGCAUGGUGGUUUGGAAUCAAUUAUUUCUCAAUGGACCACCCUUUCUUUGAACCUUGUAAAUGAUCGAACGUAAAAGAUAUGAACUGACUCUUAACUCACAAUAAUAAGCCUAGGCCUACCCGCUUUCCUUUCGGUCAGCUGCCACUCAACCGCUUUAGGGACUUCUGGCCAUUACUAUCAAAAACACUUUCUUUUCACCUUAGUAGUCCUAUACACCUUUACAGACUCCAUAUUUGUAGUACCUAACGCGACAAUACAAAACCAGACGAGAGAUCUCUCUCCACCUCAUUAGAGAAGUUGAUACUUAGUCCUUUUUUGUUCAGGCUAUUCUCACCUUUUGGGGCAUAGGUAACAGCUUUCUGUGUUUCCAUUGCCCUCAGCCUGUAGGGUCGGGCGCCCAGAAAAGAGGUCGGGCCCGGAUAAGACCUACCUUAUUCAAAGAAGACGGGAGGUGUCGGCUAGGCUAUUCUAACCGAGCAUUAACCAUAAGUGGGCCUGGUAAUACUUAACGCUUUAGUCCACAAAGAAUUAAUGGAUUUUCAUGCGAAGAUAGGAAGAUUUAUAGUCUCUCUAAGGGAUUAGAUGAUUAAUAUGUGAAGCUUUUUCAUUUCCUAACUCGACUACCCUUAACAUAAAGAAAGCCCAUAUAAUAGAAAGUUGCACCCAAUCUAGACUCCACUCGAACUUAGAAAUACUCAUAUAAAGUAGACCUUGCCUCAAAGCCUUUACUUUAUGUUAUGUUUCUACUUUUGAUUGAGACUCAACCGACGCAGAACCAUUAACUCUCUCUCUAUGACACUACUUUGUUUGAGCGUAAGCGGCACCCCAAGAUAUUCCAGAUGAUUUACUUAGCGUAAGGUACCGAUCAUCCAUAUUUGUUUCAUCCUCCCCCUUCCUUGACUUUGUCGUUCACUAAUUAAUACAGAUCUCUGGAACAAUACACUCAACCGAUGGAGCACUCAACUUCUUGCCUUUACUUUGAUUAAGGAUUCAGGGCAGAAUAUAGUACUGGCCCCAACAACAUAAUGUACGCUAAGUAGUCAAAGUCGUCCAAGUUAAGACUGUAGUUAGCCCAUGAAGACAGAAGGUUUCUUUACUCAUUCUAAGACAACACUAGCACCCAAUUGAGACGACCCCUACCCUACUGCUCUAGCAAGGGUAACAAGUAAUCAGGUAUAUCAACGACACAAACAAGGGCACAAGAAUAAGCAACGUGGGGAGAUAACAAUCUUCAAGCGACAGAACAAGGCCUCAAUCUCCUCUAUCUAUAAGCAAUGGGCCUAUCCUAUAUUCUUUGACUUUCUAGGGAUGCGGAUAUUCUUCUCUAUUCUUUAUUGUUUUGAAGCAAAGCAGUGUCCCCUACGAUCGAUAGAAGCUCACUACACUCCAAAGCUACCCGGAGACAAAGAAUCAAUUCUAUCUCUGAAGCCUUAUUCUGCUUCUCAUUCUGUGCUAAGAUCAAUUCGAGUUUUCCUCUUAGCAAGAACAAGUAAUAGAGUUCCAGAAGACAUUGUGCUAACGAGGUCUGGAGACGAGAAAGAAAGGGCCAAGCAACGUAGCUCUGUGAAAGCAACAAACUAAGGCUUAUGUACUUCAUCAGUAGAGUAUCUUGAAGCAAGGGCGAGAAUGGAGUACUUUUGCAUAGGGUUCCUCUGCCGAUACGAGUUCUUAAAGCUAUGCUUUGGGGUUGGUUACCAAUUUCUAUAUAAUGUGUCAGUUUUCUGAUUUUCUUUGAAUUGUCAGUUCCAUAAUUGUCAGCAGCAAGCUUAGAAGCGGGAGUAGUUGAAGAAGCCUCAUCUCAGUGAAAGUGCUUUUCGACAGAAUGGAAUUUCUGGAAUCUGGAUAGUUACGUUAGUAUAGAAGUAGUUAGUAAGAGGAGCUUAGCUUUCAAGGUAUAGUUCGGUUUCAAGUGUUGUUCUCGUAGAUAGAGAAUCAGAGGCUCAAGUCAGGUCAUCCGCAAGCAACGAAGCGGGACAAUACGUUUACCAAGCAACGAAGCGGGACAAUACGUUUACUGGGUUUGUUUCUGUAUUACUAAGUAGUUCAAGUUUGAAAGAAGGGCUUUGAAACGCUAAGUCCUGAAGCAUAAGAAGGAUUAGAUGCUGUUUUAGGUAACAACAUUCUAUCAGUGGUCCUAGAGAGAUUAGCUCCUGACGCACAACUACUACUUGCUGCUGCCGCUUGAACAAAGGAAUUGAGGAAGGACGAAGAUACUCCAAAGCUUAGUCGAAUAAGUCAAACUUGAGACUUUCACUCUUACGUGUAAGUGAAGUUACAGUAUAGUACCCGGUAAUUAGAGAAUAAGAGUGCAAAGAGGUUAAUGAAGUCAGCGAGAAUGGAUGGGAAAGAAAGUAAGCAAACUUUAGGGCUAGUAGCUCUGCAUCGGUGGUCUAAAGGAAGGGUUGGUUUCGCGGUGUACUGAUGAGGGAAGGCUUUUGAAGCAGUAAGUGAAUCAGGCGAUAAGUCAAUAAGGUUGCGGUGAAGCAUCUAAGGUGUUCUCCUCUUUGGAACAUAUAGAAUAAAGUCACAAGAAACUCACGUUAACACAACUCAUAGAACUCCUAAUGAUAGUCAACUAGCGUUAGCCGAAUAAGGACUUGUUGGGCCUGUGCGAAGUCAACCCUAAAACUCAUAGUAAGGAAGCUGACGCGCAACGCCUUCUGGUCCUCUCAAACACGCUCGCUAGUACUUUAUCAAGAUUAUUCCCCUCAACGAAAACUUUCAUCAUUAAGCUAGGAACCCCGAAACUAUAACUCGCAGAGACACCUGAUCAGAGCACGCACCUUUAGCUAAGUUGAACAUAGGGUUAAUGCAUCUUAUGGCUAAUCAGAAGGAAUGGAAUGGAGUGUGCACCUCGUAUGUCAUUUAGUAGCAUAACUCCUUAAUCACAACACUUUCACUAUAGGUCCGGUCCGGGUCCGCUCACCGACACUCCUUACGCACAACGGAACUCUACUUCAGGACAGAAGCGAAGACAGAAGCGAAGGAUGAGGCAAUCUCAUCUGCACUUUCUCCGUUAGCGCCCGAAUUCCCUUUCACAUUUGUUCUUGCUUAGAGUCAAACAAAGAAGGAUUCUCUAACUCCUUUAGCGCAGAUCGAUUUCACUGGCACUGAUGCGCAACUCAAAGAUGCAUUUCCAUUUGAUUACUGGUGUUCUAUGUUCUAUAAAGGGGGAAUAGCGAUUUUGCAAACAGGAAUUGAGCAGCCUUUCCUUACGCGCUGAAGAAGAUAGGACAAUAAGUUUUGUUACCAACAAGAACAAGAGCAGAGGUCGACUUAACGGAACAAGUAACAGAAUAAGAAAAAGGAGACUGUGUUGAGCAAAACUCAUGUAAUCAAGUAACCUGACUCUAGUAACUCACGUAAGUGCUUAGGAAUCAAAAAGAAGAAAAUGUUGUGCAAACAAAACUCAUGUAAUCAAGUAACCUGGUAAUCAAGUAACCUGACUCUAGUAACUCACUGUUGACUAAAAUAUGGAAUAUCGGCACGGCACCCUGAGCAGCUCGUUUGCUUGUUCUUGUGCCCUUGUAAAACUCCUUACGCACAACCUCUGGCGGCGCCCUUGCCUUUAAGAUUCAUUGAUGCUCAUUUAGCACACAUCUAUGUUAGAUAGAAUUCCAGUAAAAACGGAGCAUUGUAACAGAGCAUUGCUUUAAUAAGCCUAAGCCAUUACUGCAUUAAGCUAUCGGCAGUUAGCAAGUUCUUUGCGUUAGCACGGUGUAUUUAAGUGGAGUCUGUCUCGUGUACUUCAGUGGAAUCUUUCUCUUACCCGGAUUACCCAAUCCUAUAUGAUCUCGGUGUAGCGCCCCGAAAGUCAAGAAGAGAAUUUCUCGAGGCCUAAGAGAAUGUGAGUUCGCCGCACCUUAUUAGACCAAGCACAGAGAGAGGCAUAGGCAUAGGUUAAACGAUGAGAAAUCCUAAGUUCAAAAGCCUUAUAUGCCCUGUGCAACAUCUUUUCCCGCUUCUGCUUCAUAGAGAGAAGUGAUUGACUUGACGUCGGUAGAAAGAUGAAGUGAAGUUACGCCCGAAAGAUCUGUAGCUGGUAAAGAGGCGAAAGCAGUAUCAUCAGCUGUAGAAAGUCAAUCAAUCAGUAUAGUAUGUAUCUUGGGGUGCGAGAUAAUCCGCAGUAGAAGGGACAAGAUAGAGAAUUUGCCAUUCGAGUAAUUGACCGCGACUCCAAAUAAGGGUUUCUGCUACUUUAUAGUUGUGUACUUCAGUAUGAGGGAAGGGCUUUCAAGCGCUCUAAGUAAAUCAGUUUCGUAGAGUUCCGCUCUUCCAUAUGAAGCUAGGUGUGGAUUCCAUUCUGUCUUUCGAGUUUAGUAGUGCCUUGGCCCGUGCCUUGGCCCGUUCCUUGGCUUAGUUUCUUAUUCAAGCUGUGCUCUAGGUCUUGUCUAGUCGUUGCUUGGCCCUUCUCUUCUUUAGUUCGGGGCAUCAUCUAGUACUGGCCGGCCGGGGAAAGUAUUAAUCCAAUACAGCAGGCCCUACAACAUAAUGCGCGAGGUGCUGGAUAUAGAGAAAGGUAUGAUUCCAAACCACUUUUCUGGAUAUAGAGAAAGGUAUGAUUCCAAACCACUUAUAUACUUUAGCUCUCCAUCAGGGUUUCGGUGUACUUCAGUAGGUAAAGAUACUUGAGUUGGCGUAGGAACAAGAACUCUAUCAUAUGCCGAAGCGGAAACUAGAGAAGAUGUGUGCGGGGUAAGAGAGUGGGCGCAGGGUAUUUACACCUUUCUAUGCCCUGUGCUCUAAAUGAAUAAUGCCAUUCUUUCAUUUUGUUGUAUGUAAGUGCCUAUUCGGAUUACUUUAGAGUUUCGAUCAGAAGCAGUUGCGCUUACAGAAGGAGUGAAAAGCUAACGUUUAUUUAGUCUUGCAUAGAAUAUAUAUAUGGUAAAGAAGCUAGAUCAGAAGCAAGAAGGAAUGUAGACCUUUAGUUCGGGUCGGGUGUGAGUUAAUAUUUCUCUGUGGAAUCGAAGUUUCAGUUUGAAGCGUGAAAAGUAUUGCCUGUCCCAAUAAGAACAAGUGAAGGGACAAGCAGAUGUUGUACGUCAGUGGCGAAAGGAAAAGUGGUGGAAUUCCUUGUUUACUCGCCAAAAGAUUCCAUUAAUGAUGAAGACAAGCCAGUCUAUACAAGACUAAGUGGGGAGAGGUUCGGUAAGAGAGGUUAGAGUGCUUGUGUCUAAGGUCGGUGCUUGUGCGAGAAGUGAUUGUUUUGACCUUUAUUGUCUUAGAAAGAGAGAAUCCGGAGUAGAAAGAGAAGAAGAUAGUACUUAUUAAGCAAGGUGUGGUCCAAGUCGAGUGAGGGCAAUCCGAAGCUUCUGCACUUAAGUCAGCUGCUAUAUGGUAUGGAUUCCAAUAAGAGUGUAAUAGAUAUAUUAAGAAAUUCAAUGAAAAACGUAAAGUCGACCAGAGAAUUAAUCAGUAGAUGCAUCAGGCCUAGUAUCAAGAUCAAGUCCAAUCGGUUCCUCAAGUCAAGUAAGAGUGGAAUCGACAAGAUAAUCAUAAGUAAGAGCAUUGGCAACAGUAUCUGAAGCUACAUAAGAAGGAAAGUAGACAACAGAAUCCGCAGGAGAAGGAGUGAGAGCUGGUAAAGAAUAAGAAUAAGAUGAGGCAGAAGGGAAAGUGGACUUUCAUUGUUUGUUUGAUCGUGAAGAUCAUCUAUCUCUUUGCGAGUGGAGUUUCAUCGUAUAAAGAAGAAGUGCCCAGAUGAGGCAGAAGAGGGAAAGUAGACAUCGACUCUAGAAUCAAUAGGAGAGGGAUCUCUCAGUGGGAAGGCUUUCAGCACCCGAACACAGGACUUUAGCCAACACCCGAACCACCCCUGUACUCUUUCUUUACCACCUCUCCUCUGGCUACUGGGUUCAAUUAGAACUGAUUCCACUCGGUCGGUACUAGGUAUUCUAGAACGGAUUCUACUCUAACAAGAACCGGGGCAAGCAAGAACAAGAGCUGGAGCUGCACUACAUGAAUUCUAUCUUAUAAUAUAAUAGAACUGAUUCCACAGCUAAUCUCUAUCCUGAAGCAGGGACAGAAUAACUACUUGCCUGCUGACUCACUUUCGGCUUAACCUUGAAUUGCACUUUAGCCAACAUCCGAACUAGACUUGAAGACGAAAACAGGCCAUUCUCUAAGACACCUUGGGCUAAGGGAAACUCAUAAAUACCAAUGUUUGGGGGGGUUCCUCAAUUCUAUAACUUAUUGCACUAACCUUCUCUUCUUUAGUUACUACAGGGGGACAAUCAGUUGAGUUUCUUUCGUAGGGGAGAAUGAGUAACUACCCGCGCUCUAUCCUCUUCCUCUCUUUAAAGAAAGUCUGAAUGAAACUAAUACUAAGGAAUGAAUGGGAUCCCACUUACCACUUAUAGGAAUGAAACCCAUAAAUAAGUAUAUAGCGCAUCCCUAGGAAUAAGAAUCCACCUAGAAAUUGAGGAAUUAAAGAAUAGGGAGAUACCCAUAGCAAUAAAGAAUUCCAUUCGAAAGUAGAGUAUACGCUUGUCGACUUGGCGUACUCUCUUAUUGCCCUUUCUUUCUUCUCUGAACCCUGAAACAAUACCACCAGCUCUAGCGGGACAACAACUUUCUACUUUACCUCGAGCAGAAAUAUACUCAAGGACAGAUGCGUUUGCGCCAACACCCAGAUAUCGAACUAAGGAUUCUCUGGAAACUGAUGAAGAUCUUGAAACUGCUUGAAAUCCGACCUCUGCUUUUGUGAUCCUGCUUUCUAUCUGUCUUCGGUUGAUUUCGAGUCUACUAGCCUAUCUAUGUUAAACUCUACUUCUGUAAGGGUAAAGAACAGGAACUCAUAUAAGCCUUAAUCCUAUAGUGGUCCUACUUGGCCAUUGCUCUUUUUGGGUCUAAUCCUAUACUCAUUGCGUAAAAUGGCUUGCACCCUUCCUUGUCUGCUCGUCUCUUACUUUCGGGAUUCUAUUUCCAUUCUUUCAUUCCGACUUAUGAGCUUGCUCACUACUUAGUUGCAUUCUGUAACCACACCUAGGUAAAUCCUCUGUCAUAUGAGUUGAAGUCAUUGAGUUAGUGUUUCAGGCUUGCACUGCUGGAGGUAAUUCCGAGCCUACCCAGUAUCAGUCUUCCCUGUGUCACUAGUGCAUUCUCAGUGGACCUACUUAAAUGAAAGCCUGUCAAUCCCUGUAGCUUCGGUGGACUAGUUAAAGCCUGUUACUACAGAGUUGCAUUCUGAGUUUCCUAUAUAUAGAGAAGAAUUCAUUUGAUAGGGAAUGUUAGUAGUUCAUUAGUAGGAAAGCCCUUAUUGGAAAAGAGAUCUUGUUUUCUGGUUGAUUUUGGAUUUGAUUGUUUCUGUUAUUUGAUUGUUUUUGAUUCCAAAUUGAUUUAUCCCAUGCGAUUGGAUUGGAUUCUGAAGUCUACUCUCUUCUUUAUAAAGAAACUAAUAGCUUCCCUUUCCACUCUAACUCUUUCCUACCUCGACUCUGUCAACUAAGUCAGUAAACUACCCGAGCAUCAAAGCUAGCACUCAAAGAUAAGAAUGGAAAUGCAAGGCAGAAACUAACUAUCCACUUUUCACUCACAAACAACCAAUAAGGGCCCGACCGACCUCUUAUAAGUGUUAACCCCGAACCGAACUCUUACCUAAGUAAACUAUCCCUCUGAUCUUGCUCAUGAAACUCACCACUCGAACAGGACUCCCGGAGACGAACACAGCACUUUGUCAACUAAUUCCAUUCUGACUUGCUUGUCAACUUCAGACUAUACUAGGGAUUCCGGAUACUCUACUAAAGAAUUAGCUGUGCCAGGAAAGUAGACCAGACCACCACUAAGAAGAAUUCCACUCUAACAACAACAGGAGCAGGAUCAGACUAAGGAUUUGAACCAGGAGCAGGGUAUGCCUAUGUUCUUAGGCUUCAAAGGAGCGUUAUUGACUAGCUCGCUACCGCGCAACAUGAGCAGUUGCUUGGUUCUUUUGUUUGAUGGGAAAUUCUUCAUUGAAACUAAGAAAUAGUCCUUAGAGUGCAUUUCUUCCCUAUAGAUUUACCCUCUUGCUCUGCUCUUUAGUAUCCAUCCCUGCAUCCCUACUUCCGUAACUAAGGGACCGGUCUUCAACUAUCACUCGCCAAGCAACUAAGGAAGGUAGAAAACAAAAGAAGAAACCCAGCUUCAAAGCCUCUCCUCAGGACUAGCUUCCUCUCCCCUAUCGCUAACUACUGGCUCUGCUCUGUCAACAACUACAGACCCGAACUGAACUUAUUCUCUUGCCGACCUCGCCUCAAGCUUACCUCGAACAGGACUACAACGAUCCUAUCCCCGGUUGCAUUCUAAUAUUGACUACUGAGCAGCUUUCUCAUCUACUUCUCCUCUGGCUAAUUCCUCUGUUUCAGGGCAGAAUCAACUACUUAUUAAUAGACUUCCCGCUACUCCUACUUAUACGACUAGUUUGGGAUUCCACCAGAACUCUCACAGGAACAGAACUACUCGACUCUCACCUAGACUCAAAGCAAGCAAGAUUCUUCUUAAACACCCGCACUCUUUUCUUUAUAAAUCAAUUAAUAGCUUCCCGACCUCUACUCUGGACUAGAGCAUCUCUUCUACCUAUGGAAACUGUAAACUAGGAACUUAAUGAGGUAUAUCUCUCUUCUAGGGAUAGAAUUCCAGGUAGUUAUGACCUAUAUUGACUAUUUCUUCCCUUGCAGACCUCGACUCAGGCUCAUCUAAUCUCUUUCCACUCCGGCUUCCCUCUCUACAACUACAGGCUCUCCUCUUUCAACUAAUGCCAAACAGGUCACCAACAAGCACCGGCUACUAAUAGAUGGAUGAAACUCGGUUAAGCCUUAUUGUAAACCUUGCAAAACCCUGUAGUGCUUCUUCAACAACUACCCGCGCCUAGUAACUGACUUGAAACUCCAUCCACUUGAUACUUAACCUCGAACUGGGGCAAAGGGCUUCUCUCUUUCUACAAAUACAGAUUCCACAGCUGACCUUGCAGACCUCCUAAACUGCUUCCCUUCUCUCCUUCUUACUGAACUGAAGUAAAGUAUCUUUCUGGAACUCACCAAAACACGGUAUUUUUCAUAGCAAUCGGAUUUCCCCAGCUAGACCGAUCCAAUCCAAUUAGAUUUGUGCGUUUUCCCGGGAUUUUAGAUAGCGACCCAGUUUUCCUUCCUAAACCCAGAAAGUGAGAUUCUAUUUUCACGUUUUACCGUGUUUUUUGGUUGCAACCAAUAAGAGCUCCUGCCGCGGAACGUUAGUAGUUCCUUAGCCCUUCCUGGAAGGUCUGAUUGAGAUUACAAUUUCACGUUUUCCCGUCUUUUUUCGUUGCAAAUAGAGAAAUAGUAUGGGAUGGUACUUCACUUAGACUUCAACUCAGUAUUCCACUGGCAGAACUUCUGCUGUUGGGCCUGGUGUUGGUUCUUUCAAUCGAGUGUUAACGCCUACCUCGACUCAAUGCUAAGUGAAUUAGUUCUUGCCCACCGAUUACCUGCAUCUAGUUUACUGGGAUACCACCGAUUCCCAGCUACUGGAGUAGUGGAUAAGAAUUCAACCUAAGUGUUUGAGAAGUAAGAAUACAACCACUAACAACUAGAAUCAAACCGCUAGGGCAAAGCCUGAAACAAGGUAUUUACAGAACCAAACCAGUAACAACUAGGCUAUAACACCUAACAACAAGACUGAGCCAGUGCACAAUCGGCCUGAAAGCAAGGGUAGCUAGACCUCAACACCUAAAACAAGCCUGAGAGGGCGGAGUGAGAGAAUGAGAGCAGUACCGAUCAGAAUUGACCUAAGGAACCGGGUGUUGAAGAAGUCGGGUCGGUAUGAACCUAAUGCUACUAGUAGUUGCUUGGCCCACUUCACCUUGCUUCAAAGCCUGUAUGCCAGCUUUGCCUGUAUGCCCGGUAUGCCAGCUUGGUCCCUACUAUAUUAUAUCUGGUAUGCCCGCUUUGGCCCUACUAUAUGCUUUAUUGAUCUUUCUAUAGGAUUCUAGAUAACAGAUGAAACUCAUUCCAGAUUGGAAACACAGAGUCAAGGAGAACUGAAGGAGACGUAACUAACACACAUAUCAAAAGGUUUUUUAAUCCGCGGAAGCCAAAGCAGUGUUCCCUUAAAGGAAGCAGUUAUUGUAGAUGGACCGCCCCCUAAAACAUAAUGGGGGGUAAGCUUACUCCUGAUUCUCAACUUGUUGAACAAACUAAUAUUAGCAUCUACAAACUCUAUGACUCGUUUAGGUUAAAAGCAAAGGGAAGGUAUCGAGUCAACCGUACUCCAGUGCAGGAGCAAGCCAAUCACCGACCCGCUUAGACAAUACAAGCCGCAGAAAUGACACUCGAAUGGCCCGGCCCAUAACAGAGACACCAGAAUAUACUCUUUCUUUUGCUAAGGUUGAAGCCAUAUUCAAGGUUGCUCGUAGGGAAAAGUGGAUCUCGCCCUGUAGUUAACUUACGAGUCCAAGUUUCACAACCAACGGCAUAGCCCAGUAACUACUAUACAAGUAGAUAAGUGACUUUCGAAGAGAGGGAAGUGUAAUAAAGAAAGUUCGGGUAAAGAAGUAUAGUCCAGGAGUGGGCAGUAGAGAAAAGAUACUAAACAUUCCAUGAUUCAGUAUACGCUUGGCCUCGGGGUUUGGUAAAACGAGUCCCGUCAACUUGUAUAUAAGUGCCAUGGUGUAGCAGUGAAGUUAAGGUCAUCAUGUCAGGUUAGGCUCGCUGACGCGUAACAUUAGUUUGCUAAGUUAAGUGAGUCAGUUCUUUUUUGAGUGUGCUAAAGCCUAAUGUGUAAUUGGUUUAUGGGGUAUAUGGGAUAAGAAUAAUGAAUCCAUGAUGAAAGCUAGAGCGCAAAGGUGAAGUUAACAAAAGGAAUAGCUGCUCUCUCUGCAAAUAAGGAAUUGAUUGAAUCUCUCUCUUAUCGAGCACCUAGGAAAACAGUCAAAACAUUAAUGGAUUAUCGAUCACCUGACCUGGUCCAGGCAUAGAUCUGAGUAAAUACACUUCUUGCUUCCCUUGAUUAUUCUUCUUCCUUCCCGUCCUUCCUCCUUUAUUGAAUGGAAAUUGAAACUCCCUUACAGUUAGUUAGGGCAAUCUUAAUGAAUUUGUUGAACGUAGAAGAACCGUUCAAACUUAGGAUCCUGAUCUUAACCCAGCUUUUUGUGAGAAAACAAGGAAUUUCAUUGAAUUAGUUGACUACGGAGAGGUGUGGAAGGAUACUCUACGCAAAAGUGAACUAUACUCUUUGAGGGUGAGCGAGUGAAGUCUCUUUUGGUGCUUAUUCAAGUCCUGUCCAGUUUGCGAGAGAAGUUCGGUACGCCUUAGUUGCAGACUUAGAUUACUUGUAGGGCGAAGUAGUGUCCUGUUACUCUAAUUCUAUAUGUUGCUCUUUCUCCUGCCUCCAUCUUAUGCUUAUUAUCCUUAUUCACUUAUACUUAUGCUCCUUAUUCAUAUCUUGAUUCCCUUGCUUCCUCACCUAUUACAGUUGGCUCUAAAGAAUAGAAUAGAAUCUCGGCGCCAUCAUAAAAGAAUGAAGCGGAAUCAAAUGCAGGUUAACUCUUGACUCUAAGCUUAUCCGCUUGGCUGCUGUAAGUGCUCCAAAUUCCAUACUUAUAUGACUAGCUUUAGAUCUUUAGCCCGCUCCUUCUGUUCGCCUAGUGCGAGUGUAAUCCCAUCUUUCAAUCAAUUUCUACAUGUUAAGAAUCUGCUCUGUUCCUGUUUGUUCUGUAGGCCCGAUCUAUCCUCGCUUGCAGCUGAAGAAGUAAUUGAGGCAUAGUCCCCUUACAUAUAGAAUGUCGGCACCACGAGUUGGUUUAAGAAUUGAGGCGGCUGCCUCCUUUGAACAAAAAGCUUCUUAUUCCCUUCCCUGAACAAAACCCUCUGCUCAGCCAAUAAGCUCUUUCUCUUUCGCCAGCUAACUAUCUCAUGGUAAGCACCCGCUUCAUACUCAUCAGGAACCUGCAAUUCUACACUACUUACUAUUCCUCUUCUGACUAAUGUUACUACAUCAGCUGUGCGUUCGAGUGUUGGCUAAAGUCCGGGUAGUGGUAAAGUUAUGGUUCUUGUUUCAUACCGAGCUGAAGAAGUGGAAGUGAAAGGCUUACUUUAGUUGUUUCAUCCCCUUAAUUAGGAGUGGAAUCCCCAGUGACUUUAGUUGUGAGUUUUACCUAUAAGUAGUUAAGGUAUUGUUCGGGCUAUAGCCUAUAGAGAACCUGGCCUGUCCGAACUAGGGAUAGAGUUUCACUAGAGCUGCCCGAGUUUGUCUACUUAAGGGGUUAGCUUGUUGGACAAUUAGUUGAGUGACCCCUCUUUACCUUUGUAGUAGUUGGUAGUAGUGGCUGGGCAGUUGGGGAAAUCAAUAGUAUAGGCGACAUCCCGAGUUGCUUGUUUAGUAUAAGCUUGCCUGAGAGCAAAUAGGUUCAUUCCAUUCUUUAGUUGUCGGCCUCGGCCUGGCCUUCCCGUCUUUCACUCUGAAACUCCUUUUUCUCAUUCUUCAACCCUUGAACUUAAGUCUGACUUUCUCCCCUGUGAGUCUGUAACUCCUGCCUGGAAUUCCUAUGUGAAAGUGUGAGUCUUAGCCCCUGACUUCGCUGUCCAAGUAAGAUACCGGGCAUAGGCCUUUUACUCAUUAGCAUAGGAAUGGGCGUACUAACACACAGGAGCAGAAUUCCACUCAUUAGCAUAGGACUGAGGAAGCAGCAGAUAAGGAAUGCACCUUAGAAGUAAGGGCAUCGGGCUAAGAAUGGAACUUUAAAUACAGAAGUUAACUCACUCGUUAUAGUCUGCCACCCCAUGCUCGCAUUCUUGUAGUUGUACCUGGCAUUGCCGUUCUCUUGUCUAAAACUUCUACUCUUCUUUUAUAGCCUUUAAGGUUCGCACUUUCAUUCUGAUGCUUGAGUUUGGUCUGACUUUCGUGUCUCUCAGUCCUAUGCUCUUGUUUCAAACCUACACUCCUUGCUAAAAUGCCAAUGUUCCAGUUUCAGUCUGACUAUUCUUUAUCUUAUUCUUAACCCCCAGGCUCUGACUCUUCCGCUCUUGUCUCUCGGGCUUACCCUCCUUGCUUAAAGCCUUGCUUUUGAGUUGAAGUAUCCCCCUAAAAACUCGGACUCUUCCGUUCCGCUCUCUCUGUAUUACUAUUCUGUCUAUAACUCUGUCGCUCCUAACUACCAAACUGACAUUCCUUUAGAUUUGUAAUAAACCCUGUAUACUCAUUCUUGAUUAUUACCUUGGAUUAGAGUUAUUACUUUGAUUCUGAAAUUGCUUAUACUUCGAACAGAGAUCCUCUGCUCUAAGGCUUGGAACUAUAAGUAUUAGAAUGUCCGGUAGGGGCUGGCAGUUGGUUCAGAAGCUAAAACAAGGGAAUCAGGCUCUAAAGUAGGGCCAAGCAACGGGACAAACUACUAAGUAAGCCGGGCAAGUCACUAAGGGCUAAGUAACUACGAGUUACACUAGUUGCAUUCUUUGACUAAUGAGUUUGAUUCUGACUCUCACUACUUAGUUGCCCUAGAUGCUGGCCUAGUAAAAGACUUCGGACUUCCUCCUUACUCCUUACUGCUGGCUUCCUCCUUACUAGUAACUUAGGGCUUACUCAUAACUUCCUCCUGACUUCGGGCUUACUCUUUGAACUAAGGCCUCUAUACCUCUAAAACGGAUACUUGCAACCCGGCUCACUGGUAUGAUUACUUAAGAGAACAGAACAGAUAGAUACAAAUACGGAAUUCCAAUCUAACAAGAACAGGGGCGAGCUACUACUCUAACUCUGAGGGAAGGCACGACCUGAAGUGAAGAGAAGAGGGGCUUCCUGAGUGAUAUAAUCUUUCCAGUUUUACGUCGGUGUCUGAGGGCCGGACAGAGCUUUAGUUUAUUUAGCUUCCUAUUCCGAAAGUUCAGUAUGGGGUAUUGCUGCCUAUCUCAUACUUUAUAUUAAUAUUUGGACUUUUACUUUGAGAGAAUUGAUUCUGGGCUUUGUCUUUAAGAGAAUUGAUUCUGUAUAAUAGUAAGGGUCCCCAUUGCCCACUAACGGUAGCGGCGGUUACUCGAGCAACGGAUUCUAGAACACCUGAUUUGCGGCAUAUCUGUCAUUGGGUAUUUAGGCAUCCUUUUCGAAAGGUAGGAAGUAAGUGAGCAAGCAAGCAAAAAAGCAACUAGUUCAAUUCAAAAAGAUGUUGAUGUUGUGCGCCUUACUUGAAUAAAAGCAGUAAGCAGUUUUCUAAUUUAGAGUUGUUGUUUCCGAGGGAAGCAGCAAUCAAUUAGAAAUCGAAAAGUCACGUUUCAGUUUCAAGAUCUGACAACAGUAUCAUAAGCAGCGGAAUAGCCAGUUCCUGUUUCAUAGUGAAGAUCAUAUACUUCUGUUCGCGCACCUCUACUUAUUGCUGACUCCUGACUUGAAUGUUAUACCUGCUGCGGACUCUCAAGUACAGAAUAGAAAAGAGACAACAACUUUCUACUUAACCACUCCCACAGAUCCCGAUCCUUAUUCUUCCCUUGGUUGUUGACUUGCUCUCUUGAUUGAAGCUGCCUAACACACCCCAAGAAGUAAGACUGAAACGCGUAACUAAGACUUAGUUUGAUAAUUCACUCAUAUGCUCCAGGGCGGCCUAGCACUACUUUAACUUAUCACUUGGUAUUGAACUCAUCAGUAUUAGUACACCACUCCUAACUCCUGAAGUAGUCCUCAUGAGACUAAAUACGUACCGAGAGAACGAAACCGACAAGGGGCCCCAGGGAACCACUCUUAAGUAAGUAUACCGGUCAGAGCUAUAAGACUAACUUACUAGUUGGAUUCCGUACCUCUUGUUUCUUGGCCCGACACUACUUACUUAGAUUAUGUAUUCUUCUAUACACCUAGGCUCUUGCAUUCCACGCCAGUUUCAAACUUAUACUCAUACUAAUCAGAAUAGAACCCGUGUGAGCUAUACCAAUACCAGACAUUUGAUUCCAAUUCAUUAGUGGAAGAAUACCUGUCUCAUCUGACGAAACAGAACUUAGCUCAUUAGCGUAGGACCUAAACAUAUCAAAGUGAGCCUGGCACUCCGAACUCGUAUACUGAAAUUGCUGAUCUAACAUCUGGCUUCACCCGCAGUUGUUUGAGUCCUGUUACUUGUCGAGUGAAUUCAGUCCUGUCUUAGGGAGCCCUUAUUUGUGUUAUCAUAUCCAAAUCGGGACAGGUAUCCUUGCCUUCUAGUUAAUUCCUUAUUAAUGACAAGUUUCAGUCUGAUGCUUAUUCCUUUGAUUCCAUAUUUGGUCUGAUACUUUUACUACUGGCUCUAAGUCUUUUACUUACUCAUUGCAUUCUGACAGGUCAAAAGAGAGGGAGUCCGCUCCUACUCGCUCUAAAACUGCCCUCAUGCUUAGAUGGCGAGUUCCCCUUUCUUUCAUGCGUAGAUGCCGAGCUAUAGCUCUAAGACUUACUUUUAGUGUAACGCAUGGGACUAAAGCAGCUACAACUAAAGAACAAAACCUGUGCUAUUAUACUGAAAUCAUAAAGCAGGAAUCUAACUAUGACAUUAAUAAAGGAACAGCGGCUAACAAGGCUUAUCCUUCUAACUGGGACUUCUACUCAAAACUAGUGGAUUUUUCUCUCUUUUCAUUAUAAGUAAUAAGAGUCUGGCUGGAUGAAACUCAAGGGUAGUAGACUAAAGCUAAGUACUAUUAGAAUAUGGGCCUUAGUCAAUAAUUGCUAGCGCAUCUACUCUACUAGUUAUAAUACAACUAAUGCCAUUGGAACUAAACUACAAACUACAGGACUAAAUCAAACAAUAAAGAACAGGACUGGUGUCUCGGAGAACCAAACUCUGUAUUUGGAGAAUAUGAUGUGUGGUAGAUGCAUCGCAUCCCUAGUGAAUUCAACUCAACAGUAAGAGACUUCAACAAGUAUUAGUCCGAAUUGAACUAUAGUGACUCAAAGGAUGAAAACACAGCUAAAGAACUUCACUCUCCAAGCAAUGGUACAAUUCACUCUCCAAGCAAUGGGACAAGUUUCUAUUAGAGGAAUCAACACUCGAACAGGAGACUUAGCGUGGGCCCGGGUAAUCCCCUAGUAUAAGAGCAAGGGAGUGAAUAAGUAAUUCCACUAUAACAGAGGAAUGAGCCCCUCUUUCCGGUAACUAAGAAAUCAAUACAGAAGUAAUAAUGAGGAGUAGUCGUAGGCAUACAGAAGUUCACUAUCAGCUAGGAAUAAUAAGUAAUGGAAGAGGAAAGUAACGACUACAAAUGCAGGAUUGCGCUCAGCAGUCCAAGAGUGAAGCUAAGAAUACAGAUUACUGCACCGCCUAACAAACAACAAAGACUACUGGAAUGCUACUACCAAGUAUAGAUUCAACUAACUCCUCUGCUAACAAGGAAUUCAACUAGACACCAACAAGACGACAACAACCCCUACUGAAUGAAAAGAAGAAACCUAUAGACACCAACUCAGACUCGCAUUCCUGGCUACCGGCCUAUAUCUCUUUGCUUUUACCCUGACACUACUAGGAGCUAGAAUGAAAUCACUACCGCCGGCCAAGCAACGGGCCAAGCAACUACUACAGUAGCGCGGCAGGGUUUCCCCAGAGUAGUUAGAGAGAUUCAGGCCUUACAUCCACUGUGACAAAGGUCAUAGCAGGGAAAAACACUUCAUUCACAGCCAGGAAAGAAGGCUUAAGGGAAGGUUCCUGAUUCCUUGACCUAUGCUUCGGUUUACCUCUAUGCUUCGUUGACCUUGGAACUAUAUUCCUCUUUUUUGAUUGACCAGCGGGACUCCUAGGUUUUGUCAUCGCCUUGCCGGCACCUUCCUUCCCUGAGCUCACCUCCUCUACCACCUUUCUAUAUGCCCUUAGGAUAAGUCAGUCUGUCUGCGCAAUCCGCAAUCAUUAACCCGGCUCUACGUCUUCUUAAGAAAGGUGCGUCUGUAUUCACUUGCAUUCCGACCCGAACCUGAGAACUAUCCACAAGACCGCUUACGCCAAACUCGAGAAGAAGCUUUAGAAGGCGAGGUUACCAUUACUUGUUAUUCCACUAGUGAUAUUUGGGGCAAGAUCAAUAUAUAGUGAUCCGUUAUGAUUGUUCAAACUACGGUAAAUAGUGGAAAGUAGUUAGGCCUUACUUAAGUCUGGUCUCCUCUCCCAGGAGUGAGUCGAUGAAAGCCAAUAGACAGAAGCAAGGGUAUACUUUUCGCUUGACAGGAACUUACUUGCAACAACCGGCCGCGUCAGGAGCUAAAAGCGCGUCAGUAAUUAGUGAUUUUAGAGUCAUUACCGAGUCCCUAUCUGAUGGAUUUGCCAUAGGAGGAGUUUCCAGUAGGUUAAACAACUUCUUUAUUACUUGCUAUGUGUUUGUGAGCCAGAGAGGGCAGGGAAAUUGGGGUUGCAUCCAGUAAUAAUCUCAUAUCACUGACAAAGAAUACAGAAUCCACUAAGGGCUCAUCUACCGCCAACUUAGAGAAAGAAGUAUAUGAUGAAGCCUUAACCUAGCCAAUGGAGUAGUGAUCGGUAACACCUCUGAUUGUUGGUUACGUUACAGAUUGUCCCGCUAUAGCUGGUAUAGUUCCAUAAGCCGAAUCACAGUCCAAGUUCUUAUGCCCACCUAGAAGAUUAAGGGAUAUGAAGAAAGUACUGGUUCGGGUGUUGAUGCUGUAGUAGCUCCUUCCUUGUCGUGGAGUAUAGGAUCUCUCUGUUCGCCCUGUUCCACUUAUAUCGUAUGUUGAAGCGGAAUCUACUCUCCAAUCUCAUGCCCACGUGGACUAUGCGGUGUGUGAAGCAUCUAUUGCCGGUGUUAGUGUGUCUCUUGACUCUAGAUCUUAAGCAUAAGAAUGAAAGUAGACAAGCGGUUCUGCAAGUUCAUUGGAUUACGGGUCGGGUGCUAGUACUGUUGCUAACUUAUAUUACGGGUGCUUUCAGUUGGUUCCACAAGUUUUGUUCCUGUUCCGGAUCUGAUAAUAAGUAAAGGGAAGGGGGUUUCAAGUUUACCAGUCGUGAAAGUUGACUAUAUGAUUUGUUUGUAACAUUCCUUCCUACCCUACCUAGGCUUAUAUGCGCUGUACUACAAAUUCCUGAUUUUUGUUUCAAGUGUUGAGUCAGCUGUUCGCCCAGUUCGACUUUUCUCGUUGUUUAUAGAAAGAAGCCCAGAAGAAGCGGAUGCUGGAAAGUAAACUAAUCUGACUCCUUCGCCAGGAAAGUAAACCUCAUACUGCUUGCGCACAAGGACGAACUCAUCAGGUGUUAAAGCCUUAUUUGCCCUACCAUAACUUCUUCAGCGCGGUGAAGAUAUAGUGGAAUCUUUCUUUGUUGCUUUAGCCCUCGAAAGAAAAAAUCCAGUAUUUGUUGACAGUGAAAGUGAGCUGUGCGUUAGCUUAGUAUAGAAAAGGUCAUAUUACUCAAUAUAGAUAUAUACUAGAGGUUAAACAAAGGGAAAGUAAGCGUUAGCGACCCGACCCCGAGAAUCAUAAGUGUCAAGUUACUCACUUAUUGCUUUUUGAAUGAAAGUAAGCGGUGAGUGAAUAAGUUUCAUCGUCAACAGUUCGAGGAAAAUCUACAUCUACAAGAGAAGACUCAGUUUCAAGAGAUUGUUCGGCUACUGGCUUUGAGCACGAGGUUUGCCACUUCAUUCUAUAAUACGGGUAAGUGGGGAACAAGAAUGAUGUCCGUUUGAUAGCAUCUUAUCUUGUAGUUGAUCAUGAAAUUCUCAAUUCAGAGUUUGUUGGUGACUUCUUCUACUUAGUGGUGUAAUUCCCAAGUGACUAAGUAAGUAUUAUAAUAGUACUAUAGGAGUUUUCAAGUGUUCAGUAACUACUCUGGGAUACUGUGCCAGGAAAGCUAUGUACUUGUUUCUAUCAUCCCUAGCAAUUAGCCCUAGCUCAUUACCUCUUUAAACUAUCCCUCUCCUCGCGUUACCAUUCUGUUACUGACUAUUCGGAGACUCUCCUGUCUGCUUGUCUGUGAGUUUCAUUCAGUUACUUACUUCUAGCCUCUGAUCAAGUAUCUUCUCCAUUCUCUUGUUCGCACAGAGCAUCUAGUUUAUUUACCUACUUUAUCGCUACUCAUAUAAUAAUUUGUAUAGUUCCAGUGACUAGUUUAGUACUAUUUAUCUCAAUACGGGCAGAAGAAGUCAACCUGCAACUGGAGACUUUCCCCUUACUGAUUCUUUUAGAUACCCUUACUUUUCAGGUACAAGUCAGAGGUGAGUAGCACGCGGGUCUUAACUUCAAGUUUCGGUCGGCUAGAGAGAAUCAGCUUGAUCGGGAGAAUAAACAGUUUCAAUAGCGAGAUCCUAGGCAGUGGCCGUAUCAAGUCCAGUUGAUAGAAAGGCUAAACCAGGACGUGGUUCUAACUGCUCCUGUGUUAAGGUAUUCUAUUCCAUUCAGAAGUCGAAGAGCUUGUCGACUUGUCCAUUAGUAGUAGCUUGUUCCUUAUAGCCCUUGAAUACUCUCAAGAUGGUGUGAAAGCAUAAUAAGGAUAAUCAGCAGUAUCAAGUCAGUCAGUAGUAACCGCUAAGGAAGCAGCAUAAUUAGAAUGCCCACGCCACUGAAGAGGAAUUAGCCAGCUAUUGAGAUAGAAUAGAUGACAAACCUGCGCUCUAAACUAGAAAUACAGAAUUGAAACCCUAAAGUCAUAAUUGAACUAAGUAGCCAUAGGAUAUGCUUUAGUGCUUGUGUUAAGCAAGUAGUCAAUAUAGAAUAGAGGACCAGUACAAGCAGCCAACAUAAGUAAGGGUUAGUUGUUAAUUGGCCCUAUCAAAUUCGAUCUUUAUUAUUAAGGAUGGUUCGAAUGCCAUGCCCCUUCCCUUAAGAAUUGAGUGAAAGUAUUGCCAGUUGCUCGAGUUAUAGAGGUAGUUUCAUCCCGAGUUUUCAUCAUAAAUAGCAUCAGUGGUGUGGGAUGAGAAUGGUACCCCUCUUUCUAACCAUGGGACCUAUCUUGCUACACCCUCUAUUUGGUUUUUUGCACUCUAAAGUUAUAACUCUUCCCUUCAUCUAAUCCGAUCUCCUGGUUGGUAUGGUCCCUUUCUUUAUAAGCUCUGGAAAUCCUUUAAUGAAUCCAUUGACUAUAUUCCUCGCCUAUCUUGCUGGUUCCUUAAUGAAUCCAUUGACUAUAUUCCUCGCCUAUCUUGCUGGUUCCUUUCUUUAUGGUUGCUAUCUCGUACCUUAUGUUUUAGUGCUAAAGCUUCCUACUGCCCUAUUUGUUUCCCCCUCUACUAGGCUAAUGAUUCUGCUUGAGUUUAUACUGUUUCCCUUGCCGAUUCCUCUUCUCUUGUAUUGCUCCACUUUCCUUCCCGCUUACCCUUACUUGGAAUCAUAAGCUGACUAUGCUAAUGCUGACUCAACAAGCAGGGGUCCAACUUCAUAAUGCGCGAUAAGUCAAUCAGUUUCAUCUUAUAUAGAAGCCUCAGCCGAAUGCCCAUCGAUACUUGUUUAAUAUCAUCUAGAUAAGAGCUUUGUAUAGAAAUCAAGUCACUGGACUGGACACUCCGCUCCAAAGCCACCCUACCUACCUGUAGACCAAGAUCAGAAGCCUAAGAUGGAUCAGUAGUUUCAACAGAAUCAUCAGCCCUUAAGUAAUUGGUUUAGGCAGUAGAUCCCCUUAAGAGUUUCAUCUUUGUUUGUUAGUGAAAAGAGUCCCGAGUUAACCUUUCUUUUAUGCCUGGGCUUCCCUUAUUAAGAACUAGUCCGUAUUUGGGUGUUCAUCGCCUUAGUCAAAAAAUUCCAUUCUAUUCUGAAGUAGUAGGCUUUACUCGGGGAUUCUUCAGUAGUAGCUUUUACUUGGGGAAUGUUUUCUACUUUCUUAUCCGCUAGAUCUAUCCCUAUUCUUCUCCAGACACUCACUCCUUUGCUAAGGUUAGCUUGUCUCUUUGACUACUUAGUUCAAUUCAUAGGUAGGGUUGCAUUAACACUUACUAUAAGAACUAUUGUCAAUUCACUCUUAUAAUAAUCACAGAUAGAGCGUAAUGUAGGGCAACCCCCUUUCCCUGCAGCUGAAGUCAAAGAAUUCACUGGCCUAGAUCCAUAAUGCCUAGCUCCAUCCUAUUAUUCUCUCCAUCCUAUUAUUCUAAAGUAAACUUUCCUGCGUAAUAUAAGUAAGGCACCCCGACCCGACCUCUAUACCUCUUGGCACAUAAGUGAGGAAUUGAAUGGAACCUAUGGAGCACCCGGCUAAUGAUCUUAGAACUGGAAGAAGCUUUUAACCGAUCUUAUAACUGAUAUGAUAUUCUUUCUUUCUUUAGAAUAUGAUGAAACUACGGGCCAAGCUACGAUACAUUAUAACUCGUUAUAACCAAAUCCUGUUUAAACCCAUAUUGUGUAAGUAGAGCGUCAAGAUGAGUUGUUUUCUGGUUUAUUUGUUCUUUCUAAUUUAUUGUUCGAUAGUUUUCUCCCAUCAUUCUUAUCACUUAGGGCUUACUAGCUACUAACUUAGGGCUUACUACUAACUACUAACUAGCUUCGGGCAAUCGGUGGUCUAGUAACUGACUUCAACAACUACCCGCCUCUACUUCUUUUGUUUUAGCAUAGCACCCGACCUCUAGUGUUAACGCCUAACUCUCCUCUGUCAAAAGCCAAUCUCUUCUCUCACAGACAAAGAAACUCCACUUUCCUUUUAUUGCUACCAAUACAAGGUAAAGAAUCCAAGUUUGUUAGCCAUAGGCAUAGGAGAGGAAGUAUUGUCAGAGGUAGCUACCGGUAGUUAAGGGCUUACUUUAUGCUAAGUUAAGGGCAAUAGAGUGCUUGAUGUCGGUCGUGGAGAAAAGUCAUUGUCCCGCUUACACACAACUCACAUCUUACUCUUAUUGGACUUGGUAUGGUACUAGAGAAAGACUCAUUUGAAGACAUAGGCUAAAUAGGGACUCCAAAGGAAGGCAGUUAUCAUGUCUGAAUCCGGACUUGGUAAUAACAUAGAUUGCUCUUCGGUCUUAGACAGCUCCUAAAGAGAUAGUCACUACCCCUCCGCUCUUAACCUAAUCAAUGUCGUAUAAGAAUUGGACUUGCUAGUUCUAAGAGAGAAAAGAUGAGAUGCCCAGCAAGAGCAAGAGAGAGAAGACCGGUAGGCAUGAGAACUGUAUUGCCAGGUCAAGUUCCGGAGCAUUAGAUUACAUAGCCCACCUCUCCUCGAAAGUAACUGAGGAUAUCCGUUGCCCACCUCGAAGACCCGCUUUCAGCUUACUUGAGAACAGAAACAUCAUUAAUGAGAACUGGAACAGGCAAUUCUCUUUGAACUCAAAACUCGGAAUUGACCUACCGUUUCUAAGACCUUUACUAAAAAGAAGGAAUCCAACAAAUAAGUGUGAGAAUGAAAACACCAACUAUUAGAAUCAAAAGCAAAGGCUCUAACUAGUGCUCCUUACUUAUGAUAAAGAAUCCCACGACUACUCACGGGGCUUACUGUCCUUUAUCUAACCCUCCCUCUACUCUUCUAUGCGUAUAACACAUGGGUUGGUGGACUACCAAUUUCGACUACUCUACAGUAAAUAAGAGAACAACUAGGGACUCGGAAUCAAAUAAGUAAGGAAAAGAAUAUAAGGACUCGGAAUCAAAUAAGUAAGGAAAAGAAUAUAACUACCAAGAGAAAGAUCCAGACCAACGCUAAAGAGAAUUGAGCUAUAAUAGCUAUCAGACUAAGACACUGCCCCAACAGACUAGAAACUUCAACUAGGGGAUCCAACUGGAGAUAACAAGGCUCGGAUCACUGCUAGCAGGACUGUAUGACCUACACACAUCAAUAAGACUUUACUGCCGCUCCUAACUACCAAACGGGCAUGGCAUCCCUUAAUCCAUUUAUGGCCUAUGAGUUCGGGCCUACCUCUCUUCCUCGCAAACAGGCACUCCCUUCUUGCAUUCCUUAUUGCCUGCCUCGCCUUUAGUUAAGUCUACCUUUCCUUUCUUCCAUUCUCGAUUUCCGGAUUGAUUCCAAGCCAGCAGCUGACGCUGCCCUUGCUUUUGAGAGUGUAGUGCCGUAUUUAUGUAAGUAGCGUGUCAUGUAAUAGUAAGUAGCAUGCCAUGUGUUUUAUUGGUUUCAUAUAAUAUAUAAUAGUAGCCCCUGUGUAUGGUACGUAACCUUGAUUGAUACAUUGAUUGAAACCCGCGUAUGGCACAACACACCCACGACUAUUGACUCUUAAGGGAUGUGUUCCGUAGGGGUAUGUUGUCGGUGUUCGAUAGAAGUUUAGAGGAAAGAAUAACUAGAAGAAUGGACUUUAGAUAGUAUUAAUAGAAGUGAAUAUGAUAAGCGAAAGAGUGUAGCGGCAGUCUACUUACACCAGUAGCUCUACUCUUAUUGGUAUUGAUUGGAUUCCUUGUUAGUAGAGGUGGUUUCCCAGUUUCUGACCUUUGAGUUGGUUUCCCAGCCGAGUGGGGGAAGUCCAAGUUUCGAGUUGGGUUCAUCUGUAAUCGAAUAAUGAAUGAAUAUAUUAUAUCAUAAUAGAGUCCAAAGCUCAGCUCAGUAAUAGAAUCAUUGGUGGCAGGGUCAAGUCAAAUACUGAUAGAUGCGAGAUCCGUGGCUAGAGGACCCGAUGCAGUGUUUAAAGAAAGAGAGGAGGCCUGUGGUGUGAAAGAGGUUGUUGGGUUGAAAGCGAGGGAAGGGACCAAGCAACGGGCCAAUCAACUACUACAAAGGCACAGAGGGGGACAAGCCAGCCGAUCCUUAUUUCUUCGUAGGCGAGCGGGAGAGUUAGUGACCUAUUCUAUAUCAAGGGUUAGUUACCUAUUGCUCUUAACCAACCAGUGCUUCUUAGACUCCCUAUAGAAGUUAUCAGAGAGAAAGGAUUUUCAAGCAAGGGUAAACUGCGGCAUACAAUCAGUUCAGUUCACCAGUUUACAGGGGUUUGGUAAAAAAUAAGAGAAAUUGACCUACUUCUCGCCACCCCACCUGAGGAGUAUAAUUGAGAGUUAUAGGCUUUAAACACCUGAUUGGGAGUGACUUGUAUAGUAGUGUCUUGCCUAGUCUUGAUCCAACAAGCAGCCAAGCCGACAAUGAGUAAAUAUAGGUUGACAGCCCCAACUAGACUACCGGUACCUACCAUAUCUUAUAUUUGGAGUACCUAUGGAAUUCUAUCCCUAGUAGUUAUCGGGCCAAGGAACUACUUCAAAGCCAAAGAAAGAGACUACACUUAUUCUCUUGCCCACCUCUCGGAGAGGAGAGGAGCCUAACUUACUAGCCUUCGCAUUCAACAUUCCAUUCUUUAUACGAUGACUUUCAAUCCUACUCCACGAGACCAACCACUUUGAGCGUAGAGCGUACGCGGCACAUUGCCGACCAGAGAAGUCAGGAAUACGAGUAGAUUCCACCUACCUAUGUUCUUUGGUUACCAUAUUCGAUAUGUGUGUCAGUCAGUUCAAAUAUAUGACUUUUCUUUCGCCCAAUAGCAUUAGCGAGUUUACUUGCACUCUCUGAAACAAGCUUUAGGCGCUAAGGGAUAGCCUAUCAACUCUAUGACUACACUCGAACUAGGCGAACAAAAAGACAAGAAGGGCAAAAGAGGAUAUUCGGUUUCUGGAACUCUCCUUGAAGUGAAGAAAAAGAAUAGAUAUCUUAGAGCAUAUAUCUAAUUUAGGAAUGAAUGUCAUCCAGCAGAAACUCCGUAAGCUUAAGUAGUUCGCUAACGGGAGCUAAAGAAGGCAAGGCCAACACUCGCAUCGCAAACGGAAAUGGAAUAUCUCUCUUAUUGAGCACAUGGGGUAUAGUAUCGAUUUUUGUAACAAGAGAGUACACUCCAUAGCCCUUACUUUCUCCGGAGUCUUAGACAUUUUUGCCUAUAAUCUUGAGACCCUCUUAACAUCUUAAAUACAUAUUGACCCUCUUGCUCUGUAACUCCGGACUUAUGUAUUUCAUUAGAACUCCUUUAACUCCGUACUUUGGGGUGGAAUUCUGAUAAUACUGUUAUGGCUCUGGACUACUUAUACCACUAGUUGGGGCAAGAACUAUACUGGAAUAGCUUCCCUUUAUGAGCAAGUCCUUGCUAGCGCAUCUAGUAUAUCUUAAUUCUUCUAUCGAGCUGGUACGAUCUAGCAUGCAUAGCUCCAGCCCCGGAUUCUCACCUUAUCGAGUCGACUUCAAUGGAAUUGCAUUCUGAGUUUAGGGUUGACUUCACUUAGUUGCCUUAACUCUCUAACACUUCUUUCUUGCUAAAGUCUCUAAGGUAGGAAUAUGACCCUUUGUUUCUAUAUGGAUGAUAUUCCUAUUGAUAAAAGAAGAGUUCUCGGGCAAGAAGAGAAUCAAGUACUGGUGAGGAGUAGAGAUCAUACGAGUAUAUUUCUGUUCUUGCGGGAAAGGAAGCCGAAUCAAAGUUCUCUUGCCCACUACGCGGAUUAAGGUUAGCUAAGCAAACUACUAAUAAACUAUCAGAAUUAUGCUAAGCAAACUACUCGUGGAAUUAUUAGAAUCUAAUAACAUGCUACUAUUACAUGACAUGCUACUUACUAUUACCAUUAUUAUUAUUAUUAUAGAAUAGAUAGAUAAGUAACCGUAUUAUUCUAUUAAGAGAAUAGCACUGCACUAAUGAACCCAGCCACUGUCUAAUAGGCUUACUGCCCUUACUUACAUUAUCAAUAAAAGAAUCAAGAGUUUACACAAUAACUAGUUCUCUCGGGUAGGCAGGGAGAAUGCCACUGGGGUGCUUUCUAAUUCUAAUACUGAACUAACUAAUACUGAACUAACUGCUAGCAAAGAACUAGCACCAAACUAUACAAAACCCACUCGGAUUCUUUAAGCACUGAUACGGAUCUUUGCUUCACUAGCUCCAAAGCCCCUACUACUGAUUUGGAUCCUUCCUCUCAAACCUAUAACCCUAGCUCUUACUGGCCAAACCAACUAGAAGUCUCCCAUUACUUUAUCUUAGCUUGACACCGCUUACGGCUGUUUAAACUGAAGCUGCUGAUAAACAGACUCGAACUACUAAUCAAAGAACUAACUAAACUAGGAACUAGGGGGGCUACCCAUACUUGAACUCAGUGCACCGGAGAACAAGAAUCAAGCUAGCCACUAUCAGAAUUUCACCAAGCAGUAUAAAAGAAUGCAAUUCAUAAGUAAAAGACCAACUAAAAGACCUCAACAAGUACUAGCUUUGAAACAAGGUAAAGAGGAGAUGGGUCCUUUUCUUAAUAGUGCUUGGAUUACCACCUUAUAGUCGAGUUCUUUGCUUUCCCGAGCAGUGCUUGCUUGGCUUUUUACCUUAGUUGUGUCGUGGAGAGAGAAUCGAUGCAGUGCGCUUGAUUGACUAGCGGCCCUGCCGUUCCUAUAGCUCGCUACCGCGCCUAACGAGGCUUGGUCAUUAGUAGUGUCUUGGCGGGUAGGGGCGGAUAAUCUACUUGAGUUCGAGUUUCCUCUAGGUUGCGAGUAAAUGUUAUCUUAUCGAAAUAGAAAUAUUUGAGAUAUAGAAUUUCUAUUGGAUAUUGGGGAGCAGCUGCUCCUAGGCUAGGCGAUUAUAAGAUUAGUUUCGAGUUUAUGCUUUCAUUUCGAAAUUGAACUCUAAGUUAAUAAAAAGAAGAAUGGGCUCCGUAUGAUAUAAGUCAGUAACCAAAUGAGAUAAGUAAGUAACCAAGGAUAGGAGAUAGGUAUAAAAGUUCCUGUUCUAGGAUCAGAAGUUGCAAGCGGCGGGGCGCCCAGAAGAAUCAUCCUUAGUUCUCAAGUCAGCAGCCCACGAUUCUGCAAAUGAAGGAGAGGUUGGCCAAAGGGAACAAGUGCUUGUUAGUUAAGUCGACAUCAACAAUAGAAGAAAUAGUCGAAAGGAACUCAGCAGCAAUGAGGUGUGGAUCUCGAUGAUAAUAAGAAUCAAAGGAUUGCGCUAGGUACGAUAUAAAGAAGUAACCGACCAUGUGCUCUUAACUCCCAAGCCAAAUCUGAAUUCCACAAAUGAGUACAAAAAUGUACCUACAUCUUGUCAACCCAGAGUACUAGUAUAAUCUUAACAAAGCUAAGUAGAAAUAUGAUCUGAUAUAAGAAAAAACAAAUUCAGAGUGGAACUUGGCAUAGAAACUCGUAAAGACACUGAACGCACAAGGACACGCACUUCUGGACCAAUACUGGAAUCUGUAACUGGCAAUUCAUAAGCUUCAUAUGCUCCUGCUUCUUAUUCAGCUUCGUAUAAAUAUAUCUUAAUUGUAUUUUCAUACCAUAUAGGUUCUAUUACUAACUCACUAACCAUACUAUUACUAACCAUAUAGAUUCUAUUACUAUUAAGUAACUAUAUAAGUAAUAUAGAGUGGAGUAAUGAUUAGGAGAAAAUGAUAUAAGUAAUAUAGAGUGGAGUAACGACUAGAGGAGAAAAUGCAAAGUGUCAGUGGAAGUUGGAAAGCAAGUAAUGGAAGCUGACAAGCAAGGCUUAGAGUCCAGGGAGGCAGACUAACAGGGUAAAUAAAGGAUUUCAAGGUGUGGGUCGGUGCUAUAGUUUCUAGUUCAAUUCCAUCUUGUUGGCUCGGAGGGGCAUACUGGAACGAGAGCCAGGGUAGGUAGGGAGCAAAACGAAGAAGUAUCUGAUCACCCAUCAAAGAGAAGAAUGCCAGGAACGCGAAUCUAAGAGGAAUGCCGGGUACAAAUACAGAUGUGAGGUCGCGAGGGGCAAGGUUAAGAGUUCGCAGUGACAUACUAAGAAUAGAGUAGUGGAUCUAUCCGGUAAUAGAGUAGUAGAUCCAUCCGGGUAGUGAGUCACAUUUCACCCAGUAUAGUAUCCAUUCUGAUUAGUCGUAGUGUGAUUACUCGUUUCUAGAUUCAUUCUGUUAGUAGUAUAAUGGUAGUAUAGUUGGAUGCGCCCUACAUCGUACUUAUUCCUAUGCCAGAGGAUUCUAUUCUUAUAGUUAGAGUAGUUAAGGAAUACAAGUAAGUAAAGACAGACUGAUAGAUUCGAAGGGCAGGCUAACAGGUGAUAGGAUAGGAUCUAUCGGUAGUUAAGGAGUCCGGUAAAAUUGAUAGGUUCAAAUCAUAAUCAAGGGCGGCCCUAAAGAGUGGGUACUAGGUUCCGUUACGUACUAGGUUCAAGUCGAGUAAGUGGAUCGUUGGUUAAAGGAUAGCAGUAAAUCAGAGCAGAUUAAUCGUUUUUAGUAGCUUGGUGACUUCGCUAGAACAUAUAAGAAUCAAAGUCAGCAGCUAAAGAAUAGAGGCUCAGAGUGAGAGUUGGUAGUGAAAGCCCGAGAAGAGAGAUACACGGAAUGAAAGGCAUGAGCCUCAGCUUGUAAGUGAUACGUAAAUACGGGAGGUGAAGUUUACCUUGGAGACUUGAUCUUAGAGACAGGAACUACAGACUCAGGGCGAGUGUAAUAGAAGAAUCUCGGGUGAGCUGAAGAAUGAGAGCAAGGGCAGCAAAGCAGCUGGCUAGAAAGCAUAGUUUCAGGAUGAAAACAAGUCACGUAAGCCUGAGUUAUCGUAUGAAUACUUGUCGAAGCGAGUUGGUGCGCUCUUUCUGUAAACAGCAGCUCUCGCUCUUCACUUCAGCAGAAGCUAAUCCCGAGGGUCUGUGGGAAAUAGGCUUUGAUUGUGGAAUUCGGCCAGUAAGCAUGAUGAGUCAACAGUUCGGCACUACCCUUUCUUGCGGAGGCCCUAUACUAAUAACUUGGCUUGCAGGACAAAGGCAGCUACACCGGCGUUAGCGAGCUUGGCUUUCCUUCCCUUUCCUUUUGCUACCCGAUCGCUCUUUUGACUUUGGCUCUUUAUCUGUAUACUAUUUAUUAUACACAUCCCCGUUUCUAAUCCAUAAUAAAGAGAUGAGUUAGGAUUCACUAAAUAAUAAUAAAGAGAUGAGUUAGGAUUCACUAAAUAAAGGACAAAAAGAAUCAAUGGGCCACCCACAGGAGAACCAACCCUUUCUCGUAUCUGGCACUAAUCCUUUUUGCACUUAGAAUUGGAAUGGAAUAACUAAUAGAUUGAGCAGCAGCUCGUAGAGACCACCUUCCUUAUAAAGAAAUCAAUAAAGAACAUAUCUCUCUUAUCUUGAAAUAAAGAACAUAUUGAUCUUAUCCUAUAUCUUGAAAUAAAGAACAUAUUAAUCUUAUCUUAUAUAUAUAUGUGUAUGUUUCUAUCCAUAUCCUGACAUAAGAAGCCCAAUAGGAGCAAGCAAUACUGGAAAGGGCGAUCCGAAAGACCUAUACGGAGAUCGGCUAAAACGCCCCAAAGGCAUUACAAAAAGCACUUAGUAGAAUGGAUAUGCCCACUAUAGACAAUACUAAACAAACUCUCAUUUCUUCUAGACGGUAUAAGGUCCUCUUUUCUUUCAAAGUGUCUUCUAUCUGCUAGAGCUUGAAUCAUUCCCAAGGUUUUGCCAAUACGUUGUUGUAUCGCUGCAGAUAUUUCUCUUUCUAACCACACAAUGAAAAGUACUUCCUCCUAUUGUAAUUCCGUGGUACAAAGAUCUAUAGGAGUCCAUAUACUAAUAUAUAACUAAGGAUUCCGAUGUCUCAAAAGAAAUGGUCGUUUUUACUUCGAAUCGAAUUAGGCAUUAAUUUCUGAUCUAUUACGCUUCACUUCUAAAUGAUCAUAGGGUCUGUCUCCUCCAGUAAAGCCUUUCUAGAGCCUGUGGAAUAAGAGCAACAAUAUGGAUUUCUUCAUUUCACCGAUAUUCGUACCAAAUAAUGAGCUAAGGCUUUCAGCUCCUUCCUUUUGCCAUUGUACUUUCCCAAUCUCAUUCAUUGUCAAACUCAACAUUAUCAAUGGAAGGCGCAAUGAUAGGUAAGCAGUCUACGAAGCAAAGCCCCUUGCAUUACAGAAAUAGUUAUGAACUGACUCCAUUCCCUUAGUCUCCCGCCAAGCUAGCUAAUCUAAUAGUUUCUAGUUCCAUUCCUUCUUCUUAACUUUAACCAACACUUAAUUCAGAACGAAGGCCACCAUCCUUCUUAUUCUUUAUUGAUUUCUUUCUCGAGUGGAUUUCUGGGUGCUAAGGCCCUGGAAAGGGGAGAGUAGCUGAGUGGUCAAAAGCGACAGACUGUAAAUCUGUUGAAGGUUUUCUACGUAGGUUCGAAUCCUGCCUCUCCCACUUAUUGUUGUUGUAGACUCAAGAUAAGAUCAAGUAGGCGUCAGCGUAGGCCGAGCGAAGCUCUUUCUCUUUAGUAAGAUAGACUAAUUGCAAUUGUAUCGUAUGCUAGUUAGAGAGGUUGGCGAACAACUACGAUCGU